rnacentral:lncRNA from 1 species
AGGAGGAGGUGAUGAGGAUGCUGAACUUGGCCCUCUUAUGCACCAACCAAUCUCCCACUCUCAGGCCACCCAUGUCCUCUGUAGUGAGUAUGCUUGACGGCAAAAUUGCAGUCCAAGCACCAACAAUCAAGCAUGAUUCUAUGAACCCGGAUAUGAGAUUCAAAGCCUUCGAGAAGCUCUCACUGGACAGCCAGUCUCAUGUCUCAGCAUUCUCUGUAGACAGUCAGGUCCAAGGCAGCAUAUCACUUGAUGGACCAUGGAUUGAUUCCUCAAUUUCCCUCCAUAGCAGAGAAGAAACAAGGGACUUUUCUUCAUCAAGCAAGCUUCUUACAGGACACCAAGAUCUUUACAGUAUACAUUUGGACUGAUCAGUGAAAAUAUGGUAUACUAAUAAUACUUCCAAGUUGUUCUUGCUUGAAGUUUUCUGCAAGAAUGUUUUCUGAAAACUAUUUCGAAUUGAUUCUUGAAGUAGUAGACGCAUAAAUAAGUAUGUUUUGUUGUAUAAUUACAAUAUUUGUAUAAAAUUAUGAGAAUAAGUGCUCCGGUUGAGGCUUGAUGAAGAAAAAUAUUUAUAUUUCUUUAUUUUUCCAACUUACUCCCAUGACGGUAACUCAUCAUUCCCCAGAGAGAAAUCAGUAUAUAUUUAUUUUAUUUUGUUCAACUUUAUUUCCAUUUUAUCAUCAUUGGUCAUGUAUCCAAAAAAGUUGAUAAACAAAAGGGAAUAAAAGGUUUUACUCUAUUGGGCUUGAGCCCACUUGAAUUAUCAGACCAUACCAAAUCCAAAGCCCAUUUUCUAGGCUUUAGGCCCAACUGAAUUAACUGCGACCCCACCAAUUUGUCUUGGUAUGAUGUGGAAUGAGCAUCUCUACUCUAUUGGGGUUUGGGCCCACUUGAAUUGUCACAUUGUUGAAGCUAACUUUGACUCAGUCCAAUGCCAACUUGUUGAGCUGUUCGCCUACUUGAAUUGAGCGGGAGGCCCACCAAUUUUUAUUGAUUUUGAGAUUCGAAGAAAUAAUGGUGACAACUAACAUGUGAGAAGAUGAUGUUUUUGUGGUAGAAAAUCAGAAAACUCCUUAGGGUUCUUAGACAAUCAAAGACAUUCAAUGGCACUUGGAAGUUUUUGGUCAAUAAAAGAGUUAUAGGGUCAUUGAUUGGAGCCAAAAUAUGUGCUCUAAUGACACAUAUUCUAUAUGAUUUGUGCACCAAAGGACAUUCAAAUCACCCAACUUGACCUAAAUCAAUGCUAAGACCCUAGCCAUGAGUUUAAUUUGUACUUUGGAGACUUAUCUUAGGUUCAAGGGAAGAAAAUGGUGCAAGUUGAAUCACUUUAGAUUUUGAAAGAUCAAGAAAGGGUUAAAAGAGGAAAUAAAUGAGUCAAGACUCAUGGACCGUAAGAAAAGGCAAGACGAGGAUAUCAUGCAUUUGGAAGAUGAGAAAUGGCCAUUAUGGAGUAAGAAAGAAAGGCAAGAAAGCAUGGGAAAUGAGGCAUGAAGCAAGAUUCAGCUGCAUGAAAAUUUAGAACUCAAAAAUCUGAUGACAUUAUAUACUCUGACUUCGAGAACAAAUUUAGAGCACUUUAUGGAGUCCAUUGUAUACAUACUAUAUAUCGUUUUGAAGCUUGGGAAGUCAGAAAUCCAACGCUCAAACAGUGUGCAAAUCGGAGCUGAAAUGAAGAAGUUAUGGUCAUUUGAAGACAACUGCACCAAGUUAAAGGGUCAUUUCGAAAUGAUUUCGAAAUUCAACUUAUGAAUUCGAAAUCCACUUCGAAAUGACACCAAUUUUGAAUUCACCCACUACCACUUUGAUGAUCCGCCUCCUUUACCCCGGGAAUUGCAUCUAUUCAACUUAUGAAUUCGAAAUCCACUUUGAAAUGACACAAAUUUCGAAUUCACCCACUGCCACUUUGAUGUUUCACAUCCUCUACCUCGGGAAUUGCAUCUAGGGCACUCCAUCUGCCCAAAAUGGACCCCACACGACUAGAAAUCACCAUUUUAUUAUUUUUUAAUCAUUUUUAGGAAUUUAUUUUGUAAUAAGUGGCCAAUGAGAGUGUGCCACAUGUUAGGUAAUUGAUGGUAUUAUAUAAACUCUCUCAAUUCUAGGUUUUAGGGAUCUUGGAUUUCUUUUUCUGGAGAGUUUGACACUGAAGGUGGAAGAAGACGAGAACUUUGGUUUGUUUUUUUUUUCUUCUUUAUUGAAUAUAUUGUUUUUAGUUUCUUUUUAUUCAAAUUAUGGAUUUUUACCCUAUUAUGGAUUGUGAAUGUGACAUCACCCCCAUGAGAGGCUAAGAGCCAACUUGGGACUUGAAGCAUGAAAACCUAAGGGCUAGGAAACCUAUAAGGACAAUGGGUAAAUUAUUAUAACAAUGAGAUUAAUUAUUGGUUGGGUGACAAUUUAUCAUUUUUUUUUAAUCCUAUCCUUGUGAGUUCGUUUAGGUAAUGAUACGGUAGGUUAUUACUUGAUAUUAGUGAUUCUUGGUAAUUCUUGAUCAUUAGUUAUCCUCGUUUUACCUACCAUUAUUUGCCCCUAAACAAAGCUAUAAGGAGUAGGAAGGGUUAAAAAGCCAAAUCUUAAAUUGACAAUCAAUCUCAUUCAUUUGAUGGUUUUAGGAAUCUGUUUUAAAAAGGAAAAAUUAGGUUUCUGAUGCAAUUUUGAGUUAUAGAUUUCAACUUGAUCGCGAGUGGCCAAGGAUCCCAAAACCCUAAGAUCAUAUUACUUAAAAUACCCUUGUUUUCUCUAAUUUCUAUACCCUAGGUUGGAUUGUGGAAAACCCCAAACUUAAAUCAAUUGAAUUUAAAAUCAAUAUUCAUUUUUUCUUAUUAAUUUAAUUUCUUUUACUUAGUUUCACAUUAUUCACAUAUUGUUUUUCACUUAAGGAUUUAAACAAAAACAAUUCAUUUAUUCUAGUAUUGACAAUUUUCAUAAGCCAGUCCUUGAGAACGAUACCCGGAAUAUUACAAAGCCAUAGUGACUCUUUCUAUAGUUUUUCUUGACCAGAGUUAUUACGUAAAAUGACUAAUUAUUUUGGUACAAUAGAGAAUUUCGGUCAGUCAUAUAUCAAAAUUCUUUAGAGAAUUAAGUUUUGCCCUCUCACAUCUUCCUUGAAUGGUUUUGUUAGGUAACAACAGUUUGUUAUAUUUCAUUGCUUUCAAUUCAUUAAUUAACACGAGCUUUGACUCUUGAAAGUGGGUCAAUGUGUUAAGUAUUAGCUUACUUAAUAGACAUCAUACAUUGAAAUAUGAUAUUAUUGAUUGGCUCAAAUAUUUAAGUGUUUCAUUUCUUCUUAGCAACUUUGAAUGAGGAGGAGGGGUGAAAUGUUUGAAGAAUUGCAAUAGUUAAGGGUCCUUUUCUCGUAUGGGCAAGGGAUAAGAUCCCACAGACACAACCUCAGUGAAUGUUAUUUUCUAGAACAUUUUUUUAUUAUCUUUUGUAUGGGAUUAGGUGUAUAUAUCUAUAUAAUUCAUUGCAUGAAGGUAUUUUCUUGUGGGUCAGUUAGGUUGGGUGGUUAGGGUUAAUGGUUGGGCCAGAUCGGUGGGUUAUGGUAUUUGGUUGACUGGUUCCUUGGAUGACAUUGCAUUGUGAAACCAACUGAUGUUGAAAUGUCAAAGGUAAGAAAAAGAAUUAAUCAAUGAUAUGGAUGGUUCUUGACCUUAUGAUUAUAAAUUAAUCUAUAAUGUAGAUUAUUAAAUUUUCAAUAUACAAAAUUUAGAUUAAAUAGGUCUCUAAGACAAGGCAAUGCAAUGAGGCAAACCAGGGUUCAAAGCAAGUCUUUACUCACUAGCUUUUAGUCCCUAACUUCUACUGCUGAGUCUUGUAGCAAAGUCCAUGCCUUACAUAGCAUGAUCAGUUCAAAGAAGAGGUCAUAUACAAGUCAAUCUAAUCAAGUCUUCUGUCCUGGUGAUGGGUCCCUCAUCCAAUAGAAUCAGAUCGUCCCUUUGAUUUUAUUGUCCAUCAAAAGCAAAAAUUAGACAUUGUCGAGGUUCUGAGGCAAGUUCAUGGAUAUAUAGAAAAUUUUAACUCGUAGACAUUGUUGAUUAGCUCUUCUUAUCUCUAUUUCAAAUGAUGAUUUUGUGCACACAUUGCUUGUUCAUAUAUUACAAGACUCAACAUUUAGGUGCUGAUUUUUCUUCAGGGGAUACAUGGCUCUUGAAUGCUCAAAGAAGGGUUGCUUAACUGAGGAACAACAACACCAGUUGCUGGCCAAAGUAGGAAUUUGAUUAUCUUCUCCAUUGGGUAAUCUUUUGGCUUCCUUCACAUCCUUUCUGGGCAGUCUUUUUCUCUACAUUUUCAAGUUUCAUUAUCAAUGUCCUCUGUAAUUAGCAUACUCAAAGGCAAAUCUACGGUCCGAGCAACGAGCAUCAAGCAUGACACAAUCAACUCAGGUAUGAGAUUCAAAGCCUUUGAGAAGCUCUCACUGGACAACAAGCUUCAUCUCUCAAUAUUCUCUUAGGCCGGUCAAGUCUGAGAGUGUUUGAAAAACUACAAAGAGAAUGCAAAUGGAAAGCCUUGAAUUAAGGUUGAGGAUCCUUAGCAUGAUCCUCGACACCCCCCCCCCCCCCCCAUUACUUGAUGGGUCAACGAUGGAUUCCUCGGUUUCCUUCAAUAGCAGGGAAGACUCGAGUAUUCUUCAUAAAGCAAGCUUCUUAUCAGGUCUGGAACAUUGAAGGUUGAGUCUACCCUAAUCUAACCAACUCGCAUCCAACUAAAAAAAAAAACGCAAGCUUUGGUUGACUGAUAAUGAAAACAUGAGGUAUGCUAAUAUUAUGAAAAAUGAUGCUUGAAAACUAUUUUGAUUUGAAUAUGUGCAAAUUCUUGUNNNNNNNNNNNNNNNNNNNNNNNNNNNNNNNNNNNNNNNNNNNNNNNNNNNNNNNNNNNNNNNNNNNNNNNNNNNNNNNNNNNNNNNNNNNNNNNNNNNNAAAAAGGGUUUUUUAAAAGGGGAAAAAACACCCCCGGUGGGGGCCAAAGAGAGAAUUUGAUUUUUUUUCCCCAGGGGGAAUUUUUUGGCUCCCUUCCCCCCCUUUUGGGGGCUUUUUUUUUUUAAAUUUUUAAAAUUUUUUUUAAAAUUUCCUUUUAAAUUGGAAAACCAAAAGGAAAAUUUUGGGUUGGGGCAAGGGGCCUCAAGCCGGACCAAAAAAAUUUGGGUUGGGGUUUAAAACCCUUUGAAAAGUUUCCCCGGGAAAAAAAAUUUUUUUUUUUAAUUUUUUUUUGGGCCGGUAAAUUUUGGGGGGUUUUAAAAAACCAAAAAAAAAAAAAAAAGGAAAACCCCUAAAUUAAGGGGGGGGGUCCUUUGCAUUUUCCCCCCCCCCCCCCCCCCCCCCCCCCCCCCCCCCGUAAGUUGAGCGUCGGAUUUAAGCGGACAUGAAACUUGGAUCGGAAGAGUUUAAAGAGAGGUUUUGACACACUUUUGGUGAAGAUGUCGGCAACUUGCAAGUGAAAAGGCACAUACUAAGUGCGAAGCUUGCCAGUGAGGACAAGUUCACAAAGAAAGUGAUAGUUGAGCUCAACAUGCUUAGCCCGUUUAUGAGAAAUUGGAUUGGAGCUCAAAAAGAUGUCACUCUUGUUGUCACAUAGGAGGAGAGGCCACUGUGGAAUUGAAACUUUGAGGUCACCGAGGAGAUGCAUGAGCUAAAGAAGUUCGGAGACAGUGAGCGCCAAAGCACGAUACUAAGAUUCACAACUGGAGCGAGAAACAGUAGGUUGCUUCCUGGCAUUCCAAGAAACCAAGUUACUGCCGAGAUAAAUAGAGUAACCAAAGGUAGAACGGCGAGUAUCAAGGCAACCUGCCCAAUCUGCGUUUGAGUAAGCAACUAAAACACCAGGAGCAACAGAGGGAUGAAAGGUAAGGCCAAAGUGUAGCGUGCCUUUAACAUAGCGAAGAAUGCGUUUGACAAUAAGAAAAUGGUCUUUAGUUGGGGAAUAGAGAAAUUGACCGACAAAGUUGACAACAUGAGAAAUAUCCGGACGGGUGAUGGUUAGAUACUGGAAAACACCAACAAGAGAUCUGUAAAGUGUAGAAUCCGAGAACAAAGGACCAUCAGCAGACAGGUGCUGUGAAACAACCAUGGGGGGUGUGAACAGGUUUGCUGUUAAGUAGCUGAGCUCGUGUGAGAAUAUCCCAUGCAUAUUUCAACUGGCUGAUGAAGAGGUCGUCAGAGGUGGUCGUUGCUUCAAGACCAAGGAAAUAACUAAGAGGACCCAAAUCCUUAGUAGCAAACUCAUAAUUGAGUUUGCAAGUAAAAUUGUUAAGAAGAGAUGAGUUGUUGCAUGUAAUAAUGAUGUUAUCAACAUAGAGAAGCAAAUAGAUUAUGUUAGAGUGCUUAUGAAAAACAAAUAGUAACUACACGACUGCAAUAAAAACUAAGUUUAAUGAGGAAAGAGCUGAGGUGCUGGAACCAGGCACAAGGAGCUUGCUUUAGACCAUAAAAGGCUUUUUGCAACUGAUAGACAUGAUUAGAAAAAUGAGGGUCAAUGUAUCCAAGGGGCUGCUCCAUAUAAACAUGUUCACUGAGAUGGCUAUUAAGAAAUGCAUUUUUUACAUCAAGUUGGCGAAUGGGCCAUUUGUUUGUCACAACAAGAGAGAGGACAACAUGAAUUGUAGUGGCCGUGAUGAUAGGGCUAAAAGUAUCAAUGUAGUCAAGACUAGGUACUUGUGUAUAGCCCUUGGCAACAAGACGGGCUUUGAAACAUUCAAUAGAUCCGUCAGGCAAAUAUUUGGUUCGAAACACCCAUUUGGAACCCACAAUGUUGGUGUCGAUAGGUCGAGGAACCAAAAUCCAGGUACGAUUGUUUUGCAAGGCUUGAACUUCUUCAUCCAUUGUAGUGAGCCAAACAGGAUUCUUAGCAGCAGAUUUGAAUCCUUUUGGCUUAGUAGAUGCAAGAAGAGCGAAAAUAAGUCCAGAGGAACCCACGAGUCCGAGAUGUGCCGAGUGGCGCGUUUUGAAGAUGUCGACUUUGGCUCGUGUGAGCAUAGGAUAAGAACCCAAGGGAACGACUGUAAUGGAAGGGCGAUCAACCAUGGGUAACUCAAUAAUAGGCUUCGGAGAAGCUGAUCUGAAGUCUGAGUGUGAGAAAGAAGGACCUAUAUGAGAAUUAGUUGCCUGCAAAGACUCAUCCACUGUAUCAAUACAAAUAAUACACGAGGUGGAUAUGAAUUGAGGAAUAUGUUGGGAGUUUGAUGCAGGGAAAGACAAGGGCAUGUCUAUAAGAGGGAGGCUCGAUUCCAAAAAAAUUGAGAUUUGGAGAGAGGAUAUGGGUUGAGCUUGGGAAGUAUGGUGAAAAUGAAAGUGGUUUUCGCCAAAUUGAGCAUGGCGGGUAAUAUAGAGUUUGGAGGUGGUGGGGUCAAGACAACGAAAACCUUUAUAAGAUGAAUGAUAACCCAUAAAAAUGCAAAGGAUGCUCCAAGGGGAAAACUUGUUAGUCAUGUAAUUACGUGAACAAGGAUAAACACGAUAACCAAAUGGAUGAAAAAUUUCGUAAUUGGGAGAGGAACCAUAUAGGAGUUGAAAAUGUGAGUUACCUUCGAGAAGCAGUGUGAGCAAACGGUUGAUGAUAUAAGCCGCAAUGCUAAAAGCAUCAACCCAGAAGUGCGUAGGAAUGUGAGAAUGAAAAAGGAGAGCUAGACUUGUUUCAGUCACAUGGUGGUGUUUCCUUUCGGCGAGACCAUUUUGGGCGGGUAUAUAAGGAUAAGAGAUUUGAUAAUCAAUGAUAGAGGUACUAAGGUGGGCUUUAAAGCAAUUGCUAGUGAAUUUUGUACCACCGUCACUUUGAAAAUUUUUUAUACGAGCAGAAUGUUGAUUUUCAAUAAACUUUUGAAAUUGAAGAAAAGUAUUAAAGAAGUCAGAUUUCAAUUUCAAUGGGUAAAGCCAAGUGAAACGAUAAUAAUCGUCAAUAAAUAAAGCAUAGCAUGUGAAACCCAAAUUGGACUGUACAGGAGAUGGUCCUCAUAGAUUGCAAUGAAUAAGAUCUAAAACCUUUGAAGAUCGAUGUUCAGUAUGAGAAUAAGCCAAACAAUGAUUCUUUGCGAUUUGACAUGUACUACAUAACGCAGGAGAUGACAAUAAAGAAGUAAGAGAAAUCUGUCAUUUUUUAUUCAGAAAAGAAAUAACAGAAUAAUUCACAUGUCCAAGGCGAGCAUGACAUAAAGCAUAUGAAGCGUGAAGAGAUUUAUUUUUCAGGACAGAAACAAAAGCUGAAUUUCUGCGUUCUAGCACAUAUAGGCUGUCAUCCUGUUUACCGGUUGCCACCACCCUUCCCGUUUGGCGAUUUUGAACAGUGAAAAAAUUAUUAGUAAUUGUAACGGAUAACGGAAAGUCAGUUCUUAAUUUACUAAUGGACAAACUAUUUUUAGUGAUGUGAGGAACAACCAGAAUGUCUAAUAGUUGAAAAUAAGGGGAAUGAGAAAGUUUACUAGUGUGGCUAAUAGGUAGAGACGCAUCAUUCCUGACAAUAACACAAUCCUUACCUGUAUAAGAAAUGGACUGGUCCAAGGAAGAUUGAGCUGGAGUCAUAUAGGCCGAGACCCCUAUGUCUAAAAACCAAGCCGAAGCCUCAUUUCUGAAAAUGGAACAUGAUGCAUUGAGGGUUUCGGCGAGUUACGCUUCAAGGGUUUGACCAUGGUAGUCAUAUCGUUGCUAGCACCGAUCCGCAUAGUGACCCUCCACAUGACUUAUUUGAUAGUGUGGAAGUCUACCAGAGGAGUGUCUUUGUCCGCGUCAGUUGUCGCCAAUGCGAGUUGGUUGAUUGUGGAAAGAAGAGCUGCACUUGUUCAAUUUUGCUAAAUUGCGAUUGGUGGCGAUGAACACCACAAGGGAUGGUGCAACAGGUUCUAAAGAUUUUUGGAAAAAAUCAAAGCUCUUUGCUUUUGGCACAAGAUCUACAAAACAGGGCAAAAGGGUGAGGGCCAUUUGGGUCGUGGGGAAGGUUGAGAAUUUCCAGCCCAGACCUCAGAGAAACCAGUGCACUUUGUCAAUGCCAUUGACGGGUCGUCCGAUUGCAUGGAGUUGAUCGUAGAGGGCCUCUAAGGUGCGGGCAUACUCCGAAAUAGAUCUGGUGCCUCGUUUCAUCAGUUGCAAGUCAUCAUUGAGAUAGAUUUCACGGGCUUUGGAGUGGUGGUUGAAUGUGUUUUCCAAGGCAACCCACACCUCGCAUGAAGUGGAGAGUCCCACAACUUCAGCCAUGGCCUCCUCGGUAAGGGAGGAUAACAGAAGGCUAAGGAGGCAUUGAUCGGUAUGUUUCCAUGCCACAUGUUUGAUGUUUGGUGUCUGAGAAUUUUCAAUGGUGAAAUGGGGUGGUAUUUCUAUAGUUUCAUCCACAUAGUCGAUUAGUUCUUGACUCUCUAAAAGGGGAAGCAAUUGGCUUUUCCAUAGGAGGUAGUUGGAAGAGGAUAGUUUGAUGGUAACCAUGUGGAUGAGGGUAUUGAAGGGGAGAAGAGUGGAGAAGGGUUCGACAGCCAUGGAAAGGGAAAGAAGAUCGUGAAAGAGAUGUUAAUCUAUCUUGCUCUGAUACCAUGAGAGUGUUUGAAAAACUACCACACAUUUUAGUGGUGGGUUAAUUUCAUAUAUAUAUAUACACACAUAGUUACAUACGUGAAUAUGGUAAUUACAAGUAUAGAAAGAAUCAAUAAAAUAAAACUAGAAGCUAUAAUUGUGGAUUCAAGAGAAUGCAAAUGGAAAACCAUGAAUUAAGGCUGUGGAUCCUUAGCAUGAUCCUCGACAAGGUCCACAACAACAUAUUAGUUGAUGGGUCAACGAUGGAUUCCUCGGUUUCCUUCAAUAGCAGGGAAGACUCGAGUAUUCUUCAUAAAGCAAGCUUCUUAUCAGGUCUGGAACAUUGAAGGUUGAGUCUACCCUAAUCUAACCAACUCGCAUCCAACUAAAAAAAAAAACGCAAGCUUUGGUUGACUGAUAAUGAAAACAUGAGGUAUGCUAAUAUUAUGAAAAAUGAUGCUUGAAAACUAUUUUGAUUUGAAUAUGUGCAAAUUCUUGUGUGAAUGGAGUGGUUCGAGUCAACACAGAGACAAGGAUUCAAAUACAGAAAAAUAAAAUUCUGGAUGACACUUACUAACGUUGGAUCCAUGUUCUUCUCUUCUUUCUCAAGUGUUAAUUGUUGAUUGUCACUUCGAUUUUUUUUAGACUAUUGAUCACAAUCAAAUUAAUUUCAAUAUGAAAAAAUAAUGUAAUUUCAAUAUGGAAAAAAUGAUGAAGGAAAAAAAAGAAGUUGGGAAAAUAAUUGUGAUAAAGUUAAUAAAUCUAUGCAUUUAAUUAAUUUUAAAAACAUGUGAAAAUAAUUUAUCAACAAAGUAUUCUUAAAAUUUUCAAAUUUAAUUUAAAUUAUCUUAUUUAAUAUAAUUAAAAUAUAAUUCAUAAUAGUUUUAUAUUUAAAAUUAUAAAUUUAACCAUUUUUAUUAAAAAAAAGUCAUGAUAGAACAUAAUUUACAAAAUUUUUGUAUAUUUAAAAUAAUAAAUUCAACUAUUCAUAUUAACUUUAAAUUUCAUAUUAAAAAAAGUAAAAAUAUGAAAAAAAAAAAAAAAAAAAAAGAUAUGAUACUGUAGACCUCAUUUUAGGGGCCUAUUUUCCUCACAUUCCUAUAGAUUUUUUUCAGGUGUCGCAACUGUGAGUAGCCACAUGUUGAUUCCCAUUUGGUUGUUAUGGCAUCAGGUAGUGGAAUCAACGAGCAAACAAGAGGAUGACAUGUGGAAAGAAUAUUCGAGAGAUGUUGUAGUCUGUUAGGAGGAGCGUAGGAAAGAGAAGAUUCAGGCCAGAGAUAGGUGCUUUUCAUGCUGGUUUGGUGAGAUUUUUUUUGGGAGGGCAUUCAUUCUUGAGGGGCAAAUGAGACGAGUGGGAGGGGGCUAAAGAUUUUUUGAAAGGAGGUUUUUCUGGCUGGGGUAACAAGCCAGAGGGGACAAGCGUUUUAGGACUAAGAGAAAAAGUAGAAAACCAGAGUUUUGAGAGGGUUACAGUGAGUAUCGAGCUGGGAGUUGCAGGGAGGCAUAGUGAGUUUUUUUAAAGAUAUUAUGUGGAGUUAUAGAGGGAUAUUCUUGCUUUCCUGAGGAGUAAGUUUGAGGAGAAAGAGGCUUUCAGGUAUGACCAUUUAUGAUUUUCCCGUAUAUUCUCAUCUUUCAUAUUUCUUCUAUCUUAUUCUCUAUGAUUUCAGUUUUGCUUGAUGGGUUGCUUUGUUUCGAUGAUCGUUGGUUUAAUAUUUGAAAAGCUGGCUGCAUUUUUGUGUUUUACCCAAGCAAACCUCUUUCAUCUUAACCCACUGAUUGCUAAACUCAUGGAUAAAAGAAUGAAAUGAGGUUAGCAUAUUCGUCAAAAGGUUCCCUGCUCUGUUCCUAUUUCUGUUCCCUUUCUCCUCUGUUUUCCUUUGAAAGAGACUUCCAAGCUUUAAGACUGGAAAUCUGGGGAGAUUGGCUUAUGGAGAAUGAUGAUGAUAAGAAGAGGAGGUUAUCAACUAUAGAAUCUGAAUCUGAAUCUGAAAAUGUCUGAAGCGGGUAUCAGUAGUUUUUGGGAUUCCAGGAGUUUUUCCUUGAGUAUGUGGGUAUCGAUGCUAAUAGCUGCAAAGUCCUAGCCAACAUUGUACAGUAGAGCCCAGAUGUUGCUCAAAGGGUUCAUGGUCAUCUUGUCAAGUACCUAAGGGCAAAUGGUGCUUGUGACCUAGGUCACAUGUUUGGUUACGCCGUCACGGAGACCCUUGAACUUAUGUCUCUAAGGCAUGUUCUCUCUACCAAGCUUGAUGCCUGCCUUACUAAGGAUGGGAGGACGAAACCUACUCACAGUUGAAACCCAGUGGUAAGAUUCAAGUCACUGUUGAGUAUCACAAUGAGAAUGGUGCCAUGGUUCCUCCUUCAUGUGUACAUUGUUCCCAUCUCUACCUAGCUUGACUAGACUGUCACCAGUGAGGAGAUUGCUGCCGAUACCAAAUAAUGCAUCAUCCAACCUGUUAUUCAUGAGAAAUACUUAGAUGAGAAGUCCAUCUUCCAACACCCAUUAAGCCACUUCUCACACUACUCAUUUCACCAAUGAUGCCCAUCCCUUCUAAACCCAUCAAACCCGUUUCAUCUCACCAUCACCUUCCAGCAACCACAAGUCUAUUCCUCUCAUAACCUAUUUCAUUAAUGAUGCCCUCAUAUCUCAUACUCAACAUAUCACCAUCUCUUCAUCUCCCUAACUUCUUUUACCCUUCCCACCGUUCAUAUUUCCUAACUUUUAUGCACCCAUGCAAGCCCUCUACGUCUAUAUAUCAUACCCAGCAUGCCUAUUGAACCCUUUUCUUUCAUCAUAUUCCGCUUCACAUCCCUCUAACCAUAUCCUUCUCCAUCUACACCACGGGCAUGGCUAUUAUUCCAUGCAUAUAUUCACACCCACUGAACCCUUCAAAUCCAUUUUCUUUCUCCAAGUCUACCCAUACCCUUUUCAUACAUCCUACAUAGCCACUCUUAUUUUUCCACAUUGCCCAUCCAUGAAAGCCCACCCUCUUGUUUUGAACCUAAUGAAGCUAUCAACAUGUUUGCUGAUGAAAUACUUGACAUAUGGUUUACAUGUAUAAGGCUCCUGAAGGAUGAGGAUGUUGGACUUAGUUAAAUGCUUGCCAUGGACGUCCAGAAGUGUUUUGCUCCCAGCAGAUUUGGAAAAGGCUUUCUAGCUAGUGUGGUACCAUCCCAGGUAAAGAAGUGCGGGAAAUUGUGUGGCAUCUGGAGGAGAUUUAGUCAGACUUGUUUUUGAAAAGGAGAUAGACAAUCACCAUGAAGAAAGACUACUUAUAUGCCAAAUUUUGUUGUUCUCAUAUGGAAAAUCUCAUAGUUUCGAAACCCCUGGCAAACCUUUACGACAAAGCUUGGCUCAAUGAAUUUUUACAGCAUUGGAGGAUGAGAUUUUGCCAACAAUUGGUGUCCUUUGCCAAUGGCCAUGUCGGGAAAUACCAGGAAGUCAAUUGGGUUGGCAGCAUGGGUAACUACAAGGAUGUGUUCCUGCCGUUGUAUGCAAAUAUGCUUGGCUUUCAUGCCGUCUCAAAUUGCGUUUUCAUUAGAGGAGGAAUCACGAACGGUGGGUCUCUACUAUCUGAUGUCAUCAAACCAGGAGAAACUGUUGAUUCCUUUCUCAUGGACGGUGGCUUCCAGGCUGCAUUCCAUGCUUAAGGUGUCAUAUAAGGAAGACCAUGGAGUCCUUGUAUUUUCACAAAUGACAAAACUUCUCGAUAUUCUUGAGAAUUAUUAAACCAUUGAAUUUGGGCCCAGAACAUUCGAGAGGGUGGAUGGUUCAAUUUCUUAUAGGGAAUUAAACCGAAUUCCCAACUCGUGAGAAACAAAAAUAGAGAAAAAACACACGCCAAAAAAAAAACAAUCACAUGCACAAGACAUUAUUUACGUGGUUUGGCAAUUUGCCUACGUCCACGAAGUUGUAGGGAUAUCACUAUUAUUAGGGAAGAAUAUAAAGUACAACGACAACGACUACAAUAUUUUCUCUUUAUAUAUAACACGAUAACCACACCACACUAAAGAACCUUAAUUACAAAAGAUGGUUCCACAAUGGGCUAAACGGGCCCAACAAGCCUUAGUAAAUCUUCCAUUAAAAAAACCGUGCAAUAUUAUUCGGGUUGAGUCGUCAAACUUGAUCAAACAAAAUUAGGCUCCACAAAGCCUAACAAAUCUCCCACUUGGAGACUAGUUCAAUCACCAACAUCAAACCGCUAUCCUCCAAGAAACAAUCCCUCAUCCCUGCAACUCAUCCUCCUGUCCUCAAGCUAGAAGACCAAUUGAAGCUGAUACGUUCCCAAUUGGUGUCUCAGCUUAUUCAUGUCCUCUCAAUGGUCCCUGAUAGUGGUGCCAUUUGAUUCGUGUCCAGUUGGUGUCCCUUGAUUGUGGUCCUCAGAAGGGAGCAAUCAACAAAAAUUAUAACCUAUUAUACCAUGUACUAGGAUAGCCUUAACUAGCAUAGCAUAGUGGCUCUAGGGUCGUUCACUGGGAUGGGUUUUCACUUCACAAUUGAUAUUAAUUCAAAGUUGAAUUGGUGCCUUUUCAUUUCAAGGUUAGCUUUAAAAGAAAACAUAAAGAUGUUUGAAAAGGGAUUGGUUUUAAGCUAACAAAAAAUAGUAACUGAUUUUACUUACAAAGAAAAGUGUUUCUUGGAGUUUAGAUCACUAGGCUCAGGUUCCUCAUACAAAAAGGAGAGUUCCAGUCACUUGUUUCUUUUCCUCGCAUUAGAGAAUUAACAUAUAGUUAAUUCUCUAACCGGUGUGAUACAGAUGCUUCCCUUUAAUGGAUUCAAACAAUAAUUCCCUCUCACUGAUGCAUCUUGCAAUGGCUCAUGUCUCUCACCUAGCAUUUGCCAUUCAAGGUGAUCCUUAACCUUGGAUUACCCGUCAAAAGCUCGCAAGAGAUAACUAAUGGAUGUCUCCUUAGAGUCCAAAAGCUUACCAAGUGUUGGCUAUUCUAGAAAAUCCUACCUUCAAACCACCUCCCAAAGGCUUGCAAGAGAUAAACUAGAGUAUCUCAAUGGACGGAGAUCACUUGUCUUACCAAGUUUUGGCCCAGGUGAUUUAAAGGCGUUUUAAGUUAACUAAAAAGAUAAAAACCAUUAACGGGUCACACUUUCUCUUCAUUAAAAACUAAAACAACAAAACUUCCAAUUUAUGCAUGAGGAAACUUACCCGGCUUUCUUCACUCCAAGAGAUGAAGAGCCUAGCCUCUCAUCCUCUGAGGAAAAAUCCUCAGAGUUUGAUUGGCUAGAAAGAAAAAUAAUGAGAAAACAAAAAUAUGAAGGAAAAAUAGAGCAAGUGCUCUGCAAAAUAUAUUUCUUCCUUAUACAAAAGGUUGUCUCCAAGAACAAGCUCCCGAGAGAUUGAUUAUAUCUUGUAAAGAAAAUUACAACUAUAUAUAAGAGGUUAUUCAUCCCUUUGUUCUUGCUUAAAGACUAAGGAAUCCUAUGAUAGAUGGGUUACAAGGAGAGUUUGGGGAUUUAGACAUCAAAUAUCUAAAGAAAAAUAUCUCAAAAUGUCAGUCAGGAAGCUUCAGGAGAACACCGCGGCACUGUUCAAAAUGGUUGAGAAAUUUUCGCAACAAAAGGACAACAUUUUUGCAGCCAAAGGCUAAUUUCGCAGUCGUGCACCAUUCUGCCUUCAGCUUGGAGUGAUAUGCUUGUAAUGGCUGUAACUCCUUCAUUUCAACUCCGAAUCGUGCACCAUUUGAAGGAUUGGAUUGUUGACCUCCUGAGCUUCGAAACGACAUAUAGUAUGCAUAAAUUGGACUUCAGGAAGUGCUCCAAGAGUGGCUAAAAUGACUGUCAUCAAGAAUGCUUCAUGACAGAUUUCUCUUUGCUUCCCCUCCUUGCAUUCCGGAUUUGCUUAUGACAAAGGACUUCAAAGCUUCGGUUCUUCAUAUUUCUGAGCUUUCCAUUUGCUUUGCCAUGGAUUCCAAAUAACUCUCCUUAAUCUUGGAUUGCUUUGGUGAUAAAAAAAGCUAUCAAAACACCAAAACUUAACACAAUUUGAUUAGAAUUGAUUGCAAGGGUCCUUAAUAUGUUAAGUGGGUUAAAAAGUAAUAACUACUACUCAAAAGUGUUUAAAAGAGUUAAUUACAAGCUAUCAAAUAACACUUUUUGAGUAGUAAUCAGAAGUUGCGCACAGCUUCAACUUCUCAAUAGUGACACCUUUAGUCAACAUGUCUGCCGGGUUCUUAGAUCCACAAAUCUUCUCAAAUGUUACCAGUUUAUCUUCAACAAGAUAACGGAUAAAGUGGUAUUUUGUUUGUAUAUGCUUCGACUUCGAAUGAAAAACCGAAUUUUUGGCAAGAAAAAUUGCACUCUGACUGUCACUGUGUAGAAUGCCCAUCUCCUACUUCUUAUCCAAUUCAUCUAAGAAACCAUGUAGCCAAAUCAUCUCCUUUCCAGCUUCAGUUGCUGCAACAUACUCAGAUUUUGUAGUAGACAAAGUAACAAUCUUCUGUAGAUUUGAAGCCCAUGAUAUAAUUGUACCACCUAGAGUAAAAACAAACCCAGUAGUACUCUUUCUACUAUCAAUAUCACCAGCAAAAUCAGCAUCUACAUAACCCUACAAUUUCAAACUUGCACCUGUGAAGCAAAGACAUGUAUCUAAUGAACCCUUCAGAUAUCUUAGAAUCCACUUAACUGCCUCCCAAUGCUGCUUUCCAGGCCUACUCAUGAAUCUACUCACAACUCCCACUACAUGUGCAAUGUCUAGCCUUGUACACACCAUAGCAUACACCAAGCUGCCAAUAGUUGAGGCAUAGGGCACCUUGCUCAUAUGGUCAUUUUCUUCUUCUGUCUUCGGUGACUGUUCUUUGCUUAGUUUGAAAUGACUCCCUAAGGGUGUGCUCACUGGUUUAGCUUCAUUCAUGUUGAACUUGCUGAGAACUUUCUUCACAUACUCUAACUGUGAAAGCUUCAAUGUACCAUUAGUCUUGUCUCUAAUGAUUCUUAUACCAGGGAUUUGCUUUGCAGCUACCAAAUCCUUCAUUGCAAAUUGUUUGGACAAUUGCUUCUUCAGAUUAUUAAUCUCCUCAAUGUCAUACCCUGCAAUAAGCAUAUCAUCUACAUACAACAGUAAUAUGAUGUAAGAAUUGUCAAAAGACUUAACAUAACAACAGUGAUCAACUUCACAUCUCUUGAACCCAAUUCUAUGCAUAAAACUAUCAAACUUCUUGUACCACUGUCUAGGAGCUUGUUUAAGGUCAUACAAACUCUUUCUCAGUUUGUAGACUAGAUUCUCUUGUCCCUGAGCAAUGAACCCUUCUGGCUGAAUCAUUUAAAGGUCUUCCUCUAAGUCACCAUGAAGAAAUGAUGUCUUCACAUCUAACUGCUCAAGAUGUAAUUUUUCUGCAGCUACCAUUCCCAGUACAAGUCUGAUUGUUGACAUAUUCACAACUAAAGAAAAUAUCUCUGUAUAGUCAAUGCCCUCCUUCUGGAACCCUUUAACAACUAAUUUGGCCUUGUAACGUUUGCUACCAUCAUGCUCAUUCUUUAUUCUGUAUACCCACUUGUUGUGCAAAGCCUUCUUCCCUACUGGUAAUUUAGUUAGUUCCCAUGUUUGAUUCCUCAACAAGGAAUCCAUCUCAUCCUUCAUGGCUAACUCCCACUUGCUUGAAUUCUCAUCUUGCAAGGCUUCAUCAUAACACUCUGGCUCACCACCAUCAGUCAACAAAAGAUAAUUUAAAACAGGUGAAUAACGCUGUGGAGGUCUAAUGUUCCAGGAAUAUCUGCAAACUUCAAUUAUAGGUGUACUCAGAUCUACCUGUGAAUUAACAUUCUCUUUAACUUCUUCAUCCCCUUUUUGGACAGUACUUUCAGUCAAUUCAUCUAACUUGACAAACUCAGAUUUCUUUUGAUCUAUCUCUAUAACAUCUGACACUACAGUUGACCUGUCCUUGUACAUAACCUGUUCAUUAAAUAUCACAUUUCUACUUCUGAUGAUUUUCCUGUUUUGUUCAUCCCAAAACCUAUAGCCAAAUUUCUCAUCACCAUAGCCAAUGAAAAAACAUAUUUUUGACUUUGCAUCAAGUUUACUACGAGCAUCAAAAUCAAUAUGAACAUAAGAAACACAACCAGAAACUUUUAAAUGUGAAAACUUCAUCUCUUUAUCGCUCCAAACCUCCUCAGGAAGUCUGAACUCCAUGGGAACUGAUGGUCCUCGGUUUAUCAGGUAAGCUACAGUGCUAACAGCAUCAGCCCAAAAAGUUUUUGGUAGUCUAGCAUGCAACCUUAUACUUCUAGCACGCUCAUUAAGAGUUCUGUUCAUGCUCUCAGCCACACCAUUUGUUGUGGUGUCCCAGGAAUAGUUUUCUCCAUCCUAAUUCCCUGUGCAGCAUAAUACUCACUGAACCCUCCAUCUAUGUACUCUCCUCCAUUAUCUGACCUCAAACAUUUUACUUUUAAACUUGUUUCUAUCUCAACCAUGGCCUUCCACUUCUUAAAAGUUUCAAAUACAUCAAAUUUAUUUUUCAAAAAAUAAACCCAUACAUUUAUGUUUGAGUCAUCAAUAAAAGUGAUGUAGUACCUUGAAGCACCAAGGGACGCAACCGGAGAAGGCCCCCACAAAUCAGUGUGUACUAGUUCCAAUUUUUCAGCCUUUGGUGUCCUGCUAGUUUUCAAGAAGCUCACAUUUUUUUGCUUUCCUAAGAUGUAACUUUCACACAUGUCCAAAUCAAUGGACUUCAAUUCUGGUAGUUUUUCUUUUGACAACAGCAUCUUCAUCCCUUUCUCACUCAUGUGACCAAGUCUACAGUGUCAUAGGCUUAUAUCAAUACUUGCAUCAGCAACUACAAUUGUGUCUCUUGGACAUGAGGUCAUAUACAGAGUACCAGUCUUCUUUCCACAAGCCAAUACCCUAGCUCUCUUUGUAACCUUCCAAGUACCACCAACAAAUAGUAUUGCAUGUCCUUCAUCAUCAAGUUGUCCAACAGAAAUCAGAUUCCUCCUCAGGUGAAGAAUAUGUCGAACCUUCUCCAGUAACCAAACAGACCCAUUGGGCAACGAUAUUCGGAAGUCUCCCAGACCCACAACAUCCAAGGCUGAACCAUCAGCCAAAUACACCUUACCAAAAUCACUUGCAGCAUAAUUCUGUAUGAUUUCUCGGUGUGGAGUGGUAUGAAACGAAGCUCCUGAAUCCAAAACCCAAUCAUCAAGUGGACUGUCUACUGCAAGAAGUAAUGCAUCAUGUACCUCUUCUGUUACAACAUUAGCAGAAUCAUCUUCAUUCUUUUUCUUAGGGCUUUUGCAUUGCCUUUUAAAGUGACCUGUUUUCCCACAGUUCUAGCAUUGUACUUGUUGGCCUGAUCUAGAUUUGCUUCUGUUCCAAUUAAAAUUUCUGGAUUUUGAUCUACCCUGGUUUGAAUUUUUGUCAUUACCUCUGCCUCUUGUCUCAAGGUUUAGGGCAGAACCAGAACCUGAAGUUUCGCCUGCAUCUCUUCAGCGAAUCUCCUCAGCCAUAAUUAAAUCUCGUAUAUCAUUGUACUUGAACUUUUCCUUUCCCGUAGAAUUGCUUAUUGCCAUCCUCAUUGCCUCCCAACUGUUUGGCAAAGAAGCCAAGACGAUCAGAGCACAAAUCUCAUCAUCAAAAUCAAUUUUUACAGACGAUAAUUGAUUUGUGAUUGUAUUAAAUUCAUUCAGAUGUUGUGCUAUUGAUACAUUCUCUGCCAUCUUCAAAUUGAACAAUUUCUUCAUCAGAUGCACCUUAUUGUUUACGGACGACUUUUCAUACAUACCGGACAAAGCCUUCAUCAAAUCUGCUGUGGUAUUCUCCUUUACAACAUUGUGUGCAAUAGACCUAGAGAGAGUUAACCUAAUAACUCCUAGAACCUGUCUGUCAAGAAGUAUCCAUUCCUCAACCUUCAUACUCUCAGGUUUUGUCCCCAAAAAAGGCAGAUGCAAUUUCCUCCCAUAGAGAUAAUCUUCAAUCUGCAUCCUCCAAUACGCAAAAUUUGUGCCAUCAAACUUUUCUAUUCUGGACGCCUUUCCUGCUUCCUCUGUCAUUGCUCCUACUCAAACCUAACCCUAGGCUCUGAUAUCAGUUGUAGGGAAUUAAACCGAAUUCCCAACCUGUGAGAAACAAAAAUAGAGAAAAAACACACGCCAAAGAAAAAAACAAUCACACGCACAAGAUAGAUUUACGUGGUUCAAUAAUUUGCCUACGUCCACGGAGUUGUAGAGAUAUCACUAUUAUCAGGAAAGAAUAUAGAGUACAAUGACAACGGCUACAAUAUUUUCUCUCUAUAUAUAACACGACAACCACACCACACUAAAAAACCCUAAUUACAAAAAAUGGUUCCAUAAUGGGCUAAACGGGCCCAACAGGCCUCAGUAAAUCUCCCAUUAAAAAGACCAUGCAAUAUUAUUCGGGUUGGGUCGUCAAACCGGAUCAAACAAAACUAGGCUCCACAAAGCCCAACAUUUUUGUGGCUGAUUGCCAAGCUUACAGUGUUCUACCCAUCAUUAAUGUUGAUUUUUUCUCAGGUUAGAGGAAGCUCGUUCAUGGGGUGUUAGCAUCUCAAUCUGAGAAAUCGACUAAGGCAGAGGAGAUGGAAUGAGACCUUUGUUUAUGUAAGCUUUAUUUUCCACCAAUAACAACCACAUGAAAGGCCUAAUGAAGACGAAAGCCAGACAUAACAGGUCCAAAUGCCAAUAUACUUGGAGCAGUUCCACUUUUGGAUCUAAAAGAAAAAAGUACUGAAUUUGCAUCCCAUUCGAGAUUAUCCACUGACCAAUCAUCUGAGAGAAUGGGUGUCUUUGGGUUGGUAUUCUCUUGUUGAAAUUCAUAGCUGGGAUGAGAACUUUUAGGUUUUGACAAAAUGAUUAAUGAAAAAAAAUGAACCAUGUUUGAAUGAGUGAGGAAAAUACAGCAGGAGAUGUGGCAUAAUAAAUACGACCUCAUGAGAAAUUCCUACAAUGUUGGCUUGAUCACUAGUUGGAAGUCAUGGUGGAUGUGCAUGAAGUUCAUUUUGGAUAUGAGAAGUGAAGCCAAGUACAAGCUGCAUUGGAUGAAGAGUUAGCAGUGCUGAAAUAAGUGGAAUACAUGCUUGGGGAAGAUAAAGAUAUAUCACUGAUUCCAGCAGAUGAUGAAGUAGAACCAGUGGUAAAAACGGGCCUUUCCCAGAUUUGUUCUUCAUUCGAAAAGGAAUUAUCUUCAUUGCUUUUGGAGCCUGAUCUUACAUCCGAGACAGUGGAGGGUAUAGAACACCGGGAAACCACGUGUCAUUUGUGAUGCCCAAUCACCUCAACUCACAUGCAGAUUAUCUUUCACAUCUUUUGGGUUGGAAUUAUUAAUAUCUUGUCCUGCAUCUGUUGGGUUUUCUCUUGGUUGUACUGAUGAUCCUAAUGCAUUGGAAAUCUCAUCUCUUGUUCCCUUAAUGCCAAGCUUCCCAUUCUCCAGCCUUUGCAUCUUCACUGUGCGAGAGAGUUAUACACUUUCAGCCAACAUAUCCAUUGUAAGUGCAAUUCAGAAAUAGGUAAGCUUGGGAAAAUGUUUAUGUUGUCAGAUUCUUCUGUUUGCCCCUGGGCGUGAAACAAAAGACACUCAAUAUGGGAUAGCUAAAGUGAAGGGAGUUAGAGGAAUAUCAGGGUACAAGAUGUCAGACACUCAUAACAAGAGGAACAACUCCAUUGGCCUUGGUGCAUUUGACUAGCUUGAUCUAGUGGUGACUAAAUCAGUGAUUCGUUGGGCCAACAUGCACACAUAUCUCUCACUCAUGCCUUUAUGCAUGGCUACAUUCAGGUCACGUGUCCUCUCUAUGUUUCUUCAUCCCCUUUCAUCAUCCUUAAUUUUAAAAAUAUUUUUCCAAAUCCCAUUCUUCAAAUAAUUUUAUAGAUUUUAGUUUGUUCAAAAAUAAUUGUAACUCUUCCAUUUUUCAUCCUUAGCAUUUUUCUUAGGUUUCAAAAUUAUGUCUUUUUUUCAAUAAAAUUUUGCUCCCACUUUUUCUUUUGGCAAGCAAUUUUCAUAACUCUCAGGAUUUUUAAAAAAUGUUUUAAAAUAAGUAUGAAUUUAUUUCCAUAAUUCUGAACAAGGGAAAUUCAUGGGAUUGGUUCAUACAAAAAUAAAUCGGGCAUUGGUGGGGGCCCAACAUAUGUGAUUUUAUAAUUGAUUGAUUGAUCGAUUGAUUCAAUUCUCAUACAUGAUUGAUUUAUCCUGCUCUAUGACAUGCAUGCGAUUAUUCCUUAAUUGUGCACUAACCUCUUUUCUUGAUAGCGCAUUGUGGAUCGUUGCUCAGGUACAUAUCUAUUCACAUCCUGGUCCUUUAUGCAUAUUCUGAUACUCCUAUGUGCAUGAUCGAUUCGAAUAUUCAUUGAUUUUCUCAUUGAUUGCCAUGUCAGCUUUAUUUUAUUAGUAGAGACCCGUUUUAGGGACUUAGAGGAGUGUUACGGUCUUUACCGUACCUUCCCGAUAAGUAACCUGAUUCCCGAGCCCGAUUCGGUUUUUGCACAGACCACCUUUUCCAAAAUAAGGAGUCACACUUAGGGUUUUCUUUCUUAUUUUGUUUACUCCAAGUCAUUUUCUAAUAAAAUCAUUUCUCAAAAUAAAAAUCAAGCUCGCAAUCGAGUGGAAAACGCAUGAGCCGAAAUGCGGGGUCCACAGAUACACAUCUAAUGAUUAAAAUUAGUUCUUAAUAUUUUAUAUUUCUAAAAGUUAGAAUAAUAAAUUUUAAUUAAAAGAAUUUAUUUGAAGUAAUCAUAAAUAGAAAACUAAAAAAUUUAGAUGUUUAAUUAAUUUUAAAAAUGUUUGGAAAUAAUUUAUCAACAAACUAUUCUUAAAACUCUCAAAUUUAAUUUAAAUUAUUUUAUUUAAAGCAAUAUAAAUAUAAUUCACAAAAGCUUUAUAUAUUUAAAUUAAUAAAUUCAACUAUUUAUGUAAACUUAUAAAAAAGAAGAAGUAAUUAUACCUUAAUUUUUAAUAUUUUAAGUUUAUAAAGUUUUUGUCUUAGAUUUAUAACUAAAAAUGUUAAUAGUCAAUAUUUUAAAAUUUUAAAGUUACCAUCAUAAAUUUUUAACUAAAAGUCUAGAUUAUUAUAAAAUAAGUAUAUAAAUUUUUAUAAAAAAUUAAAGAAAAAUCUUAUAUUAUUAUAAUAUAUUACUAUCUAUUAUCUAUUGAUAUAAUAUUAUAGGAUAAUAUAUUAUUAUAUUUUUUAAAUAUAUUUAUUUAUAAAUAUUAUUUAUUAAUGAAUAUCAAAUUUUUAACUAAAUUAUUUAUCAAUUUGUGGAAUCGCAUUUCUGCUUUAUGGGUUCCCACUCAAUGGCGAACUCACUUUUUAUUUGAAAAAUGAUUUAUUGAUUAAAAAAAUGACUUGGAGUCGCCACUUAUUUUUGUUAUAUUUUUAAAAGGUAAAUAAAAUAAAAAAAGAAAACCCAAAGUGUGACUCCUUAUUUGGAAAAGGUGGUAUGUGAAAAACUAAAUCUGGGCUUGGGGGUCAGGUUACUCAUUGGGAAUGUACGGUAAGGACCGUAACACCCCUUUAAGUCCCUAAAAACGGGUCUUUACUAAUAAGAUGAGGCAAGUAUGACAAUUGAUCGAUUAAACAUGAAUACCAAACAAUGAUCAAAUGUGUGAAAGCAAGACAGGCAUGAUAACAAAUAAAUCGAUGAACACAAUCGAGACUACGAGGCAUACCUUAGUCACAAGCUGAGCGCUGUCAUAAGAGACAAGGUUAGUGCACAAAUGUAAAAUAAUCGCAUGCAUGUCAUAGAGUGAGGCAAACCAAUCAAGCAUAACAAUCAAUCAAUCAAUCAAUGAGAAAAUCUCAUAUAUUGGCCCCCACCAAAACCCAAUUGAUCUUACAUGAGUUAAUCUCACCAAUUCCAUUAUUUUGGAAUUACGAUAAUUGUUUUCGUGCUUAUUAAAAUAGUGAAAAACGAGAAAAUAAUUUAAAAAAACAAAGAAAAUCACAGGGCGCAUGCCUGAAUGAAAAAUGGCAGCACGUUUAUUAAAAAUUAGGUUUUGGUGAAUUGGGAUUUUAAUAAAGAAAAGAAAAAUAAAGAAAGAGAAAAAAAAUAAUGAUGAUAAUAAUAAUAAUAAUAAUAAUAAUAAUAAUAAUAAUAAUAAUAAUACUAGAAAAUAAAUAAAUAAAUCGAAUAACACAAACUAAAAUAAUAAAAUAAAUAAAUAAAUAAUUAUAUGAAAUAUGAACGAAUAAAAAUAAUUAAGUUAGGUGAAUAAACAUAUCAAAUUAAUGAAUUUAAAAGAUUUAAAACUAUCCGAAAGACAAAUAUUUGAAAAUCAAGCUUUGAAACUAAAUUGAAAAUUGAAGUUUUAAGAAAUAAAUUGGAAAAUUGGAAUUUUAGAAAAAUAAUUUGAAACUGGGAGUCGUGAAAAUUAGAACUUUGGAAAAUUGAGAAUUAAAUUUGGAAAUUGGAAUUUUGGCGGAUUAUUUAGAAAUGGAAUUUUAGAUAAAUGAAUAAGUGGAUAAAUAAAUGACUAAAAUAAUAAUAAUAACAAAAAUAAUAAAGAUUGGAUAAAUAAUUGUGAAAAUUGGAAUUUUGGGAAUUGAAAAUUGAAUUUAGAAAUCGAAAAUUUGAAGAAUUAUUUAGAAAUGGAAUUUUAAAUAAUUGAAUAAGUGAAUAAAUAAAUGAAUGAAAUAAUAAUAACAACGGAAAUAAUAAUGAUUAGAUAAAUAAUUGCGAAAAUUGGAAUUUUGGAAAUUAGAAAUUGAAUUUAGAAAUUGGAAAUUUGAAGAAUUAUUUGAAGAAAGAAUUUGAAAAAUAAAUGAAUAAGUGAAUAAAUAAAUGAAUGGAAUAAUAAUGAUUGGAUAAAUAAUUGUGAAAAUUGGAAUUUUGGAAAUUGAAAAUUGAAUUUAGAAAUUGGAAAUUUGAAGAAUUAUUUAGAGAUGGAAUUUUAAAUAAAUGAAUGGAAUAAUAAUAAUAACGAAAAUAAUAAUGAUUGGAUAAAUAAUUGCGAAAAUUAGAAUUUUGGAAAUUGGAAAUUGAAUUUAGAAAUCGGAAAUUUGAAGAAUUAUUUAGAGAUGAAAUUUUAAAUAAUUUAAUAAGUGAAUAAAUAAAUUAAUGGAAUAAUAAUAACGAAAAUAAUAAUGAUUGGAUAAAUAAUUGUGAAGAUUGGAAUUUUGGAAAUUGGAAAUAUAAUUUAGAAAUCGGAAAUUUGAAGAAUUAUUUAGAUAUGGAAUUUUAAAUAAAUGAAUAAAUGAAUGAAUUGAAUAAUAAUAAUAAUAAUAAAAAUAAUAACGAUUAAAUAAAUAAAUGUGAAAAUUGGAAUUUUGGAAAUUGGAAACUAGAAUUUGGAAGAAUUAGUUAAAGAUAGAAUUUUAAAAAUGAAUAAAUAAAUAAAAUAAUAAUAACAAAAAUAAUAGUGAUUAAAUGAAUAAAUGUGAAAAUUGGGAUUUUGGAAAUUGGGAAUUAGAUUUGGAGGUCAGAAUUUUGAAGGAUUAUUUGAAGAUAGAAUUUUAAAAAAUAAAUAAGUAAAUAAAUAAAUAAAAUAAUAUUAAUAACGAGAAUAAUAAUGAUUAAAUAAAUGAAUGCAAAAAAUGGAAUUUUGGAGAUUGGAAAUUAAAUUGGGAAAUCGGAAAUUUGAAAAAUUAUUUAAAGGUGGAAUUUAAAAUAAAUAAAUAAGUAAAUAAAUAAAAUAAUAAUAAUAACAAGAAUAAUAAUGAUUAAAUAAAUAAAUGUGAAAAUUGAAAUUUUAGAAAUUGGAACUUAAAUUUGGAAAUAAGAAUUUUGAAGAUAUUUAUUUAAAGAUGGAAUUUACCGAAAUCAAACCUUGACACGUGAUAGAAAAGGAGAAAAAAAAAAAACAAUAAUUCACCAUGCCACUUAGAGAACUUAAAGUGCUCCUGCCACUAAUAAAACCUCAUGCCACAAUACACCAAAUCAAGAAAAAGAAGGCCAUCACUACCCGCCACCCAUUUUUUAAAUAAUAAAAAUAAAUCCUUCAGGAAUUGCCAUUCCACAACCAACUCUAUCCACUUUACUCUUUCAAAAAUUCUUCUGUUGUGCUCUUCUAAAUCAAGCAAAAAACACAGAGAGGCUGAGAGGGGUCAUCCUUCCAAACUGCCUUAGAAUUGCUACAAUAGAGGAGCCACUAUGUGAACAAAGCAGCAUCUCUCUGAUUUGACCAUGAAAGAACCCAGGACAUCCUGAACAAGGAGAAAAUCAAUGCCCACAAACUAGAAGACCAUCACAAAGAAUGACUAAUGAGGAUGUGCUCCACCAGCUCCAUCAAAUGCAAGCGGAUAUUGCUAGCUCACAAAACUGCUACUUUAUGCACCAUGACCAAAGAAGGCAGAUUUGAGGACAAGUGAACGGACGUUGGAAGCACAUGGCGGUGAAGCCAAGCUUAACCCAACACCAAUGGGGACUUUCAUAGCCUUUUUUUUUUUUUUUUGGGAAACAAAUUUCUAAAGAGAGAAAGCGUAGGAAAAUGUGAGGGUUUUCCACUCCCACACCUUUGAUUGUUUGGGUUCAUUCUUCUUGUCCCUUCUUCCUGGUUUGUGGUGUGUGAAGGAAAUGAAAAUGGCCAUGCAUGCAGAUUCUUUUGCAUGAGUGAGAAAUGAGUAGUGGGGCAACCGGGUGUGAUGGGUAGCCAUGCAUAUGGCUUCAUGCACGUGAGAAAAGGGUGGGAAUGAGCUGAAAAUGAGUAUUGGUGGGAGAAAUGGGUCUCAUGGGCAUUUGAAAAAUGGUCACGUGGUGUAGAGAGAGAAGAUGGUGGUGAUGGGUAUGUCGGUAAGAAGGAUGAUGAGAUGAGGGUGACCAUGCAUUUUGGACCUCAUGCACAUGGGGAAAUGGUGGAAGUAAGUUGAAAGUGGGUUAGAUGGGCGAGCAAGAAGGGUGGUGGAGUGAUGAGGAUUAAGCAAACACUAGAACAUAAAACACAUGAUGAUACGGAGCCCCAUUACAAGUGACACCCAUGAGCUUAAAGUGAGUGAGAUUAACAAAGAAAAUAAAUAAGGGUCCCAUAUGUCAAGCUUCAGAAAUGAACUCAUGCAUCAAUCUUGUACAGAGAAAGGCAAAGGAACCCCAAAAACGGAGCAUGCACAUGGAAGAAUAAAUUCAACCAAGACAAACAAAUGGCUCUUCCUAUCCAUACCGAAACAGGAAGUUGAUGCCCAAAAAAUAAGAAAAAAAAAAGUUGAAAAUGAGAAUAAAAAGCCCUAUGGAAGUGAGAAAACAAGGAGCUAUAUUAGUCAAACCUGAAAAGCCCUCCUCAAGCAAAAAGUUGCUCGUCUUCGAGCUCCCCUACUCUAAGAAUGAUUUCUUCUUUCACUCAGUUGCUUGCAUGCUCCAACUUUCUUCCUCCUCAAGUUGCUUUCUAAGGCUCCUCACUAGUUCACUCUCCAGUUCUCUUCAUGUGCUCUCAGUUGGUAUCUCCCUCAAAAUCGUUCCCUCGUAACUACAAAAAACUUUUUUUUUUCUCCUCUCCCCCGUUUGCUAUGUCAAAAAAAUCUUUUUUUUUUUUCUAAAAAUCCCCCAGCCAGCUCGCAGAACACGCUCUCCCUGUCCCUUACAGCUCACCCCUCCUCUGUAACCCACCACCUUUUUGUUCAGUUUCUUCCUUUUCAAAUGGUUGUCCCUUUUGUACCAAGCAACUUACCCUUCCUUUUCCUUCUUGCUUCCCGUCCUCUUUAGCUGCCCAAUAUAACCAAGGAUGAAAAUAUCGGUAAUCACGGAUAUAUCGAUAUUUCGAUUUUACGGAUAUAUCGGAGAUAUAUUGGAUAUAUCGGAGAUAUAUUGGAUAUAUCGGAGAUAUAUCGAUGGAUUUUUUGGAAAAAAAUAUCAGUAAGCUUAAAAUUGUUAAAAACUCAUGAAAAUGUAAGGAAAACCUCAUAAUAAUAUAAUUAUAAGUAUAAUAGACAUUUUAAAGUUAUUUUAUUGAAAAUUUUGAUAUAUGUAUAACAUGAUUUAUCAUAUUUGAUAAUAAUAUCGUAUGCAUUGAUAAAAAUAUGAAUUUUAUAAGUGUACAUUUAUUAUUAAAUUACACCUAAUAUUAUGAUAUUUGAUUAUAAUAUAUCUAAUUUUAAAAUAUAUAUUAGUAUUAAAAUAUGAUCCAUUUAAUUCAAUUGUAUUAAACAAUAUAAAAUAAAUAAUGAUAUAUAUAUAAAUUUUUAAUAUUUAAUUAAUUAUUAAUGAUAUUAAAAAUAUUAUGAAGAAAAUUAUAUAAUUUUUAUAUUUUUGGUAAUUAAUUAAAAGACUUUGCAUUUAAUUAUAAAAUAAUUAUUAUUAAUUUGCUCUUUAAAAUAUUCUUAUAUUUUCUUUAUAUAAUGAGUUUAAGUAUAUAUAUAUAUUUGUUGCAUAUUAUGUAUCAAAGGACAAGUUAGCCCAGGUGGUACCCCAAACCUUUUGGUUUGGGGUUCAAAUCGUCUCGGCUCCAAGCAAAUGGAUAGGCACUGUAGCAACAUUGUAGCAACAUCGCCGAAAUAUCGCUAUCAGUCUUCUUUGGUUGCCAGUCUUGUCUAGCCGUCCCUUACAGCACAUUCUUGAGUUGAUGAAGAAGAAGAUAUAAUAAAAUAGUAAUAAAAAAAACCAAAGAAAUGCCCCCCAUUUGAGGGGGUCCACACAAUCACAUAAAUAACAAAUCUUUAUGGAUGAUUAAUUUAAAAAUGGAGAUCAAAAUAACUUCUUUUUUUUUUUUGACAUAUCUAGAAAUAUUAGGAUAAUUUCGAUUUAUAUGAUUUAAGAAAAAUAUAUCACAUAUAAUAUAAAUAUAAAAAUUAAGUUAACCACUUAAUUAUAAAAAUAUAAAAAUAUAAAUUAUUUUAAAAAAUAUAAAAGAUAAUUUUAUAUUAUUAUAAUAUAUUAUGUAUUAAUAUAAUUGUGAAUCCAUGUUUUUCAUAUCAAUCACCUUUUAUUUGAAAAAUUGAUAUUUUUUUCUUUUUUCUUUUUUCUUUUUUUAAUUGUUUUGCUCUUUCCUUCCGUAGAAAUUCUCCAUCCCCUCUUUUCUCCGUAGAACUUUUUCCUUUUUGGUUCGCCUCCUAGCCAGCCACCCUCUCGAAAUAUCUCUACAACAACAUAUCCUACCCUCGCAGCCUUACCCUCUCUUUCCUGUAACAACCAUCUGCAGGGACUAGGAGAGAAUAUGUUGUCUCCAAUCCAAGUGGUCCCAAAAAAGAUGUGAAAAGGGGGCCCAAAAUGGGGUCUAUAAAAAUAUAGUUGAUUUAUCUAUUUAUAAGUAUUAUUUAUUAAUUAAUAUCAUAUUUUAAUUAAUUUUAAGGUAUUUAAAGUAAAUAACUUACAUUUAAAUUAUUGUUUUUUAAUAAUAAAGAUAUAUAUAUAUAUAUAUAUCUCUUAAAAUUAAUUUAAAUUAUUUUAUUAAUAAAAAAUUAAUUCAUUCAUUGUCUUUAAAAAAAUUAUCUCUUUCAUGGUUUUAGUUAUAAGACUUGUAAAUUUUAUUUUUAAAAUAAUUAUUAAUAAUAAAUAAUAUUAAAAUUCAAAAUUCUUGUUAAAAAAAAGUAAAAUGAUUAAAAGAUAUGGUACAAAACAAUAAUUUAAAUGUAAGUUAUUUACUUUAAAUACCUUAAAAUUAAUUAAAAUAUGAUAUUAAUUAAUAAAUAAUACUUAUAAAUAGAUAAAUCAACUAUAUUUUUAUAGACCCCAUUUUGGGCCCCCUUUUCACAUCUUUUUUGGGACCACUUGGAUUGGAGACAACAUAUUCUCUCCUAGUCCCUGCAGAUGGUUGUUACAGGAAAGAGAGGGUAAGGUUGCGAGGGUAGGAUAUGUUGCUGUAGAGAUAUUUCGAGAGGGUGGCUGACUAGGAGGCGAACCAAAAAAGAAAAAGUUCUACGGAGAAAAGAGGGGCUGAAGAAUUUCUACGGAAGGAAAGGGCAAAACAAUUAAAAAAAGAAAAAAGAAAAAAGAAAAAAGAAAAAAAUAUCAAUUUUUCAAAUAAAAGGUGAUUGAUAUGAAAAACAUGGAUUCACAAUUAUAUUAAUACAUAAUAUAUUAUAAUAAUAUAAAAUUAUCUUUUAUAUUUUUUUAAAUAAUUUAUAUUUUUAUAUUUUUAUAAUUAAGUGGUUAACUUAAUUUUUAUAUUUAUAUUAUAUAUUAAAAAACAAUAAUUUAAAUGUAAGUUAUUUACUUUAAAUACCUUACAAUUAAUUAAGAUAUGAUAAUAAUUAAUAAAUAAUACUUAUAAAUAGAUAAAUCAACUAAUAUUUUUAUAGACCCCAUUUUGCAUCUUUUUUGGGACCACUUGGAUUGGAGACAACAUAUUCUCUCCUAGUCCCUACAGAUGGUUGUUACAGGAAAGAGAGGGCAAGGCUGCGAGGGUAGGAUAUGUUGUUGUAGAGAUAUUUCGAGAGGGUGGCUGGCUAGGUGAUGCGACUCAUGGUAGCUUAGCUUUAAAGGCGUAUCAACAAAAUUUAUACCUUGAAUACUAUUACUAAAGUAGCCAAGCUACUAUAGCAUAGUGGUUCUAGGAUCGUUCACUGGGAAGGGUUUUCGCAAACACAAGUGAUAUUCAAGUUAGGAAAAUAGGUGAUUUUCUUAUGGAUGUUAGCUUUAAAAGAAGAUGUAAAUGUUUUAGAAAGAUUUAAACUAAUCUAAGCUAACAUUAAAGACUAAAAUGAAAGGGUGUAAAAACAAGUUUCUCAAAGAUAGGAUAGCUAUGCUCUGGCUCUUAUGCAAAUUGGAAAUCUCAGGAUAGGCUCCUCGCGUUGGGGUUGCAACUAUGGUGAUGCUUGCUUCCCGAACCGGUAUGGAUUUAGCAAAUCACGUUUUAAUCCUUUAAAAUGGCAAAACAGAUGGUAGUGAAUUUCAUCAAUGGUUAUUCACCUUAGACUUCCUUUGAAUGGCUCGUAAGAGAUAACUAAUGGUCUAAAGCCAAAAGCUUACCAAAUAUUGGCAACUCAAAGUCAUUCCAGGUGAUAAACUCACCUUUCAAUGGCAAUUGAAAUUGGUUCNNNNNNNNNNNNNNNNNNNNNNNNNNNNNNNNNNNNNNNNNNNNNNNNNNNNNNNNNNNNNNNNNNNNNNNNNNNNNNNNNNNNNNNNNNNNNNNNNNNNNNNNNNNNNNNNNNNNNNNNNNNNNNNNNNNNNNNNNNNNNNNNNNNNNNNNNNNNNNNNNNNNNNNNNNNNNNNNNNNNNNNNNNNNNNNNNNNNNNNNNNNNNNNNNNNNNNNNNNNNNNNNNNNNNNNNNNNNNNNNNNNNNNNNNNNNNNNNNNNNNNNNNAAUUACAUCAAAAAUACAAAAAGAAAAUAUCUAAAGUGGAGUCAGCAAAAACAGAGCAAAAUUCGCACCACGCAUGGGGUGUGCGAAAUUUUCGCACACUGAGGGGGGUGUGCGAGUUUCGCACACCAUUCGCACACCUUUCGCACACCUGGAGCAGUUGUCUUCCGAAGGCCAUAUCUUCCUCAUUUCAGCUCCAAAUCAUACACGGUUUGAAGCGUUAGAUUCUUGACUUCCUGAGCUUUGAAAUGGUAUAUAGCAUGUAGAAAAUGGACUUCAGGAAGUGCUCCAAAAGUGCCAAAGAAGACUGCAGCUGCCGUCCUCUGUUUUCCUCUUUGCUUUUUUUUGCUUCUCUUUGCUUCUCUUUGCUUCUCUUUGCUUUUCUCCUUUUGUUGGCUUGCUUUGGUGUAGCUAAAAGCUUGCUUUAACUUGUCCAAGUAGCUCCUCCAUCAUUUGGCAUGCUUGAAUUGAUUCAUAAGCUGAUAUAAACAUGUAAACUUGCCACAAAAUGGUUAAAACCAAUUACUAAGGACCUUAAUGAAUUAAUUGGGUUAAAUGAAUAUGAUUACUACUCAAAGGUGCUUAAAACCAUUAUAAUUAGGUCUACAAAAUAGCACUUUUUGGUAGUAAUCACUAGGAGGCGAACCAAAAAAGAAGAAGUUCUACGGAGAAAAGAGGGGCUGAAGAAUUUCUACGGAAGGAAAGGGCAAAACAAUUAAAAAAGGAAAAAAGAAAAAAGAAAAAAGAAAAAAAUAUCAAUUUUUCAAAUAAAAGGUGAUUGAUAUGAAAAACAUGGAUUCACAAUUAUAUUAAUACAUAAUAUAUUAUAAUAAUAUAAAAUUAUCUUUUAUAUUUUUUUAAAUAAUUUAUAUUUUUAUAUUUUUAUAAUUAAGUGGUUAACUUAAUUUUUAUAUUUAUAUUAUAUAUUAAAAAACAAUAAUUUAAAUGUAAGUUAUUUACUUUAAAUACCUUAAAAUUAAUUAAAAUAUGAUAAUAAUUAAUAAAUAAUACUUAUAAAUAGAUAAAUCAACUAUAUUUUUAUAGACCCCAUUUUGGGCCCCCUUUUCACAUCUUUUUUGGGACCACUUGGAUUAGAGACAGCAUAUUCUCUCUUAGUCCCUGCAGAUGGUUGUUACAGGAAAGAGAGGGUAAGGCUACGAGGGUAGGAUAUGUUGCUGUAGAGAUAUUUCGAGAGGGUGGCUGGCUAGGAGGCGAACCAAAAAAGAAAAAGUUCUACGGAGAAAAGAGGGGCUGAAGAAUUUCUACGGAAGGAAAGGGCAAAUAAUUUAAUUGAGGAUAUGAGAAAAAGGAAACAAAUAUCAGUUUUUCAUAUAUAAGGUGAUUGUUAUGAAAAACAUGGAUUCACUAUUUUAUUAAUANNNNNNNNNNNNNNNNNNNNNNNNNNNNNNNNNNNNNNNNNNNNNNNNNNNNNNNNNNNNNNNNNNNNNNNNNNNNNNNNNNNNNNNNNNNNNNNNNNNNGCAAAUAAUUCUUCAGCCCCUCUUUUCUUCGUAGAACUUUUUCUUUUUUGGUUCGCCUCCUAGCCAGCCACCCUCUCGAAAUAUCUCUACAGCAACAUAUCCUACCCUCGCAGCCUUACCCUCUCUUUCCUGUAACAACCAUCUACAGGGACUAGGAGAGAAUAUGUUGUCUCCAAUCCAAGUGGUCCCAAAAAAGAUGUGAAAAGGGGGCCCAAAAUGGGGUCUAUAAAAAUAUAGUUGAUUUAUCUAUUUAUAAGUAUUAUUUAUUAAUUAAUAUCAUAUUUUAAUUAAUUUUAAGGUAUUUAAAGUAAAUAACUUACAUUUAAAUUAUUGUUUUUUAAUAAUAAAGAUAUAUAUAUAUAUAUCUCUUAAAAUUAAUUUAAAUUAUUUUAUUAAUAAAAAAUUAAUUCAUUCAUUGUCUUUAAAAAAAAUUAUCUUUUUCAUGGUUUUAGUUAUAAGACUUGUAAAUUUAAUUUUUAAAAUAAUUAUUAAUAAUAAAUAAUAUUAAAAUUCAAAAUUCUUGUUAAAAAAAGUAAAAUGAUUAAAAGAUAUGGUACCAAUCAUUAUUAAUUAUUUAAAGUAAAUAACUUACAUUUAAAUUAUUGUUUUUUAAUAAUAAAGAUAUAUAUAUAUAUAUCUUAAAAUUAAUUUAAAUUAUUUUAUUAAUAAAAAAUUAAUUCAUUCAUUGUCUUUAAAAAAAAAUUAUCUCUUUCAUGGUUUUAGUUAUAAGACUUGUAAAUUUUAUUUUUAAAAUAAUUAUUAAUAAUAAAUAAUAUUAAAAUUCAAAAUUCUUGUUAAAAAAAGUAGACCCCAUUUUGGGCCCCCUUUUCACAUCUUUUUUGGGACCACUUGGAUUGGAGACAACAUAUUCUCUUCUAGUCCCUGCAGAUGGUUGUUACAGGAAAGAGAGGACAAGGCUGCGAGGGUAGGAUAUGUUGUUGUAGAGAUAUUUCGAGAGGGUGACUGGCUAGGAGGCGAACCAAAAAAGAAGAAGUUCUACGGAGAAAAGAGGGGCUGAAGAAUUUCUACGGAAGGAAAGGGCAAAACAAUUAAAAAAGGAAAAAAGAAAAAAGAAAAAAAUAUCAAUUUUUCAAAUAAAAGGUGAUUGAUAUGAAAAACAUGGAUUCACAAUUAUAUUAAUACAUAAUAUAUUAUAAUAAUAUAAAAUUAUCUUUUAUAUUUUUUUAAAUAAUUUAUAUUUUUAUAUUUUUAUAAUUAAGUGGUUAACUUAAUUUUUAUAUUUAUAUUAUAUAUUAAAAAACAAUAAUUUAAAUGUAAGUUAUUUACUUUAAAUACCUUAAAAUUAAUUAAAAUAUGAUAUUAAUUAAUAAAUAAUACUUAUAAAUAGAUAAAUCAACUAUAUUUUUAUAGACCCCAUUUUGGGCCCCCUUUUCACAUCUUUUUUGGGACCACUUGGAUUGGAGAUAGCAUAUUCUCUCCUAGUCCCUGCAGAUGGUUGUUACAGGAAAGAGAGAGUAAGGCUGCGAGGGUAGGAUAUGUUGCUGUAGAGAUAUUUCGAGAGUGUGGCUGGCUAGGAGGCGAACCAAAAAAGAAAAAGUUCUACGGAGAAAAGAGGGGCUGAAGAAUUUCUACGGAAGGAAAGGGCAAAUGUGAAAAUUGGAAUUUUGGAAAUUGGAAACUAGAAUUUGGAAGAAUUAGUUAAAGAUAAAAUUUUAAAAAUGAAUAAAUAAAUAAAUAAAAUAAAAUAAUAAUUACAAAAAUAAUAGUGAUUAAAUGAAUAAAUGUGAAAAUUGGAAUUUUGGAAAUUGGGAAUUAGAUUUGGAGGUCAGAAUUUUGAAGGAUUAUUUAAAGAUAGAAUUUUAAAAUAAAUAAUAAAUAUAAUAANNNNNNNNNNNNNNNNNNNNNNNNNNNNNNNNNNNNNNNNNNNNNNNNNNNNNNNNNNNNNNNNNNNNNNNNNNNNNNNNNNNNNNNNNNNNNNNNNNNNGAAUUUUGAAGGAUUAUUUAAAGAUAGAAUUUUAAAAAUAAAUAAAUAAAAUAAUAAUAAUAACGAUUAAAUAAAUGAAUGCGAAAAAUGAAAUUUUGGAGAUUGGAAAUUAAAUUGGGAAAUCGGAAUUUUGAAAAAUUAUUUAAAGGUGGAAUUUAAAAUAAAUAAAUAAAAUAAUAAUAAUAACGAGAAUAAUAAUGAUUAAAUAAAUAAAUGUGAAAAUUGAAAUUUUAGAAAUUGGAACUUAAAUUUGGAAAUAAGAAUUUUGAAGAUAUUUAUUUAAAGAUGAAAUUUAAGGAAAUCAAACCUUGACACGUGAUAGAAAAGGUGAAAAAAAAAAUAACAAUAAUUCACCAUGCCACGUAGAGAACUUAAAGUGCUCUUGCCACUAAUAAAACCUCAUGCCACAAUACACCAAAUCAAGAAAAGGAAGGCCAUCACUACCCGCCACCCAUUUUUUAAAUAAUAAAAAUAAAUCCUUCAGGAAUUGCCAUUCCACUACCAACUCUAUCCACUUUACUCUUUUAAAAAUUCUUCUGUUGUGCUCUUCUAAAUCAAGCAAAAAACACAGAGAGGCUGAGAGGGGUCAUCCUUCCAAACUGCCUUAGAAUUGCUACAAUAGAGGAGCCACUAUGUGAACAAAGCAGCAUCUCUCUGAUAUGACCAUGAAAGAACCCAGGACAUCCUGAACAAGGAGAAAAUCAAUGCCCAUAAACUAGAAGGCCAUCACAAAGAAUGACUAAUGAGGAUGUGCUCCACCAGCUCCAUCAAAUGCAAGCGGAUAUUGCUAGCUCACAAAACUGCUACUUUAUGCACCAUGACCAAAGAAGGCAGAUUUGAGGACAAGUGAACGGACUUUGGAAGCACAUGGCUGUGAAGCCAAGCUUAACCCAACACCAAUGGGGACUUUUGUAGCCUUUUUUUUUUUUUUUGGGAAACAGAUUUCUAAAGAGAGAAAGUGUAGGAAAAUGUGAGGGUUUUCCACUCCCACACCUUUGAUUGUUUGGGUUCAUUCUUCUUGUCUCUUCUUCCUGGUUUGUGGUGUGUGAAGGAAAUGAAAACGGCCGUGCAUGCAAGUUCUUUUGCAUGAGUGAGAAACGAGCAGUGGGGCAACUGGGUGUGAUGGGUAGCCAUGCAUAUGGCUUCAUGCACGUGAGAAAAGGGUGGGAAUGAGCUGAAAAUGAGUAUUGGUGGGAGAAAUGGGUCUCAUGGCCAUUUGAAAAAUGGGGACGUGGUGUAGAGAGAGAAGAUGGUGGUGAUGGGUAUGUCGGUAAGAAGGAUGAUGAGGUGAGGGUGACCAUGCAUUUUGGACCUCAUGCACAUGGGGAAAUGGUGGAAGUAAGUUGAAGGUGGGUUAGAUGGGCGGGCAAGAAGGGUGGUGGAGUGAUGAGGAUUAAGCAAACACUAGAACAUAAAACACAUGAUGAUACGGAACCCCAUUACAGGUGACACCCAUAAGCUUAAAGUGAGUGAGAUUAACAAAGAAAAUAAAUAAGGGUCCCAUAUGUCAAGCUUCAGAAAUGAACUCAUGCAUCAAUCUUGUACAAAGAAAGGCAAAGGAACUCUAAAAACGGAGCAUGCACAUGGAAGAAUAAAUUCGACCAAGACAAAUAAAUGACUCUUCCUAUCCAUAUUGAAACAAGAAGUUGAUGCCCAAAAAAUAAUAAAAAAAUAAAGUUGAAAAUGAGAAUAAAAAGCCCUGUGGAAGUCAGAAAACAAGGAGCUAUAUUAGUCAAACCUGGAAGGCCCUCCUCAAGCAAAAAGUUGCUCGUCUUCGAGCUCCCCUACCCUGAGAAUGAUUUCUUCUUUCUCUCAAUUGCUUGCCUACUCCAACUUUCUUCCUCCUCAAGUUGCUUUCUAAGGCUCUUCACUAGUUCACUCUCCAGUUCUCUUCAUGUGCUCUCAGCUGGUAUCUCUCUCAAAAUCGUUCCCUCGUAACUACAAAAAACUUUUUUUUUUCUCAUAUCCUCCGUUUGCUAUGUCAAAAAAAUCUUCUUUUUUUUUUUUUCUAAAAGUCCCCCAGCCAGCUCGCAGAACACGCUCCCCCUGUCCCUUACAGCUCACCCCUCCUCUAUAACCCACCACUUUUUUUUUUUUUCUUUUUCUUUUUUUUUUUUUUUUCAGUUUCUUCCUUUUCAAAUGGUUGUCCCCUUUGUACCAAGCAACUUACCUCUUCUUUUCCUUCCUGCUUCCCGUCCUCUUUAGCUGCCCAAUACAACACAUCCAUCAGUCUUCUUUGGUUGCUAGUCUUGUCUAGCCGUCCCUUACAGCACAUUCUCGAGUUGAUGAAGAAGAAGAUAUAAUAAAAUAGUAAUAAAAAAACCAAAGAAAUGCCCCCAUCUGAGGGGGUCCACACAAUCACAUAAAUAACAAAUCUUUAUGGAUGAUUAAUUUAAAAAUGGAGAUCAAAAUAACUUUUUUUUUUACAUAUCAGGAUAAUUUCGAUUUAUAUGAUUUAAGAAAAAUAUAUCACAUAUAAUAUAAAUAUAAAAAUUAAGUUAACCACUUAAUUAUAAAAAUAUAAAUUAUUUAAAAAAAUAUAAAAGAUAAUUUUAUAUUAUUAUAAUAUAUUAUGUAUUAAUAUAAUUGUGAAUCCGUGUUUUUCAUAUCAAUCACCUUUUAUUUGAAAAUUUGAUAUUUUUUUUCUUUUUUCUUUUUUCUUUUUUUAAUUGUUUUCUCCUUUCCUUCUACAGAAAUUCUUCAGCCCCUCUUUUCUCCGUAGAACUUUUUCUUUUUUGGUUCGCCUCCUAGCCAGCCACCCUCUCGAAAUAUCUCUGCAGCAACAUAUCCUACCCUCGCAACCUUACCCUCUCUUUCCUGUAACAACCAUCUGUAGGGACUAGGAGAGAAUAUGUUGUCUCCAAUCCAAGUGGUCCCAAAAAAGAUGUGAAAAGGGGGCCCAAAAUGGGGUCUAUAAAAAUAUAGUUGAUUUAUCUAUUUAUAAGUAUUAUUUAUUAAUUAAUAUCAUAUUUUAAUUAAUUUUAAGGUAUUUAAAGUAAAUAACUUACAUUUAAAUUAUUGUUUUUUAAUAAUGAAGAUAUAUAUAUAUAUAUAUAUAUAUAUAUAUAUAUAUAUAUAUAUCUUUUAAAAUUAAUUUAAAUUAUUUUAUUAAUAAAAAAUUAAUUCAUUCAUUGUCUUUAAAAAAAAUUAUCUCUUUCAUGGUUUUAGUUAUAAGACUUGUAAAUUUUAUUUUUAAAAUAAUUAUUAAUAAUAAAUAAUAUGAAAAUUCAAAAUUCUUGUUAAAAAAAGUAAAAUGAUUAAAAGAUAUGGUACCAAUCAUUAUUAAUUAUUAAAAAUUAAUUUUUAAAUAUUAAAUUAUUAAUUUUAUCAUUAGAAUUAUCAUAAUAAAUUUGAAUUUGUAAUAGUAAUAAAUGAAAGACUAAAAGUAAAAUAAGUAUAUAUGACAAAUUUAUGGAUUUGCCAAACAUAAUGAAAAAAAAAAAAGUUAUUUACUCUUAAAAAUAUUUUUUCAAACAUUAAAUGAUAAUUUUCAGAUUUCUUAGAAUUAUUAUAAUAAUUUUAAGUUAUAAAAUUUUAUUUGAAUUAAAUUUUAGGUCAUUAUGAAAAAUAAAAAUAAAAAUAAAUUCAUAUGUGAGCUUUAAUUUUUAUCCAAUAUAAAAAACUGAAUAUAUUUUUUAAAAAUAUUAAAUUAUUGAUAUUUUAUGAAUUUAAUAUAUGGAGUGAUAGUGAAUAAGAAAAGUAUAAAAGAUAUGGUUAUAAAAUUAUAAAAAAAAAUAAAUAAAUCAACAUCAUAUCAUUGACUAAAACUAUAAAAAAAAAAAAAUAAAUCAACAUCAUAUCAUUGACCCACAUGCGCCAUUAGUUUCAUAUGGUAUAGGAGGGGAGAGAAGAAGUGGGUGGGUGAGGGUUGGUGGAGGAGAAAAAGGAAGAGAUAGGAAAGAGGAAAAAUAAAAUAAUAAAGAAAAAAAUAAAUAAUAUAAUAUAAUAUAAUAAUAAUAAUAAUAAUAGCAACAAAUAAAAUGAAUAAAUAAAAAUAAAAAAUAAAAAAAUAAAAAAACAUAAGAAAAGAAUUUGAAAAAUAAUGAAAACUAAAAAUUAAAGGGUGAGUGUGUCAAAAAAACACAUGUAAUUGAAAUUUAAAAUUGAGCUCAAAAUUAAUAUAAAAAUAAAAUUAGGACAAAUUUUAGGGUGUACAAGUUGAUUUAUCUAUUUAUAAGUAUUAUUUAUUAAUUAAUAUUAUAUUUUAAUUUUUUUAUUUUAUAUAUUAUUUUAAUUCAUUUUAAGUUAUUUAACGUAAAUAACUUACAAUUAAAUUAUUAUUUUUUAAUAAUGAAUAUAUAUAUAUAACUCUUAAAAUUAAUUUAAAUUAUUUCAUUAGCAAAAAAAAUAAUUCAUUCAUUGUCUUUAAAAAGGUUAUCUCUUUCGGGGUUCACUUAUAAGACUUGUAAAUUUUAUUUUUAAAAUAAUUAUUAAUAAUAAAUAAUAUUAAAAUUCAAAAUUCUUGUUAAAAAAAAGUAAAAUGAUUAAAAGAUAUGGAACCAAUCAUUAUUAAUUAUUAAAAAUUAAUAACUUAAAUUAAUUUUUAAAUAUUUAAAUUAUUAAUAUUUAAAAAUUUUAUCAUUAGAAUUAUCAUAAUAAAUAUGAAUUUCAUAAUAGUAAUAAAUGAAAGACUAAAAGUAAAAUAAGUAUAAAUAACAAAUUUAUGGUUUUGUCAAACAUUAUGAAAAAAAAAAAAGUUAUUUACUCUUAAAAAUAUUUUUUCAAACAUUAAAUGAUAUUUUUCAGAUUUCUUAGAAUUAUUAUAAUAAUUUUAAGUUAGAAAAUUUUAUUUGAAUUAAAUUUUAGGUCAUUAUGAAAAAUAAGAAAAAAAUAAAUUCAUAUGUGAGUUUUAAUUUUUAUCCUACAUAAAAAACUAAAUAUUUUUUAAAAAUAUUAAAUUAUUGAUAUUUUAUGAAUUUAAUAUCUGGAGUGAUAGUGAAUAAGAAAAAUAAAAAAGAUAUGGUUAUAAAAUUAUAAAAAAAUAAAUCAACAUCAUAUCAUUGACCCACAUGCGCCAUUAGUUUCAUAUAGUAACUAAAGCUACUUUAAAAUUUCUUUUUUGUUACGUGUCUGAUUUUCCAUGCCAUAAAUUUCCUGGGAAUUCAUCCUUUAGAAAGAAAGGAAAAGUAAUGCGCAGCCAUGAACGUACCUUCGUGUGGUUGAACAUUCAAAGCUUCUCCUCUUUAAAAACCUCCCUUAAACCCCUCGCUCCAACUCAUUCAAUUCAGUGUAAAGCGAACCAGCCAUUGCUACAGAGGGAAUCCAUGGAUUCGUCGUCUCUUCUCCUCUUGUUGUUGCUGGGUUUCUUUUGUUUUGCUGAGUUCACAUCCCAUGCUCAACUUAUUCCAGAAGAUGAAGGUAUCACCACUGUAAUCUCACUUGUUCGUUCCAUUUCUGGGGAAAAUGAAACUUGGGUUUUGUUGUUAAAGAAAUCUGGGGAAAAAGAGAAGUAAAUUUGGUCUUUUCGAGCCAUCUGUGCUUUGUUUAAUACUUCACUGCUAUAAUUUUUUGGAAUCUUGUGGAUUUCUCAUGGUUUGCGAGAAUUUUGACAUUUCUGUUUGUCUCACAGUUCUUUAAAUUUUAUGAUGCUCUGGGAAUUCUUAUGGAAACAGAAAAGCAGGCAUAUCAGAUUAUGUUUUAUUUUCUUUUUUCAAAUUUUCCUCUGCUUUCUCUGCUCCCAAACGUUGGCUUAUAUCAUUCUGCUGGAAAAUUGUUUGUGCCUCUGAGCCAUAGCGAAUUUUUUAUCUGAAACGAUAAGCCAUCUUUAGUUACCGGGAAAUAAGAAAUUUUAAAAUAUAUAAAAUUUUAAUUAAUUUAAUUAUAUUUUAUUUUCUUUCGUAUUUAUACACUUGAAAACAAAUGCGAGAAAGCUAGCAUUUUUUUUCUUAUUUAAAAAAAAAAGUCAAUUUAUUUAUUUAUAUUUAUAUUUGUAUUUAUUACCAUGGUGGCAAUGCCAUUUUAUUAAGGAAAAUACAUAUAUUUAUUUUAGUAUUUGGACUUUAUUUCCAUUGAAUUAUUACCUAUAUUGUCAGGAAAUGGUAGAAAAAGAAUGGAAUGAGUCCACUUGAAUUAUCAGACCAUAUUGAAUUCAUCUCUGAGUCAGUCCCAGGUCCACUUCCUGGACUUUGCGCCCACCUAAAUUAAUCUUUAGGCCCACCAAUUUGUCUUGAUUCCAUGGUUGUUUGGAAUAAGGAAAUCGGGUUGCGUGUGGAAAAUUGGAUGAGUCAGGGAUUGUUGUUGAUUGGUAGUGUCGGUGUGAUAUCUACUGGUCUUCAAAGUCAAAGGCAGAAGAAGAACAUUGAUAUGGAUAGGUCUUGACCAUAUGAAAAGCAUAUUUUGGACUAAAAAUACACGUACCAUACAUGUGCCUUUGUUUGAAAAUAAUUAUGAAAAAUAGGUAUUUUGUCAAUUGUUUUUUUGUUUUUUAGGAAAAAAAAUGAAUAAGAAAAUAUAUUUCACAACCAAAAAAUAAAAAAUUGAAAAUAAAUUUAUGUUCUUAAAAACUGAAAAAUAAAAUAUUUUUAGAAAAUAUUUUUUUACUGUUUUCACUUGUUUUGUGAUAAUCAUUUUAAAAACUAAUUAUACAAAUAUAAAAAAAAUAAAACACUAUAAAUAAAAAUUAUUUUAAAAAUAUAAAAAAUAUGUUAACGUUUUAAUUUCCUAAAGAGACUUUUGUACUACAAAAUAUUAUAAAAUAAUUUUGAGAAAAUGUUUUUCAAAACUGUUUUCGAAAAUACUUCCCAAAUAAAGCUUAACUUUUGAAAACUAUUCUAUGAUAAUUUGUUAAAACAAAAUUUUGCUUUGAAACUUAAAACAUUUUUAAUCUGUUUUAUAUGUUUUGAAAAAUAGUUCUUCUCUCAUAUUUUGUAAAACAAAAAUUUGUUAGGAAUUUAAAAUAUUUUAAACCUAUUUUUUAUUUUUUAAAAUUUUUAUAUAACGUCUUUGUAUAAUUAUUUUUUAAAUCAUCUAUUAGAAAAUACCAUAUUUUUUGUUUUUUGAUUGUCAAACAUGUUUUCCUUUUUUUUAUUCUUAGAAACAUAGACAAGUAGGUCAUUCAUGCAGCUUACAUGGUGUGAUCACUUCAAAGGAGAGGUCAUAUGCAAUUAAAAUUUAAUGUAGUAUAAAUUAUUGGCUUGUUUUAGUAGAGGUUUGGCGAGUGUCAUCAAUAGUGCUUUAAAAUUUGGUAAUAUUAGAAGUCACUUUAAGAUUGGAAUUGAUUGUAGAGGAUUACACUUCAUAGAGUUGUUAUCAUUAGUCAUUCUUUUUCUGUACAUUCAUAAAUCCUUAUAACUGAUCAUUUUGUAUCUGCUCUGUAACAGUGCAAACUCUUAGAACAAUAUUCACAAAGCUAAACUACAAAUAUUGGAACAUAAGCCAAACUUCAUGCAGUGGAGGUUUCAAUCGAACCAUCGAUGAUAAUAGUUACAGCAAUGUCGCAUGCAACUGCACCUUCAACAAAGGAAAUGUUUGCCAUGUCACAAACAUGUAUGAUUUUAUUUUCUUGUUCUUCCCUGACAUAAUAUAUAUAUAAAAAAUUCAAUCCAUUAGAUUAAUGGAAAAGUAAUUGCAUGAGUAUAUGGAAUGGAAUAUUAUUUGCUUAAUGUUAAUAGGAAAGAAUUAGUGACAUCUUUGGAUUACAUAGGCAUUAUUUUUCCUUUCUAUCUCUUUGCAAGGCCAUUUGAUUUGUGUGCUUUGUUAAAUUCCCAUUGCAUUCAUGUACUAAAACCUUUUUUUUUUCAUGCAAAAUGAAUUGCCUAAAGUCUAGUGAAUAAAAGCCUUGUCUUUGUUUUAUAUUGAUUCAGUUUCGAUCUCUUGAACUUGAUUUGCAAAUUCCUUGUUUCCAUAUCAAUUAUCAUACGUUAGUGAGCAAUUAAUUCUAUCAUUAAGUCCACUUUCUAGUGGCUGAAUGAAAUGGCCCAAUGCAACUAGAGCUUGUGGAUUUUCACUUGUUCAUAAUGCCAGAGUGCUAAAGAGUAAAUGUUGGUUCCCACACUAUUCGAUCAAAGCUUCAAAUGAUUGUUUACAUUGAUUACUAGGUUUCCUGCCAUAAGUUUGACCUUUUUCACUUUUGAAGAUGAAAUUGAACGUCCAUUUUUUAUUAUACAUAUUAUAAUAUAUGGUUAAAAGAACACUUUGAAGAUCGAUCUAUAAAAGAAUUGAUAUGGUUUGAUUCCUCAAUUGAAUCAAUAGUAUCUCUAGAGUCCGCUUCUUCCCAAUACUAUGCGUGCAAAGAGAAAAAGUAAGGACUACCAUUAAAGCAGUCCAAGCAAGACUUAGAGCGCGUUUGAAAGUGUUUUUAUUUGAAGUAUUUUUAAUUUAAGUGUUUUUGAGAUAAUCACAUAUCAAAUAUUUCUCCAAAAAGUACUACUAGUGAUUUUUCAACUUUUUAAAAGUACUUGCCGAAUUUUGCCAAACGCCUUAUUUUUCUUUACAAACGCCUUUUAUGCUAGAAGUGCUUUCUCAAAUAGUGGAAUCAAUAGCAUAAGUCAAAAAAGGAUUAUGACCAACUACAUUGAUGAACCAAUCCUAUAAAUCCACUUAUGAUAAAACAAGUCCUUAUAGGAUUUCUAGUAGAGUCAGAAAACAUUAAGCAGAAGCACAAUAUGCUUGGGUAUGAGAACUUUAGCCUGACUACCAAGUCUAAUUAUUUUGUUAUACGUCAGUUGUACUUUUCAUUUUCUUAUUUUUUACUUCCUUUUGUGAAUUACAGCCAGCUGAAGGGUCUUGAUUUGGAUGGAACUUUACCUGAUGAGUUUGGAAAUCUUUCUUAUCUGCAAGAACUGUAAGUGACAUGUUUCUCAACAUUGGGAAGUCAAUGGACCAAAUUUGCCUUGAUGUUUCAUUGGGUUUUUCAACUUAUCAAACAAAUUUCUUAACUCACCAAUACCUUAAUCCCUACUACAUGGGGUUGCAGUUUCACUAAAUUAUAGAGGUUAGUUCACUUCUGAUGUGUUUGAAUAUCCCAUGAAAUUAAGUUAGACCAUUGUGUUUCAAAUAACAUUCAAAACAAGUCCAUUGCGUUUACUAUAGUAUUUACAUGAUUUUAUUGCCUUUUUAAAAAAAAAUAAUAAUAAUAAUAAUAAGUGCAGGCAAAGAUUAAAACAAAUGAUCUCAUUUCACUUUUGUUGUGGUGAUUACCAAUUUUUGUGUUUUCUAGUAAUAGUAAUAGACUGGAUAAACUGUCAUGAAAAUUAUUUGAUCAUCAUCAUCAGAUUCAGUUUUUGAUAUUGUACAGUCAUCUCCAGUAUCUGACUUGAACCCAAAUGAGGGAUUCUUCUUUUAUCCGGUGACCAUGUAAAAUUAAAAUAUACUAAGGGAUUCUUUUUUUUUACUAAAGCAGUGAUCUCUCCCGAAACUAUAUCAAUGGAUCGAUCCCUACAAGUCUCGGUCGGCUUUCUCUUACCAUUCUGUAAGUUCUGAUUAAUUGCAUUUGCACUUGUGAGGUGAGGGUCUUGUUUUCCAGUAAUUUACUAAGUACUUCAUAGUUGGGAAAGUUUAACUUUUGGUACACUGCAGUGCUCUUGUUGGAAACAGAAUCUCUGGGUCGAUUCCUGAAGUAAUCAGUAAUAUCAGUACACUUGAGGAGCUGUAAGUCAUGAAACGGAGUUGAAUGUCUAUUAGAGAAAUUAAUGAUGCCCAACCUUGAUUAUAAAUCCAAAUUUACUUUUCCAGGGUCUUGGAAGCUAAUCAGCUUGGAGAACAUCUCCCUCCAAGUCUUGGAAAGUUGAGUCAUUUAAGGAGACUGUAAGAAUGUUGUUCUCAUCCCUUUCCUUAUAUGCAUAUUAAUUAUUCAUUUCUUUUAUUUCAAAUAAUCACCAAGUCCUUGUAUUCUGGUUGUAGUCUUAGCUGCCAAAAUGCCCAAAAUCAAUUUGAGGAAGCUAAUUUUUUGAGUCAAAGACUUUUAUAAUGCAUUUUGUGUGAUGAAAUGACUCAUGGAUAUGGUGAUUGUAUACUGGUUGAGUUCAUUUUCAGUUGCACGAUUGCUUAUUUUUUAGUUCAUUUACAUCGAGUUAAUGAAAAUAAUGGGAAGAUGGAUUUUCAUAUAUCUGAAAGUGCAAUCUACCUUUUUUGUUCUUUUAUCUCCAGGGUGAAUCAUGAGAAAUAUUUAUAACCAAGAACACAAAUAUAGGCAAAUAUGGCUAUGAACUAGGCGGUUUUUAUGGACUGACAGAUGGAAAUUCAUAUAGGCUAUUUCUAUUUUUCUAACAUUAAGAAACCAAGUUUAGUAUUCAUUAAUUCAUCCUAUGAUGAAAUGGAGAUGUAGAGCAUGAUUUGUAAUGCUUCAUAGAGAAUAGAAGUAAAGAUGAUAAGGACUAAUCUGCUGGGUAUUUACACAUUGUGUUUUUAAUGCCAAAGUUCAUCAUUUGGGAAGUUACUUUGUUUUGGAGGGUGAUUAACAUUGUUGGGGAAUUAUUUUUUCUUAAUGUUUUCAACAAAAGACUUUGCAUUGACCAUCUAUUCUGGUUCUGUUGUCUAAUAACUAUUUCCAAGGAAUUCAUUUGUUUUUUUCUUUCGGUGCUCCUACAGUGUUCUUUCUGCAAACAAUUUCACAGGAACAAUACCAGAAAAUUUUCACAAUCUCAAGAACCUAACUGAUUUGUAAGUGGUGUAAUUAUUUGGACAUUUAUCCUUUUAUGCAAAUUUAGCAUUUUCUGAACUGCAUGUACCAUUUGUAGUAGGAUAGAUGGGAAUAAUUUAUCUGGGAAGAUACCAGAUUGGAUUGGGAAUUGGACCAAACUUGAGAAACUGUGAGUGUUAUACUUCAUUUCAUUUAUCUGCCAUUUUGUCCACUUAGAAAAAUUUCAUACAAACUCAGCUAAAUUCUCUAGUAAUCUAUAAACAUAUUAAACUGUUGCAGGUAUCUGCAAGGCACAUCAAUGGACGGGCCCAUUCCUUCUAUUAUAUCCCAGUUGAAAAACUUAACCGAGUUGUGAGCAUGUGUUCCACUAUCUAAUAGUUGCUGUAUUCAGUUCAUGAUGUUAUUCAAGAUUAAAAUUCAAUUCAUAGAAAUGUAAUUAUUUAAUUUGUUUUGUUGUAUCUUAAUCAUCAGGUUAAUAUCUGAUUUGAGUGGACCGAUUACAUCUUUCCCCAAUUUGAAGGAUAUGAACAAAUUAAAAACAUUGUGAGUUGAAGAUAGAUAUAUUUCAUGAAUCAUGACAAGCUGCAGUCCUAAGUUAUCCACAUUAUGUUCCAUUAACUUAUCAAGAUGUUUUACCUCAUUUGUGUUAUGCAGGGUGAUGAGAAAUUGCUCCAUUACAGGUGAAAUCCCAGAAGACAUUGGAAAUAUUGAAAGUUUAAAACUUUUGUAAGUUUUUUUGAAUGGACAUUCUUAGAGAUGUUCUUAAUUUUCUUCAUUGGUAUAUAUGUAUGUAUGUAAGAAGAAGAAAAAUAUAAUCAGGAUAUAAUUCUCCUAUGGCAUACAAUCAGUACAUUACAUGGUUGUAUGGAAACAACUUUUCUGAUUCAUGUUGAACUUUUUUCUUGCAGAGACCUGAGCUUCAACAGACUGAGUGGUACAAUUCCAAAGAGCUUUAAGCAAGAAAAGAAGGUGAAAACAAAACUCGAUUUCAUGUAAGUUAAAUACUUGUAAUAAAGUACAAGUCUAAAUAUCCAGAAAUCUACAUUUUAUUGGCUCCUUAACCAGUCAUUUUUAUCCAUUAAUAACUUGUUUAAUUAUAACUGAGAUAUGGUGCUAUCUAUGUACACAGGUUUCUCACCAACAACUCACUGACUGGAGAAGUGCCCAGCUGGAUAAGAUCGGACACUGAAAACAAAAUGUUAGUAUUUCUCAGUCUCCAGUUGUUCUGAUUUGGCUAUGAUAUCAUUCAUGUAUUGUACAAUGUUACAUACACAUGUGGUCUCUUUUUAUCAGUGGUUCUUUGAAACCAAAUUAAUAUUUGAGUCUCUCGUUCAAUCAAGAAAUAUAACACUAACUCCAUUUCAAUCUCGGUUGCAGUGAUUUAUCUUACAACAAUUUUACAGGGCCACGGCUUGAUUCUUGCAAACACCAAGUGUAAGCUUUCUUCCUUCCAUUAUUUGUACAUUUGGUUCUGUUUUUCCCUCAUCUUCUUGAAACAUUUUUUCACAACUCCACAGGAACUUGGUUUCCAGCUAUGCAUCUUCAGCAAGAAACAUGUAAGUUCUUCCAACCUUGUUUUACAUGUGCAUUCAGCAUUAGAAUUAUAAACAGGAGACUGAAUCAUAGUUCAACUUUCUAGGACCCCUUGGUGCUUACAGAAGGAUCUCCCUUGCUCUAGAAAAGCCAAAUGUAAGCUUUUGUAACCUAUUGUACUCUGUUAGUAUGAAGUGGCAAAUAAGUUGAAUCUCUGCCUUGAUUCCAGUUACAUUUAAUUGCAGACUAUUCCUUGUAUAUCAAUUGUGGAGGAGAGGAAACAACUUUUAAAGGGAAGACAUAUGAAAAAGACAAUAAUGUUGAGGGUGCAUCACAGUUCUUUACUGAUAGUCUAGACAAAUGGGCUUAUAGCAGUACAGGGGUUUUCAUAGGCAACCGGCAUGGUAGUCACCUAGCUAAAAACGAAUCUGCUUUGAACUCAAAGGAUGCAGAGAUCUACCAAACUGCUCGUCUUGCUCCCAUCUCACUCAAGUAUUAUGGGCUUUGCUUGCAAAAGGGCAAUUAUAAAGUGCGACUCUACUUUGCUGAAAUCAUGUUUUUUACUAACCAGACAUUUGGUAGCCCUGGGAAGCGCUUGUUCGAUGUUUCAAUUCAAGUGAGUGAAAAUAUCAAUUUCAUUAUCUCUAUUCCAAAUAUGUAAAGAACUGACUGUACUUUUCUACAGGGGAAUGUAGUUUUGAAGGAUUUUAAUAUCAUGGAAGAAGCUAAAGGUGCUGGUAAGGGCAUUUAUAAGGAUUUUGAUGCCUCUGUUGAUGGUAGCACUCUGGAGAUCCACUUAUACUGGACAGGCAAAGGGACUAAUUCCAUUCCGGAUGAAGGUGUAUAUGGGCCUCUUAUAUCUGCUAUUGCAGUGACACCAAGUGAGCUUAUCUCAUAUUCCAGGUUUUACUACUUUUCUCGCCACUAGCUUGUCAUGGUGUUAUAUAUCUUACUGUUCUUGUAGAAUUCAAUCCCAACCCGGGGCUGUCUGUUGGAGGUAUCAUCGGCAUUGUGAUACCUUCAUGUGUGGUCCUCAUAUUGAUUUUGGUACUCUUACGAAUGAAAGGCUACUUAGGAGGAAAAGACCUUGAAGAUAGAGGUGAGAUUAAUCAUGCAGGAAAUUUGUGACUGUAAUGCCUUAUCUCUUUGAAAUUGUGACAAUACUUUGUGUGCUUGUUUUUCACCAAUUUUAUUUCACUUGUUACAGAACUACGUGAGCUAGGGAUGCAAACUGGUUAUUUUAGUUUACGACAGAUCAAAGCUGCUACCAAUAACUUUGACUCUGCAAAUAAGAUUGGUGAAGGUGGAUUUGGGCCAGUUUACAAGGUAGUUACAGAUUUGGAUUUUCCUUUAACAACUGUAUACUAAAGCAGUGAUUAAGAGGGAAAUGCAAUGCUUUUCUGCAGCUAUCUCACAUCCUUGCAUUAUCUGAAUUCAUGAUCCAAAAUUUUGUCCUGCUUGAUCUUAGGGUGUACUGUCAGAUGGUUCAGUAAGUGCUGUUAAGCAGCUCUCUUCUAAAUCGAAGCAAGGGAACCGAGAAUUUGUAAACGAAAUAGGCAUGAUAUCUGCCUUACAACACCCAAAUCUUGUGAAGCUUUAUGGCUGUUGUAUCGAAGGAAACCAGUUGUUGCUCAUAUACGAAUAUUUGGAAAACAAUAGUCUUGCACGUGCACUUUUUGGUAAAUGCUUCACUACGAUUUUGUAUUCCAUUUUAUUAUAUUUCAACAAUGAAUAUUAUGACUUAAGCCUCUACCUCGACCACUUGUAGGUUCUGAUGAACAGCGGCUAAAUUUGGACUGGCCAACUAGGAAGAAGAUAUGCUUGGGGAUAGCAAGGGGAUUGGCAUAUCUUCAUGAAGAGUCAAGAUUGAAAAUUGUUCAUAGAGAUAUAAAGGCAACAAAUGUGCUGCUUGAUAAGAAUCUAAAUGCUAAGAUAUCCGACUUUGGCUUGGCUAAGCUGGAUGAAGACGAGAACACCCAUAUCAGCACACGGAUAGCUGGAACAAUGUGAGUGUUUUCGCUCAUUUCCUCCUGUUAUUAGCUUCCCUAUAUCAAAUUUGUAUAUGAUAUAAGAUUAUAACUUUGGUGCUGAAAAUGUGGAGAUUAAUUUCUUCUAUGCAUUUGAAUUCAUGUCAGAUAAAUAAUAAAUUGAUACAAUGAGAUGGAAAACUUAAUCAAACACUGAAAUAUGGAAUUUCUAAGUAGCAGUUCUUUUUUCCAUUUUAGGUUUAAAAAGCUCAUUCUCUUCAUUGUUUAUUCUGUAAAGUCGAUUGUUGAAACAGCUCUAGAAAGGUCCAACUAUUAUUGAGAAUUUGUUACUACAAAAUCUGAAGCUACAAAAUCUGAAGCAUCAGUGGCUUCGAGGCAUAAGUUGUCAAUCCUCUUUCUCUGGUUUUGGAGAAGCAGAAUUUAGUAAGACUGUCGAGUUUCUGAAGUGGGUUCAUGCAUAUACAGAAAAUUUUGCCUCUCAAAUAUGGUUGAUUAGUUCUUCUUGUCCUCUUUCCAACAAUAAUUUUGUGCAUAUAUUGAUUAUAUGUAUAGCACAAGACUCACCAUUGAGCUGCUGAUUUUUCUUCAGAGGAUACAUGGCUCCUGAAUAUGCAACGAGGGGUUACUUGACCGACAAAGCUGAUGUUUACAGCUUUGGAAUUGUUGCUUUAGAGAUUGUCAGCGGGAAAAGCAACACCAAUUACAGGCCAAAGGAAGAGUUUGUUUAUCUUCUUGAUUGGGUAAACAAUGGAUUCUUGCUCAUCCUUUUUGCUAUAUUUUUUCUGACCAUAUGUGCUUAUAAUGAAGAACGUGUUUCGGGUUCUACAUUGGACUGCAGGCUUAUGUCCUGCACGAGCAGGGAAAUCUUCUGGAGCUGGUGGAUCCAAGUCUUGGUUCAAACUACUCAGAGGAGGAGGUGAUGAGGAUGCUGAACUUGGCCCUCUUAUGCACCAACCAAUCUCCCACUCUCAGGCCACCCAUGUCCUCUGUAGUGAGUAUGCUUGACGGCAAAAUUGCAGUCCAAGCACCAACAAUCAAGCAUGAUUCUAUGAACCCGGAUAUGAGAUUCAAAGCCUUUGAGAAGCUCUCACUGGACAGCCAGUCUCAUGUCUCAGCAUUCUCUGUAGACAGUCAGGUCCAAGGCAGCAUAUCACUUGAUGGACCAUGGAUUGAUUCCUCAAUUUCCCUCCAUAGCAGAGAAGAAACAAGGGACUUUUCUUCAUCAAGCAAGCUUCUUACAGGACACCAAGAUCUUUACAGUAUACAUUUGGACUGAUCAAUGAAAAUAUGGUAUAUUAAUAAUACUUCCAAGUUGUUCUGCAAGAAUGUUUUCUGCAAACUAUUUCGAAUUGAUUCUUGAAGUAGUAGAAGCAGAAAUAAGUAUGUUUUGUUGUAUAAUUACAAUAUUUGUAUAAAAUUAUGUGAAUAAGUGCUCCGGUUGAGGCUUGAUGAAGAAAAAUAUUUAUAUUUCUUUAUUUUUCCAACUUACUCCAUGACGGUAACUCAUCAUUCCACAGAGAGAAAUCAGUAUAUAUUUAUUUUAUUUUGUUCAACUUUAUUUCCAUUUUAUCAUCAUUUGUUAUGUAUCCAAAAAAGUUGAUAAACAGAAGGGAAUAAAAGGUUUUACUCUAUUGGGCUUGAGCCCACUUGAAUUAUCAGACCAUACCAAAUCCAAAGCCCAUUUUCUAGGCUUCAGGCCCAACUGAAUUAACUACGACCCCACCAAUUUGUCUUGGUAUGAUGUGGAAUGAGCAUCUCUACUCUAUUGGGGUUUGGGCCCACUUGAAUUGUCACAUUGUUGAAGCUAACUUUGACUCAGUCCAAUGCCAACUUGUUGAGUUGUUCGCCUACCUGAAUUGAGCGGGAGGCCCACCAAUUUUUAUUGAUUUGAGAUUCGAAGAAAUGAUGGUGACAACUAACAUGUGAGAAGAUGAUGUUUUUGUGGUAGAAAAUCAGAAAACCCCUUAGGGUUCUUAGACAAUCAAAGACAUUCAAAGGCACUUGGAAGUUUUUGGUCAGUAAAAGAACUAUAGCGUCAUAUAUCAAAAUUCCUUGAAUGGUUUUGUUAGGUAACAACAGUUUGAUUUAUGUCAUUGCUUUCAAUUCAUUAAUUAACACGAGUUUUGACUCUUGAAAGUGGGUCAAUGAGGGCAAGGGAUGAAAUGUUUGAAGAAUUGCAGUAGUUAAGGGUCCUUUUCUCAUAUAGGCAAGGGAUAAGGUCCCACAAACACAACCUCAGUGAAUAUAUAUAUAUAUGAUUCAUUGCAUAAAAGUCCUUUCCUGUGGGUCAGCUAGGUUGGGUGGUUAGGGUUAAUAGUUGGGCCAGAUGGGUGGGUUAUGGUAUUUGGUUGACUGGUUCCUUGGAUGACAUUGCAUUGUGUAACCCACUGAUGUUGGAAUGUCAAAGGUAGGAAAAAGAAUUAAUCAGUGAUAUGGAUAGUUCUUGACCUUAUGAUUAUAAAAUAAUCUAUAAUGUAGAUUAUUAAAUUUUCAAAAUACAAAAUUUAGAUUAAAUAGGCCUCUAAGACAAGGCAUUGCAAUGCAUGUGAAAUGAUUCAUGUUUUGGAAUAAAAAUAUAUACAUUUUGUAGGCAAUCCAGGGUUCAAAGCAAGUCUUUACUCACUAGCUUUCAGUCCCCAACUUUUGCUGCUCAGUCUUGCAGCAAAGUCCAUGCCUUACUCACAUAGUGUGAUUAGUUCAAAGGAGAUGUCAUAUACAAGUCAAUCUAAUAUGGACUAAAUUAUUGGUUUUUUUUGUAGAGGACUAGUUUUUCGCUUCAUUAGAUGUUACAUAUUUUUGUCGGAAACAAUAUGGUUAAGCUAAAUGGAUAAAAUUCAUGCAGUUGUUCAAUGCAAAAUGUCUAUCAAGUCUUCUGUCCUGGUGAUUGGCCCCUCAUCCAAUAGAAUCCGAUCAUCCCUUUUCCUUGAUUUUGUUGUCCAUCAAACGCAAAAAUUAGACGUUGUCUAGUUUCUGAGGCAAGUUCAUGGAUAUACUGAAAAUUUUAACUCGCAGACAUUGUUGAUUAGCUCUUCUUGUAUCUCUUUGUAAUGUUAAUUUUGUGCACACAUUGCUUGUUAGUAUAUCACAAGACUCAACAUUCAGCUGCUGAUUUUUCUUCAGAGGAUACAUGGCUCCUGAAUACUCGAAGAGGGGUUGCUUAACUGAGGAACAGCAACACCAGUUGCUGGCCAAAGCAGGAGUUUGAUUGUCUUUUCCAUUGGGAUAUCUUUUGGUUUCCUGCACGUCCUUUCUGGACAGUCUUUUCCUCUACAUCUUUAAGUUUCAUUAUCAAUGUCCUCUGUAAUUAGCAUGCUCAAAGGCAAAUCUGCGGUCCAAGCAACGAGCAUCAAGCAUGAUACAAUCAACCCAGGCAUGAGAUUCAAAGCCUUUGAGAAGCUCUCAAUGGACAGCAAGCUUCAUGUCUCAUCAGGUCCAAGGCAGCAUAUCAGUUGAUGGGCCAAGGAUGGAUUCCUCGGUUUCCUUCAAUAGCAGAGAAGACUCGAGGAUUCUUGAUCAAGCAAGCUUCUUACUAGGUCUGGAACAUGGAAGGGAGUUCUUGUCGCUAUUGCCCAGUCCAUUGCUGCUGCAAAUUGCGAGCAUCGAGCAAACCGUGUAGGUAAUCCUCCUGCAACUGAUGAUUAUCACUGUUUUUUUACUGAAUCCGUUGUUGAAAGUGUCCUUAUUCUGGUCCUGCCUUCCUAUGAAAUUUCCUCUUUAAUUUGAAUAAUUUUACCAACCCUAUAUGAGACGGAUGGUGGGAGGUUGGAUGCAUUUGAUGCUUUUCCAAAAUAGAAUGAAUUUUUUCUAAAUUCCAGGUAGAAUAAUAAGUUCUCUAAGGCCAAACAUCACAUGUCAUUGAGUAUGCUAGUUAAACUAAUUCAUUCAGCAAUUAGGUCCAUUACAGAGGGCACUUUGACAGAUUGCGACGGAUUAUUCCAUGCCUUGGCUUCAUUCAAACAUCCGUUGUCAUUAUUAAUGGAUUAUAUCUAUAUUUAAUGUGACGCGUCAUAUAAAUGAGAUGGCCCCCACAGUUGUUAUUUUCCACAUUGUGACAUGACGUGAGUCCUUCCCCUUGGUCCUUUUGGAAUUUGGAUGCUCCUUGUAUUCAGUGGCAAAUUAGUACGGUUGACUAGUCCACGGCCUUUGUUCAUCAUAUCUGGUUUGUUUCCAAAGAUUGAACGACAAAAUUAUCCUUUUUGUUUUAUUUAUAGCUAAAUAUUAAAAAAAGAAAAAAAAGAAAUCAUUAAUAGUUACACAAUAUAAUUAAAAAAAAUUAAAGAAAUUAAAAAGUUAACAUCUUUUAUAUCUUUGGGCAUGAUUAUUUUGUUAAAAUAAAAAAAUAUUUAAAUUUGUAUAUAGUUUCAGACUAUAAACUGUUUUUACAUAAAUUUGUGCAUAACUUCAAAUUAUGAAUUAUUCAUUUUAUAAUUUCCGACUAUGUAAUAUUAUUUUAUAUAACUUUCAGUUAUACCAUAUAAUUAAAAAUAAAUAAUUAAGAAUCAUAUACAUAACUUCUGAUCAUAUAUUUGUAAUUUUGUAAUUUUGUAAUUUUCCUCAUAACUUUUGGUUAUAAGGAUUGCACAUAUUUUUCAUAACUUCUAGUUAUAAAUUUAUCUUAUAGUUUAUAAUUUAUCCCAUAACUUUUAGUUAUAGGGAUUGUACGUAUUUUUGUAUUCAUAUAAAUUAGUGAAAAUAGAGAGUCAAAGGGUAAUAAAGUAUAAAAUAAUGAUAUAAGUUUAUCACAUACUUUUUUGUGAAAAAGAAGAAAGAAUAGUCUUUGUAUUUUUCUGAAGAGAAGAAACUCUUUCUAUUUCUUUUGAAGAAACUAUUCAUGUUGAUAACGUGUUAUAAAAAAAUAAAAAAAUAAAAACAAGAAAGAGAGAAUAGAAUACAUGAAAAAACUCUCUUGAAUUUCAUUAGGAUCUCUCAAUUUUAUAGGGAGUUACAAAAUAUAUUUAUGGAUAAUCAUCCAUAAAUUACCAUACUGGUAUAGAAUCUCAUAUUUUAUAACAAAAUGUUAAUUGUCAAUAUUUUAAGUUUUUAAAGUUAUCAUCAUAAAUUUCUAACUAAAAGUCUAGAUUAUUAUAAAAUAAGUAUAUAAAUUUUUAUAAAAAAUUAAAGAAAAAUCUUAUAUUAUUAUAAUAUAUUACUAUCUAUUAUCUAUUAAUAUAAUAUUAUAGGAUAAUAUAUUAUUAUAUUUUUUAUACAUUUAUUUAUAAAUAUUAUUUAUUAAUGGAUAUCAAAUUUUUAACUAAUUAAUUUAUCAAUCACAUAAAUAACAAAUCUUUAUGGAUGAUUAAUUUAGAAAUGGAGAUCAAAAUAUUUUUUUUUAUUUUACAUAUCUAGAAAUAUCGGAAUAAUUUCGAUUUAUAUGAUUUAAGAAAAAUAUAUCACAUAUAAUAUAAAUAUAAAAAUUAAGUUAAUCACUUAAUUAUAAAAAUAUAAAUUAUUUAAAGAAAUAUAAAUUAUUUAAUAUUUACUAAGUAUUCAUUCAAUAAAAAAUAAUGGUGAUAAUAAAAGUGGGAGUCCAAUUAGAAUAUUUAAGUAGAGAAAUUUUCAAAUAUCCACACAUUUUAGUAUUAGAGAAUUCAUUAUAAUUGAUUUUCUUUCUAUUUAAUAAUAGAUUUUCUUUCUAUUUUUAAAUUCUUCUAAUUCAUGGUAAUUUUCAAUUUUUGUGUUUUAGGCUAAUUUUAGAAUUGUUUCCUAUUUUUGUGUUUUGGGUAAACUGCUUCCUAUUUUUGUGUUUUACGUUUGUGUAUAUAUAUUCAUUCUUAAUCAAUGAAAAAGUCAAGUAAUUGUUUCUCAAUAAUCAUCUAUCUACUUCAAUAUGAUAUCUAUCCCAGGCCUAAUCUUCUUGGACAUAUUUUUUUUCUUUUUUUUUUUCCUUUUCCUCAAUGACUUUUGGUGCAUCAUUCUCUUCCACUAACGAUCCUAUCACCAUCCAAAACUCCCAAGAUUCUCAACAUCCCCUCCUUACAAUCAAUCUCUCCAAUAUCACCAAAUUGUCAUCCACCAAUUAUCUCACAUGAAGCCUUCAAAUUCAAUAUCUUCUUGAAGGUUAUAAUUUUCAUCACUUCAUUGAUGGCGCUCAUACUCCACCACCACCCACCGUCACCGUCACUGGUGUUGCAUCCCCAAAUCUGGCAUACACAACCUGGAAGCAUCAUGAUCGUCUCAUCUUUAACGCUCUCCUUGGUGUUAUCUCUAUUUCGCUACAACUACUUAUUGCCCGCACCACCACUUCCCUUGAUGCAUGACAACCUUAACCAAUACCUAUGUCAAACCAUCUCGUGGUCAUAUUAAACAAUUGAAGGAACAAUUACAGCAGUGUACCAAGAGCUCUCUAACUUAUUGGACUUACGCCUUUGUCACUACUGUAUAUCCCAUCAAUCAUAUGCCCACACCCACACUACAUCUCUCAUCUCCUUUUGACAAACUCUUUGAGUCUCCACCCAAUUACACUAAACUUCGGGUGUUCGGUUGCUUAUAUUAUCUAUGGUUUCGUCCUUAUUCUCAACAUAAACUUGACUCUUAUUCCACUCCUUGUGUUUUUCUUGGUUAUUCUUCAACACAAAGUGCCUAUAUUGUCUAUCUUGGCCGUCAUCCAAUUUUCUCAGCAGAUCAACUUGCCGACGCUCUUACUAAACCGCUUCCAAGAAGUCACUUCCAAGAAUUACAGGAUCAAGAUUGGACUCUCCUCCGGAGCUCUUAAUAUUUUAUAUUUAUAAAAGUUACUAUAAUAAAUUUUAAUUAAAAGAAUUUAUUUGAAAUAUUGUUUAAUAUUGGAAAAAAGUAGCUUUAGUUAUUUUAUAAAAUACAUGAAAAUUAAAAUAUACAAAAUUUUAAUUAAUUAUAAUUAUAUUUAAAUUUUUAUUUUUGUAUUAUAAAUUAAAAAUGAAAAAAAUCAUUUUUUUUUAAUACCUAUUUUUAAACCAAACAUUGCAAUAAUGUUCCAAAUAAAGCAUUAAUUUUCAUUUUCGCAAAAAAAUAUAGGACUAUUUGAUAAAUUUAAAACAAAAAUUGUUUUUGAGAAUAAUUUUUAGAAACUAUUUUUUUUUAUAUUUUAUAGAAUAGGAAAUGUAAAAUAUUUUUAAUAUGUUUUAUGUAUUUUAAAAAUAAUUUUUAUAUCAAAUUUUUAUUUUUUAUCUUUCUGUCUAUAAUUAUUAUUUAAAAUAACCCUUAUAAAAUAAGUAAAAAUAAUUAAAAAAAUAUUUUUAGAAAAUAAUUUUCAGCUAUUAAACGUGUUUUUUUUUAAUUUUUAAUUUUAAAGAAUAAAAAAUUAUUUUUAACAAUAAUUAUCAAAUAGAUUUUUAGUAUUUCGUUAGCUUUUAAAUAUAUAAUUAAAAAAACCUAUAAAAGAAAAGAAAAAGUUUUAAAAAUAAAACAUUAGUGAAGUAUAUACAAAUUUUCAAAGCUCCCGUUGGAAGGAUGGUUCACGGGUUGACUUUUCUAUGCUAUCAUUAAUUGCAUCAAAGCUUUUUCCUUUACUUUUUGUUGUUUUUCCAUGUUGAAUUUUCAUAAGAUUUGUCAAAAGCCGACCAUUAAGUUUCCAAAAUCACAUGUUGUUUUGCUUUUCUUUUCCACAUUAUAAAAUAUAAAUUCAACACUAACUUUUAAAAGACACUAACACAACCGUUUUUAUAGAAGAUUUAAUUAAGCUUCUUUGGGAAAAAGGGAUUAAUUAAGCCUAAUACUAUUUAAUUCAUAUCCACGUGUAAUAUAAUAUUUUAAUUGUUAAAAUUUUUAGUGUUCUUACAAAUAUAAUUAAAAUUUUGGUAACUAAAUACUUUUAAAUUGAAAUCAUUUUAAUGCAUAAAAGUGUUUGGUUGAAAGGAAAAAGUUUAUUUGCUUUUGCAUGUUGAUUUUCUUUGGAUUUUCUUUGGGGUUUUGGAUAAGGAUGAAAAGCAUUGUAGAUGUAGAAUUUCGAAUAAAAAAGUACAAUAAUUAGAUGGAAAGGAGAGAGAUUCAAGCCCUGCAUAUGUUGAAAACUUCACAAAAAAAAACCCCACAUUUCCUUUGACUUGUCACCUUGUCAAUUGAUUUGUCAUAUAGCUUGUACCCACUUGUAGGAGUAUUAAAAUCCAAGACUAUUACAAAUUAAUAUUUUUUUUCUUUUUUAUUUAGAAAAGAUGAAGAAGAAGGAAAAUAAAAAUAAAAUUAUAUUAUUGGUAACAAAGUAUCUAAACCAUUAAAAACAUUGUCUUUGAUAAAAAAGCAUAUGAAAAUAUUAAUUAUUUUUAAAUAAUUAUUUGAAAUUAUUAUUUUAUAAAUUUUAACUCUUAUUUUAUGAUUUUUUUUUUAUUUUGUAUCAUAAACGUAUUUUUCCCAAAUAAAAACUUAUGGAUAAAUCCUGAUAAUCAACCAUACCAAUCUUCUGUCUUUUGUUGAAUUUGAACCAUCGAGGUUGGCAGCAGUUCCAGCUCUGUGCAUGGAAUUAAGCUGCCAUCUGAGUCUUCAAUUAAUACUGGUAAAUGAACUGCAUCUUUGCAUAAGAAUCUACAGAUGUUCAAACAUAAAUAGCUUCCAAUCUCAGUUUUUCGUAUAACAAACAUCAUUUGCAUAAGAAUUCUAGCAAGAAGAGCUAUAAAAUAAAGUGAGAGAAGAAGAAAGCAAGAAAGAGAUAAUAGAAUGCAUGCAAAAACUCUCUUGAAUUUCAUUAGGGGCCUCUCCCUUUUAUAGGGAGUUACAAAAUAUAUUUAUGGAUGAUCUUCUACAAGUUACCAUAGUGGUACAGAAUAUCAUAUUUUAUAACACUCCCCCUUGAAUGAUCAUAAGAAUACGUCCCAUUAAAACCUUACUAAGAAAAACCCUAGUGAAGGAAAAAGAGUAUAAUAUUCUUUUGGAUUGCUACAACUACCUCGUUAAAAACCUUGUCAGUAAAACCCAAUGGGACAAAACCUGGAUGAAGGAAAAAAUAGUGUAGUGUAAUGACAUUCUUAUCAAUUAGUUCCCCCUCAUGUAGACAUGAUUAUAUUUUCUCUAGUUAUGCAACAUAGAGAUCUUUGUAUUAGCCUAUUCCAACGAGUUUCUUGAGUAUUGCAGUUGAUAAUACAUUUGUGAAUAGAUCUACUAAAUUGCCAAUUGAUCUUAUUCGUCGAAUAGUAAUUUCAUCACUCUUCUAGAGUUAAUGAAAGUAAAAAACUUGGGCAAUAUAUGCCUAAUUCUAUCACCCUCAAUGUAUCAUUCUUUAAUCUGUGCAAUGCAUGCAACAUUAUCUUCAAAUAAUAUUGUCGGGUCACCUUUGAUAGAAGAAAGUCCACAUGAUUCUCGAAUAUACUCGAUCAUAGAUCUUAGCUAUAUACAUUCAUGACUUGCUUCAUAAAUUACUAGUAUUUAUGAAGGAUUUGAUGAUGUGGCCACCAUUAUUUGUUUGACAGAUCUCCAUGAAACAGUAGUACCAUUGUAAUUAAACACGUACCCUGUUUGUGACCUACCUUUAUGUGAAUCUAAAAGAUAUCCUGUAUUUGCAUAUCUAAGCAAUUGUUGUUUUGAUUCCCUUAAGUAAAAUAAACUCAUAUUAGUAGUUCCGCGAAUAUAACACAAUAUAUGUUUGAUACCAUUCCAAUGUCUUCGAGUUUGAAUGGAACCGUAUUUAGCUAAUAAAUUAACAGAAAAAGAAAUGUCUGAAUGUGUACAAUUGGCAAGAUACACAAGUGCACCAAUAGGACUAAGAUAUGGUACUUUAAGACCAAGUAAUUCUUCAUCUUUUUUGUAAGGACAAAAUAGGUCAUUUUUCACAUCAAGUGAUCUAACAACCAUUAGAAAACUUAAACGAUGCGCUUUAUCCAUAUAAAAAUGCUUCAAAACUUUCUUAAUGUAUAUUGAUUGAUGUACUAAAACUCCAUUAGGAAAAUACUCAAUCUACAAACCGAGAUAAAAUUUUGUUUUUUCAAGAUAUUUCAUUUCAAAUUCCCUUUUUCAAGUAAUUUGUUGUUCUUGUGAGCUCUUCAAGAGUUCCAACCAGAUUUAAGUCAUCAACAUAUUGCAAUAAUUGCAAAUCCGGUUUCUGAUUUCUUAAUGAAGAUGCAUGAGCAUAUAGGGUUAUUCAUAUACCAUUUUUUUUAGCAAGUAUUCAUUAAGGCGAUUGUACCACAUGUGUCUAGAUUGUUUUAUUCCAUACAAUGAUUAUUUUAACUUGAUUGAGUACAUGUUACGAGGCUUUGUACAAUUUGCUUCAUGCAAUUUAAUUCCUUCAAGGAUUUUCAUGUAUAUAUCAUUAUCCAUGGAUCCGUAUAAAUAUGUUAUAAUAACAUCCAUGAGACGCAUAUCUAGUCCUUCUAGGACUACCAAACUAAUUAAGAAACAAAAUGUGAUUGUAUCCAUGAUGGGAGAGAAUGUUUCCUCGUAGUCAAUAUCAGGUCUUUGCAAGAAAUCUUGUGCUACUAAUCGCACUUUAUAUCUUAUGAUCUCAUUAUUCUCAUUACGUUUUCGUAGAAAUACCCAUUUGUACCCAACAAGCUUUACAUCUUUAGGUGUUUGGACUACAGGUCCAAAAACUUCUCAUUUUGUUAAUAAGUUUAACUUUGCUUACAUAGCUUCUUUCCAUUUUGACCAAUCAUUUCUAUGUCAGCAUUCUUCCACAUUUCGUGGUUCGAGAUCUUCAUCAUUUCUUAUGAUAUUGGAGGUCACUUGGAAAGCGAAAAUAUUGUUAAUAACAAUAUUAUUUCGAUUCCAUUUUUUUUCUGUGUACAUAACUUACUCAGAUCUCACAAUUUUUAUGUACAUGUGCCUCUUCGAGGGCUUCUUAUUCAAUAUGUGCCUCUUCAAGGGCUUUCUGCAUUAUUUGUGCCUCUUUUGGGGUUAUAGAUUUAUCAAUUUUAAACUGAUCAGUCAUUUUGAUGGUCUCUUUUAGAGUGUCAAGUUUUUCUUAGGUUCUCAUCUUUCGAGGAGUUACAUCAUUUGAGCCGACAAGUCUAUCACGCUUCAGGCGUAUUUUAGAUUCAUUUGUUAACUAUCCUACAGGGACACCAAUCUGUGUUGGAGUAUUUGCAACCAAGAUAUAUGACUUUGUCACUUUCUUUGUAUCAAUGAAUGCAUCUUGUAAUUGAUUUGCAAGAUUUUACAAAUAAAUAAUCUUUUAAACUUCCAGUUCAUAUUGACUGGUACGAGGAUCAAGAUAAGUCAAAGUCAAUGCAUUCCAAGUAAUUUCACUCCGUUCUUCUGGAACUGGCUCUUCUCCCCCUAACGACGAGAAAAUUGUCUCAUUAAAAUGAUAAUAUGCACAACAUGUCAUUCUACCUUUUAAGUGUAUAGGUAGACUAGUCACUAAAUAAAAACUUCUAAUUUUAUAAUAUACAUCCAUACGACCUUUUACCUCAAGGGACCAAGUUGGUUUUACAAGAUUAUUCUAGAUCUAGCAUCGCAUAAAGUGUCAUUCACAUGGAAUCAAAUACUAUUAGUGACAUAGUAUAAGUUUUGGAGCCUUUAAUCAGAUUUCUAUCACCUGAUAUAUUAUUAUUUGUCAUCAAUGUUGUGCAAUUAAUGAGACAAGUGUUUCAUCAAAGUAACAAGUCAUAAAACAUUAUCAUAAAUACCUCGUCUUUAUAGAGUUAAAGAAAUAUUAUCAUAGAGAAAGAGUUAAAAUCAAUGGAAAAAUAUUAGUCAUUGAUGAUGAUUUAAUAAGUUGUAUAAAAAACAUGAGAGCAUAUAUAACACAAUAAAAUAUUCAAAUUUGUACAUAGCUUCAAGCUAUGAACCAUUUAUGUAUAACUUCUAGUUACAUAGUAUAAUUAAAAAAAAAUUAAAUAAAUUAAAAGUUAAUAUCUUUCAUAGUUUUAGGCCAUAAUUAUUUUGUCAGCACAAAAAAAUAUUUAAAUUUGUACAUAACUUCAGGUUAUGAACUAUUUUUGCAUAAAUUUGUACAUAACUUCAAAUUAUGAACUAUUCAUUUUAUAACUUCCGACUAUAUAAUAUUAUUUGAUAUAACUUCUAGUUAUACCGUAUAAUUAAAAAUAAAUAAUUAAGGAUCAUAGUCAUAUAUUUGUAAUUUUGUAAUUUCCCCCAUAACUUUUGGUUAUAAGGAUUGCACAUAUUUUUCAUAACUUCUGGUUAUGAAUUUACCCUAUAAUUUAUAAUUUAUCUCAUAACUUCUAGUUAUAGGGAUUGUACGUAUUUUUGUAUUCAAAUAAAAUAAGUGAAAAUAGAUAGUCAAAGGGUAAUAAAAUAAAAAAUAAUAAUGUAAGUUUAUCACAUACUUUUUUUUUGUGAAAAAGAAGAGAGAAGAGUCUUUGUAUUUAUGAGAAAAAUCUUUUCUUUUGUAGAAAUUAUUCGUGCUAAUAACGUGUUAUAAAAAGAAAAUAAGAAAACAAGAAAAAGUUAAUAGAAUGCAUGAAAAAAUCCUCUUGAAUUUCAUUAGGGAUCUCUUCAUUUUAUAAGGAGUUACAAAAUGUAUUUAUGGAUAAUCAUCCAUAAGUUACCAUACUGGUACAGAAUCUCAUAUUUUAUAACAAAAUGUUAAUUGUCAAUAUUUUAAGUUUUUAAAGUUACCAUCAUAAAUUUUUAACUAAAAGUCUAGAUUAUUAUAAAAUAAGUAUAUAAUUUUUUAUAAAAAAUUAAAGAAAAAUCUUAUAUUAUUAUAAUAUAUUACUAUCUAUUAUCUAUUAAUAUAAUAUUAUAGGAUAAUAUAUUAUUAUAUUAUUAUAUAUUCAUUUAUAAAUAUUAUUUAUUAAUGGAUAUCAAAUUUUUAACUAAAUUAUUUAUCAAUCACAUAAAUAACAAAUCUUUAUGGAUGAUUAAUUUAGAAAUGGAGAUCAUAAUAUUUUUUUAUUUUACAUAUCUAGAAAUAUCAGAAUAAUUUGGAUUUAUAUGAUUUAAGAAAAAUAUAUCACAUAUAAUAUAAAUAUAAAAAUUAAGUUAAUCACUUAAUUAUAAAAAUAUAAAUUAUUUAAAGAAAUAUAAAAGAUAAUUUUAUAUUAUUAUAAUAUAUUAUGUAUCAAUAUAAUUGUGAAGCCGUAUUGUUAAGAUCAAUCACCUUUUAUUUGAAAAUUUGAUUUUUUUUUUUUUUAAUUUGUUUUCCCCUUUCCUUCUGCAAAAAUUCUUCAGCCCCUCCUUUCUCUGUAGAACUUUUUCUUUUUUUCGUUUGCCUCUUAGUCACCCACCCUCUCGAAAUAUAUCUGCAGCAACGUAUCCUACCCUCCCAGCCUUACCCUCUCCUUACUGUAAUAACCAUCUGUCAGGGCUCAGGAGAGAAUAUGUUGUCUCCAAUCCAAGUGGUCUCAAAAAAGAUGUGAAAAAGGCCCAAAAUGAGGUCAAUAAAAAUAUAGUUGAUUUAUCUAUUUAUAAGUAUUAUUUAUUAAUUAAUAUCAUAUUUUAAUUUUUUUUAUUUUAUAUAUUAUUUUAAUUAAUUUUAAAUUAUUUAAAGUAAAUAACUUACAAUUAAAUUAUUAUUUUUUAAUAAUAUAUAUAUAUAUAUAUAUAACUCUUAAAAUUAAUUUAAAUUACUUCAUUAAUAAAAAAAAAAUCAUUCAUAUUCUUUAAAAAUGUUAUCUCUUUCCAUUCAAAGAGUUUCAGCUAUAAGACUUAUAAAUUUUAUUUUUUAAAUAAUUAUUAAUAAUAAAUAAAUUUAAAAUUUAAAAUUCUUGUUAAAAAAGUAAUUUUAUUGAAAAUGAUUAAAAGAUAUGGUAGCAAUCAUUAUUAAUUAUUAAAAUUUAAUAACUCAAAUUAAUUUUUAAAUAUUAAAUUAUUAAUAUUUAAAAAUUUUAUCAAUAGAAUUACCAUAAUAAAUUUGAAUUUCGUAAUAGUAAUAAAUGAAAGACUAAAAAUAAAAAUAAGUAUAAAUAAGAAAUUCAGCUUUUUCAAACAUAAUGAAAAAAAAAGUUAUAUACUCUUAAAAAUAUCUUUUCAAACAUUAAAUUAUAUUUUUCAGAUUUCGUAGAAUUAUUAUAAUAAUUUUAAGUUAAAAAAAGUUAUUCAAAUUAAAUUUUAGGUUAUUAUGAAAAAUAAAAAUAAAUUAUAAAAAAUAAAAAAUAAUUUAUAUGUGAGUUUUAAUUUUUAUCUAACAUAAAAAACUAAAUAUUUUUAAAAAAAUAUUAAAUUAUUGAUAUUUUAUGAGGGGUUAUGGUAAAUAAGAAAAAUAUAAAAGAUACGGUUAUAAAAUUUAUAUAAAAAAAUAAAAACAGUCAACAUCAUUCACCCACAGAGCAUUAGUUUCAUAAAGUAACUAAAGCUACUUUAAAAUCUCAUUUUUGUUACGUGUCUGAGUUUCCAUGCCAUAAAUUUCAUGGGAAUUCAUCCUUAAAUUCAUUUGAAUUUAUAAAAUAAUAAUUUAAUGAAAAAGGAAAAGUAAUGCGCAGCCAUGAACGGACCUUCGUGUGGUUGAACAUUCAAAGCUUCUCCUCUUUAAAAACCUCCUUUAAACCCCUCUCUCCCACUCAUUCAAUUCGGUGUAAAGCGAACCAGCCAUUGCUACAGAGCGAAUCCAUGGAUUCUUCGUCUCUUCUCCUCUUGUUGUUGCUGGGUUUCUUUUGUUCUUCUGAGUUCACAUCCCAUGCUCAACUUAUUCCAAAAGAUGAAGGUAUCACCACUGUAAUCUCACUUGUUCUUUCCAUUUCUGGGGAAAAUGAAACUUGGGUUUUGUUGUUAAAGAAAUUUGGGGAGAAAGAGAAGUAAAUUUGGUUUCGGAACGUGGGUUUUUUCGAGGUAUCUGUGCUUUGUUUAAUACUUCACUGCUAUAAUUUUUUGGAAUCUUGUGGAUUUCUCAUGGUUUGCGAGAAUUUUGACAUCUCUGUUUGUCUCACAGUUGUUUAAAUUUUAUCAUGCUCUGGGAAUUCUUAUGGAAACAGAAAAGCAGGCAUAUCAAAUUAUGUUUUAUUUUCUUUUUCAAAUUUUCCUCUGCUUUCUCUGCUACCAAACGUUGGCUUAUAUCAUUCUGCUGGAAAAUUGUUCGUGCCUCUGAGCCAUAGCGAAUUUUUUAUCUGAAACGAUAGGCUAUAUUUGGUUACGGGUAAUAAGAAAUUUUAAAAUAUAUAAAAUUUUAAUUAAUUUAAUUAUAUAUAUAUUUUUUUCAUAUUUAUACACUUGAAAACAAAUGUGAGAAAAGAUUUGAUAUUAAUUACUUUGAAUAGCUUUUGGAUAGAGCCCAGAGUUAUCAAUCCAUCAUUGGACAAAGAAAAAUAUCUAUAUUUGUAUUUAUUACCAUGGUGGCAAAUUCCAUUUGAUUAAGGAAAAUACAUAUGUUUAUUUUAGUAUUUGGACUUUAUUUACAUUGGAUUAUUACCUAUAUUGUCAGGAAAUGGUAGAAAAAGAAGGAAAAGGAACAGUACCAUGUCCACUUGAAUUGUCAGACCAUAUUGAAGUCAUCUCUGAGUCAGUCCCAGGUCCACUUGCUGGACUUUGGGCCUACCUGAAUUAAUCUUUAGGCCCACCAAUUUGUCUUGAUUCCAUGGUUGUGUGGAAUAAGGAUAUCGGGUUGCGUGUGGAAAAUUGGAUGAGUUACGGAUUGUUGUUGAUUGGUUGUGUGAUAUCAACUGGUCUUCAAAAUCAAAGGCAGAAGAAGAACAUUGAUGUGGCUAGGUCUUGACCAUAUGAAAUGCAUAUUUUGGACUAAAAUACAUGUACCAAAAUAGGCCGUAUUUUUUCAAUUUUUUUAAAAAAUAUUUUUUUGUUCUUCGGGAAAAAAUGAAUAAGAAAAUGUGUUUUACAACUAGGAAAAAAAAAGGAAAAUAAAUUUAUGUUUUUAAAAAUUAAAAAUAACGUAUUUUUAGAAAAUAUCUUUUCGUAUUUUCAUUUGUUUUCUAAUGAUCAUUUUAAAAACUAAUUAUACAAAUAUAGAAAAUAAUUAAAAAUAAAGUGUUACAAAUAAAAAUUAGUUUUAAAAUAUAUUUAAAAAUAAAAAAAAUAUGUUAAAAACGUUUAAGUUCGUAAAGAGAUUUUUGUAUUACAAAAUAUCAUAAAUUUUUUUUGAAAAACUAUUUCUCAAAACUAUUUUUGAAAACACUUCCCAACCAAAGCUUAGUUUUCGAAAAUUAUCCUACGAUGAUUUGUUAAAACAAAAUUUUGCUUUUGAACUUAAAACAUUUUUAACCUAUUUUCUAUGUUUUUAAAAAUAAUUUUGAAAAAUAGUUUUUCUCUCAUAUUUUGUAAAACAAAAUUUUGUUUGAAAAUUUAAAAUAUUUUAAACCUAAUUUCCAUUUUUAAAAUAACUUUUAUAGUGCUUUGUUUUAACCACUCUCCAUAUUUAUAUAAUUUUUUUAAAAAAACAUCUCUCAGAAAACAAUUAAAAACAUCUUAAAGAUGUUUUUAGAAAAUACCAUAUUUUUCUAUUUUUUGAUUGUUAAACAUGUUUUCUUAUUCUUUUAUUCUUGAAGACAAAGGCAAGUUGGUCAUUCAUGUAGCUUAUUUUUUUAUUGUUAAACAUGUUUUCUUAUUCUUUUAUUCUUGAAGACAAAGGCAAGUUGGUUAUUCAUGUAGCUUACAUGGUGUGAUCACUUCAAAGGAGAGGUCAUAUGCAAUUAAAAUUUAAUGAAGUAUAAAUUAUUGGCUUGUUUUAGUAGAGGUUUGGCUGAGUAUCAUCAAUAGUGCUUUAAAAUUUGGUAAUAUUAGAAGUCACUUUAAGAUUGGAAUUGGUUGUAGAGGAUUACACUUCAUAGAGUUGUUAUCAUUAGUCAUUCUUUUUCUGUAUAUUUAUAAAUCCUUAUAACCGAUCAUUUUGUAUCUACUCUGUAACAGUGCAAACUCUUAGAACAAUAUUCAAAAAGCUAAACUACAAAUAUUGGAACAUAAGCCAAGCUUCAUGCAAUCGAGAUUUCAACCGAACCAUCGAUGAUAAUAGCUACAGCAAUGUCACAUGCAACUGUACCUUCAAUGAAGGAACUGUUUGCCAUGUCACAAACAUGUAUGAUUUUCUUUUCUUGUUCUUCCCUGACAUGAUACAUAUAUCAAAAAUUCAAUCCAUUAGAUUAAUGGAAAAGUAAUUGCAUGAGUAUAUGGAAUGGAAUAUUAUUUGUUUAAUGUUAAUAGGAAAGAAUUAAAGACAUCUUUGGAUUACAGAGGCAUUAUUUUUCCUUUCUAUCUCUUUGUAGGGCCCUUUGAUUUUUGUGCUUUGGUAAAUUCCCAAUGCAUUCAUGGACUAAAACCUUGUUUUCAUGCAAAAUGAAUUGCCCAAAGUCUAGUGAAUGAAAGCCUUGUCUUUGUUUUAUAUUGAUUCAGUUUCGAUCUCUUGAACUUGAUUUGCAAAUGCCUUGUUUCCAUAUCAAUUAACAUAUGUUAGUGAGCAAUUAAUUCUGUCAUUAAGUCCACUUUCUAGUGGCUGAAUGAAAUGGCCCAAUGCAACUAGAGCUUUCUUGUGGAUUUUCACUUGCUCAUAAUGUCAGAGUGCUAAAGGGUAAAUGUUGGUUCCCACACUAUUUGAUCAAAGCUUCAAAUGAUUGUUUACAUUGAUUAUUAGGUUUCCUGUCAUAACUUUGACCUUUUCCACUUUUCAAGAUAAAAUUGAAUGUCUAUUUUUUAUUAUACAUAUUAUAAUAUAUGGUUAAAAGAACACUUUGAUGAUCGAUCUAUAAAAGAAUUGAUAUGGUUUGAUUCCUCAAUUGAAUCAGUAGUAUCUCUAGAGUCCGCUUCUUCUCAAUGUUAUGCGUACAAAGAGAAAAAGUAAAAACUAUCAUUAAAGCAGUCCAAGCAAGACUUAGAGUGCGCUUGACAGUGUUUUAUAUUUGAAGUAUUUUUAGUUUAAGUGUUUUUAAGAGAAUUACCCAUCAAAUACUUCUCCAAAAAGUACUAUUAGUGAUUUUUCAAUUUUUUAAAAGUAUUUGUUGAAUUUUGUCAAACGCCUUAUCUUUCUUUACAAACGCCUUAUCCUUCUUUACAAACGCCUUUUAUGCUAGAAGUGCUUUCUCAAAUAGUGGAAUCAAUAGCAUAAGUCAAAAAAGGAUUAUCACCCAACACCAUUGAUAAACCAAUCCUAUAAAACCACUUAUGAUAAAACAAGUCCUUAUAGGAUUUCUAGUAAAGUCGGAAAACAUUAAGCAGAAGCACAAUAUGCUUAGGAGUGAGCACUUUAGCCUGUCUACCAAGCCUAGUUAUUUUGUUAUAUAUCAGUUGUACUUUUCCUUUUCUUAUUUUUUGCUUCCUUUUGUGAAUUACAGCCAGCUGAAGGGUCUUGAUUUGGAUGGAACUUUACCUGAUGAGUUUGGAGAUCUUCCUUAUCUGCAAGAACUGUAAGUGACAUGUUUCUCGACAUUGGGAAGUCAAUUGACCAAAUUUGCCUUGAUGUUUCAUUGGGUUUUUUCAACCUAUCAGACAAAUUUCUUAACUCAAUAAUACCUUAAUCCCUACUACAUGGGGUUGCAGUUUCACUAAACUACAGAGGUUAGUUCACUUCUGAUGUGUUUGAAUAUACCAUGGAAUUAAGUUAGACCAUUGUGUUUCAAAUAACAUUCAAAACAAGUCCAUUGCGUUUACCGUAGUAUUUACAUGAUUUUAUUGCCUUUUUUAAAUAAUAAUAAUAAUAAUAAUAAUAAUAAUAAGUGCAGGCAAAGAUUAAAACAAAUAAUCUCAUUUCAGUUUUGUUGUGGUGAUUACCAACUUUUGUGUUUUCUAGUAAUAGUAAUAGACUGGAUAAACUGUCAUGGGACAGCUAAAUAUUGCCUGAAAAUUAUUUGAUCAUCAUCAUCGGAUUCAGUUUUUGAUAUUGUACAGUCAUCUCCAGUAUCUGACUUGAACCCAAAUGAGGGAUUCUUCUUUUAUCCGGUGACCAUGUAAAAUUAAGAUAUACUAAGGGAUUCUUUUUUUUUACUAAAGCAGUGAUCUCUCCCGAAACUAUAUCAAUGGAUCGAUCCCUACAAGUCUCAGUCGGCUUUCUCUUACCAUUCUGUAAGUUCUGAUUAAUUGCAUUUGCACUUGUGAGGUGAGGAUCCUGUUUUCCAGUAAUUUACUAAGUAGUUCAUAGUUGGGAAAGUUUAACUUUUGGUACACUGCAGCGCUCUUGUUGGAAACAGAAUCUCUGGGUCGAUUCCUGAAGUAAUCAGUAAUAUCAGUACACUUGAGGAGCUGUAAGUCAUGAAAUGGAGUUGAAUGUCUAUUAGAGAAAUUAAUGAUGCCCAACCUUGAUUACAAAUCCAAAUUUACUUUUCCAGGGUCUUGGAAGCUAAUCAGCUUGGAGAACAUCUCCCUCCAAGUCUUGGAAAGUUGAGUCAUUUAAGGAGACUGUAAGAAUGCUGUUCUCAUCCCUUUCCUUAUAUGCAUAUUAAUUAUUCAUUUCUUUUAUUUCAAAUAAUCACUAAGUCCUUGUAUUCUGGUUGUAAUCUGCUUAGCUGCCAAAAUGCCCAAAAUCAAUUUGAGGAAGCUAAUUUUUUGAGUCAAAGACUUUUAUAAUGCAUUUUGUGUGAUGAAAUGACUCAUGGAUAUGGUGAUUGUAUACUGGUUGAGUUCAUUUUCAGUUGCACAAUUGCUUGUUUUUGAGUUCAUUUACUUCGAGUUAAUGAAAAUAAUGGGAAGAUGGAUUUUCAUAUAUUUGAAAGUGCAAUCUACCUUUUUUGUUCCUUUAUCUCCAGAGUGAAUCAUGAGAAAUAUUUAUAACCAAGAAGACAAAUAUAGGCGAACAUGGCUAUGAACUAGGCGGUUUUUAUGGACUGACAGAUGGAAAUUCAUAUAGGCUAUUUCUAUUUUUCUAACAUUAAGAAACCGAGUUUAGUAUUCAUUAAUUCAUCCUAUGAUGAAAUGGAGAUGUCGAGCAUGAUUUGUAAUGCUUCAUAGAGAAUAGAAGUAAAGAUGAUGAGGACUAAUCUGCUGGGUAUUUACACCUUGUGCUUUUAAUGCCAAAGUUCAUCAUUUGGGAAGUUACUUUGUUUGGAGGGUGAUAUUUUUUCUUAAUGUUUUCAACAAAAGACUUUGCAUUGACCCUCUAUUCUGGUUGUGUUGUCUAAUUACUAUUUUCAGGGAAUUCAUCUGUUUUUUUUCUUUUGGUUCUCCUACAGUGUUCUUUCUGCAAACAAUUUCAUUGGAACAAUACCAGAAAAUUUUCACAAUCUGAAGAACCUAACUGAUUUGUAAGUGAUAUAAUUAUUUGGACAUUUAUACUUUUAUGCAAAUUUAGAGUUUUCUGUACUCCAUGUACCAUUUGCAGUAGGAUAGAUGGGAAUAAUUUAUCUGGGAAGAUACCAGAUUGGAUUGGGAAUUGGACCAACCUUGAGAAACUGUGAGUAUUAUACUUCAUUUCAUUUACCUGCCAAUUUGUCCACUGAGAAAAUUUUCAUACAAGCUCAGUUAAAUUCUCUAGUUAUCUAUAAAGAUAUUAAACUGUUGCAGGUAUCUGCAAGGCACAUCAAUGGACGGGCCCAUUCCUUCUACUAUAUCCCAGUUGAAAAACUUAAUCGAAUUGUGAGCAUGUGUUCCACUAUCUGAUAGUUGCUUUAUUCAGUUCAUGAUGUUAUUCACGGUUAAAAUUGAAUUCAUAGAAAUAUAAGCAUGUAAUUUGUUUUGCUGUAUCUUAAUCGUCAGGUUAAUAUCUGAUUUGAGUGGACCGACUACAUCUUUCCCCAAUUUGAAGGAUAUGAAAAACUUAAAAAUAUUGUGAGUUGAAGAUAGAUAUACUUCAUGAAUCAUUGACAAGCUGCAGUCCCAAGUUAUCCACUUUAUGUUCCAUUAACUUAUCAAGAUGUUUUACUCAUUUGUGUUAUGCAGGGUGAUGAGAAAUUGCUCCAUUACAGGUGAAAUCCCAAAAGACAUUGGAUAUAUUGAGAGUUUAAAACUUUUGUAAGUUUUUUUUAAUGGGUGUUCUUAGAGAUGUUCUUAAUUUUCUUCAUUGGUAUAUAUGUAUGUAAGAAGAAAAAUAUAAUCAGGAUAUAAUUGUUCUAUGGCAUACGAUCAGUAAAUUACAUGGUUGUAUGGAAACAACUUCUUUUCUGAUUCAUGUUGAACUUUUUUCUUGCAGAGACCUGAGCUUCAACAGACUGAAUGGUAAAAUUCCAGAGAGCUUUAAGGAAGAAAAAGAGGACAGAGCAAAACUUAAUUUCAUGUAAGUUAAAUACUUGUAAUAAAGUGGAAUUCUAAAUAUUCAGAAAUAUACAUUUUAUUUGCUCCUUAACCAAUCAUUUUUAUCCAUUCAUAGCUUGUUUAAUUGUAACUGAGAUAUGGUGCUAUCUAUGUACACAGGUUUCUCACCAACAACUCACUGACUGGAGAAGUGCCCAACUGGAUAAGUUCGGACACUAAAAACAAUAUGUCAGUAUUUGUCAGUCUCCUGUUGUUCUGAUUUGGCUACGAUAUCAUUCAUUUAUUGUAGAAUGUUACAUACAGAUGCGGUCUUUUUUUAUUAGUGGUUCUUGUGAAACCAAAUUAAUAUUUCAAUCUCUCAUUCAAUCAAGAAAUAUAUCACUAACUCCACUUCAAUCUCUGUUGCAGUGAUUUAUCUUACAACAAUUUUACAGGGCCACUUCUUUGGUCUUACAAAAACCAAGUGUAAGCUUUCUUCCAUCUAUUAUUUGUACAUUUUGUUCUGUUUUUCCCUCAUCUUCUUGAAACAUUUUUUCAUAACUCCACAGGAACUUGGUUUCAAGUUAUGCAUCUUCAGCAAGAGAGAUGUACGUUCUUCCAACCUUGUUUUACAUGUGCAUUCAGCAUUAGAAUAAUAAACAAGAGACUGAAUCAAAGUUCAACUUUGUAGGACCCCUUGGUUAAAGAAGGAUCUCCCUUGCCCUCGAAAAGCCAAAUGUAAGCUUUUGUAACCUAUUGUACUCUGCUAGUAUGAAGUGGCAAAUAAGUUGAAUCUCUGCCUUGAUUCCAAUUACAUUUACUUGCAGACUAUUCCUUGUAUAUCAAUUGUGGAGGAGUGCAAACAACUUUUAAAAGGAAGGCAUAUGAAAAAGACGACAAUGUUGAGGGUCCAUCACAGUUCUUUACUGAUAGUAUAGACAAAUGGGCUUAUAGCAGUACAGGGGUUUUCAUAGGUGAUGAGGAUGGUAGUCACCUAGCCAAAAACACAUCUGCUUUGAACUCAGAGGAUGCUGAGAUCUACCAAACUGCUCGUCUUGCUCCCAUCUCACUCAAGUAUUAUGGGCUUUGCUUGCGAAAGGGCAUUUAUAGACUGCGACUCUACUUCGCUGAAAUCAUGUUUUCUAAUGACCAGACAUUUGGUAGCCUUGGGAAACGCUUGUUCGAUGUUUCAAUUCAAGUGAGUGAAAAAUAUCAAUUUCAUUAUCGUUAUUCCAAAUAUAUAAAGAACUGACUGUACUUUUCAACAGGGGAAUGUAGUUUUGAGGGAUUUUAAUAUCAUGGAAGAAGCUGAAGGUGCUGGUAAGGGCAUUUAUAAGGAUUUUGAGGCUUCUGUUGAUGGUAGCACUCUGGAGAUCCACUUAUACUGGACAGGCAAAGGGACUAAUUCCAUUCCAAAAAAAGGCGUAUAUGGACCUCUCAUAUCUGCUAUCGCAGUGACAAGUGAGCUUAUCUCAUAUUUGGGGUUUUACUACUUUUCUUGCCACAAGCUUGUCAUGAUGUUAUAUAUCUUACCGUUCUUGUAGAUUCUGAUCCCAACUUGGGGCUGUCUAUUGGAGGUAUUAUCGGCAUUGUGAUAACUUCAUGUAUGGUCCUUGUAUUGAUUUUGGUACUCCUGCGAAUGAAAGGCUACCUAGGAGGGAAAGACCUUGAAGAUAGAGGUGAGAUUAAUAAUGCAGGAAAUUUGUGACUCUAAUGCCUUAUCUCUUUGAUAUUGUGACAAUACUUUGGGAAUAUUCGAUAAUCUCUGUGCUUGUUUUUCACCAAUUUUAUUUCACUUGUUACAGAACUACGUGAGCUAGGGAUGCAAACUGGUUAUUUCAGUUUACGACAGAUCAAAGCUGCAACAAAUAACUUUGACUCUGCGAGUAAGAUUGGUGAAGGUGGAUUUGGGCCAGUUUACAAGGUAGUUACAGAUUUGGAUUUUCCUUUAACAACUGUAUGCCAAAGCAAUGAUUAAGAGGGAAAUGAAAUACUUUUCUGCAGCUAUCACACAUCCUUACAUUAUCUGAAUUCAUGAUCCCAAAUUUUGUCCUGCUUGAUCUUAGGGUGUACUGUCAGAUGGUUCAGUAAUUGCUGUUAAGCAACUCUCUUCAAAAUCGAAGCAAGGGAACCGAGAAUUUGUAAAUGAAAUAGGCUUGAUAUCUGCCUUACAACACCCAAAUCUUGUGAAGCUUUAUGGCUGUUGUGUCGAAGGAAACCAGUUGUUGCUCAUUUACGAAUAUUUGGAAAACAAUAGUCUUGCACGUGCACUUUUUGGUAAAUGCUUCACUAGAAUUUUGUAUUCCAUUUUAUUAUAUUUCAACAAUGAAUAUUAUGACUUAAGCCUUUCCCUCGACCACUUGUAGGUUCCGAAGAACAGCGGCUAAAUUUGGACUGGCCAACUAGGAAGAAGAUAUGCUUGGGGAUAGCAAGGGGAUUGGCAUAUCUUCAUGAGGAGUCAAGAUUGAAAAUUGUUCAUAGAGAUAUAAAGGCAACAAAUGUGCUGCUUGAUAAGUAUCUAAAUGCUAAGAUAUCCGACUUUGGCUUGGCUAAGCUGGAUGAAGACGAGAACACCCAUAUCAGCACGCGGAUAGCUGGAACGAUGUGAGUGUUUUCACUCAUUUCCUCCUGUUAUUAGCUUCCCUAUAUCAAAUUUGUAUAUGAUAUAAGAUUAUAACUUUGGUGCUGAAAAUGGGGAGAUUAAUUUCUUCUAUGCAUUUGAAUUCAUGUCAGAUAAAUAAUAAAUUGAUACAAUGAGAUGGAAGUGACCUUGAUUGAUAGAAAACUUAAUCAAACACUGAAGUAUGGAAUUUCUAACUUGCAGUUCUUUUUUUCAUUUUAGGUUUAAAAAGCUCAUUCUCUUCAUUGUUUAUUCUGUAAAGUCGAUUUUUGAAACAGCUCUAGAAAGGUCCAACUAUUAUUGAGAAUUUGUUGCUACAAAAUCUGAAGCAUCAGUGGCUUCGAGGCAUAAGUUGUCAUAUGAACCUCAAAAGCAAAUGGGGUGAUCCUCUUUUUCAGGUUUUAGAGAAGCAGAAUUUAGUAAGACUGUUGAGUUUCUAAAGUGGGUUCAUGCAUAUACAGAAAAUUUUUCCUCUCAAAUAUGGUUGAUUAGUUCUUCUUGUCCUCUUUCCAACAAUAAUUUUGUGCAUAUAUUGAUUAUAUGUAUAGCACAAGACUCACCGUUGAGCUGCUGAUUUUUCUUCAGAGGAUACAUGGCUCCUGAAUACGCAACGAGGGGUUACUUGACCGACAAAGCAGAUGUUUACAGCUUUGGAGUUGUUGCUUUAGAGAUUGUCAGCGGGAAAAGCAACGCCAAUUAUAGGCCAAAGCAAGAGUCUGUUUAUCUUCUUGAUUGGGUAAACAAUUGCUUCUUGCUCAUCCUUUCUGCUUUAUUUUUUCUGACCAUAUGUGCUGAUAAUGAAAAACGUGUUUCGGGUUUUACAUCGGACUGCAGGCUUAUGUCCUGCACGAGCAGGGAAACCUUCUGGAGCUGGUGGAUCCAAGUCUUGGAUCAAACUACUCAGAGGAGGAGGUGAUGGGGAUGCUGAACUUGGCCCUCUUAUGCACCAACCAGUCCCCCACUCUCAGGCCAUCCAUGUCCUCUGUAGUGAGUAUGCUUGACGGCAAAAUUGCAGUCCAAGCACCAACGAUCAAGCAUGAUUCGAUGAACCCGGAUAUGAGAUUCAAAGCCUUUGAGAAGCUCUCACUGGACAGCCAGUCUCUUGUCUCAGCAUUCUCUGUAGACAGUCAGGUCCAAGGCAGCAUAUCAGUUGAUGGGCCAUGGGCUGAUUCCUCAAUUUCCCUCCAUAGCAGAGAAGAAACAAGGGGGUUUCCUUCAUCAAGCAGGGUUCUUACAGGACACCAAGAUCUUUACAAUACACAUUUGGACUGAUCAAUGAAAAAAUAUGAGGCAUACUAAUAAUACUUCCAAGUUGUUCUUGCUUGAAGUUUUCUAAAAACAAUUUCGAUUUGAUUCUUGAGGAAGUAGAAACAGAAAUAAGUAUAUUUUGUUGUAUGAUAUAUUUUAUGAUUAGAAUUGUAUUUUAGAAUUUCUUUUUUUAUUAGAAGUAAGAUACAACUCCAAAUAUGUUGCAGGAAGCAAAUUCUAUUUAGUUAACAAUUUAAAAAUAUUAAAAUUAUUCCUGGUUUUUUAUAAAAGGGCUCUUUAAAACACAGUUUGAAAGUCAAUAUUUGAACUAAUUGAGAGUAAUACUUUUACACAAAAUACUCUCUUGCUUAUAAAUUUUCUUGGAAAUUAUCUUAAAAUUCAAUUAUAUGCUUGACAUUUGUAAAGCAAUAAUUUAAUGAAGAAAAAUAAAAAAUAAAUAAAUAAGUAUAAGCAUGUACUUACAAUUAAUUGCUGUGGCCCAACUUCUCUUUAUCAUAAACCCCCACUUAAACCCCACUUCCUAACUCAUUCCACUCCCACUUCCCACCUCAUUCAACUCACUAUGGAGUGAACCAGCCAAUCAAGAAUUGCUGCAGAGAGAAUUCAUGGAAUCUUCGUCUCCUCUUCUCUUGUUGUUUCUGGGCAUCUUUUGCUUUUCUGAGUUCAUGUCCUGUGCUCAAUUGCCCACGGAAGCUGAAGGUGCCAGAAGCUCUGUAAUUCACUUUUCUUUUCAUUUCUGCCGAAAUGUAACUUGGGUUUUGUGUAGAAUCUGGUUUUGUUAGGGAAAUUUGAGGAAACGAAGAGUAAAUUUGAUGUUGGAAUUUGGGUUUUCCAAACUCUUUGCUUUGAUUUGUUUUCUUUCACAGCUUCAAGUUUAUGGACUGUUAUUCUUUUAAUCUUGUCCACGUUCUGGAAAUUCUUGAAGCAACAGAAAAGGAGGGGUGUCAGAUUUUGUUUUCAUUUCCUCUUCAUUUCUUCUGUUUUCUCUACAACCAAACAGUGGGUUGCAUUAGUCACUUCUGUGCUUAGUUAUACUGACUUUAAUCCAUGAAUAUUGUUUACUUUCUCAUUUGGGUGUCUGAAUAUUCAUGCAUCAAAAUUGAUCUUCAGACACCCUUAGUUUGGUUUGAGUCCAUUUUCUUGGAGGUUUCUGACGUAGCUAUUAUUUCCUGUUAUAUAAUUACAAUAUUUGUAUAAAAUUAUGUGAAUAAGUGCUCGGAUUGAGUCUUGAUGAAGAAAAUCAGAAAACUCCUUAGGGUUCUUAGACAAUCAAAGACAUCCAAAGGCACUUGGAAGUUUUUGGUCAGUAAAAGAACUAUAGCGUCAUAUAUCAAAAUUCCUUAGUUAAAUAUGAGAAUUCAGUUUUGCCCUCUCACAUUUUCCUUGAAUAGUUUUGUUAAGUAACAACAACUUGAUUUAUAUCGUUGCUGUCAAUUCAUAAAUUAACACAGUAUCAGAGCUUUGACUCUUGAAAGUGGGUCAAGGUGUUAAGUAUUAGCUUACUUAAUAUACAUCAUACAUUGAAAUAUGAUAUUAUUGAUUGCCUCAAAUAUUUAAGUGUUUCAUUUCUUCUUAGCAACUUUGAAUGAGGGCAAGGGGUGGAAUGUUUGUAGAAUUGCAACAGUUAAGGGUCCUUUUCUCGUAUGGGCAAGGGAUAAGAUCCCACAGACACAACCUCAGUGAAUGUUAUUUUCUAGACCAUUUUUGUAUUAUCUUUUGUAUGAGAUUUGGUUUAUAUGCAUGAUUCAUUGCAUGAAGGUCCUUUCCUGUGGAUCAGUUAGGUUGGGUGGUUAGGGUUAAUGGUUGGGCCAGAUCGGUGGGUUAUGGUAUUUGGUUGACUGGUUCCUUGGAUGACAUUGCAUUGUAAAACCAACUGAUGUUGAAAUGUCAAAGGUAAGAAAAAGAAUUAAUUAGUGAUAUGGAUAGUUCUUGACCUUAUGAUUAUAAAAUAAUCUAUAAUGUAGAUUAUUAAAUUUUCAAUAUACAAAAUUUAGAUUAAAUAGCCCUCUAAGACAAGGCAAUGCAAUGCAUGUGAAAUGAUUCAUGUUUUGGAAUAAAAAUACAUACAUUUUGAGGCAAACCAGGGUUCAAAGCAAGUCUUUACUCACUAGCUUUCAGUCCCUCACUUCUACUGAUGAGUCUUGCAGCAAAGUCCAUGCCUUACUCACAUAGUGUGAUCAGUUCAGAGAAGAGGUCAUAUACAAGUCAAUCUACUAUGGACUAAAUUAUUGGUUUUUUUGUAGAGGACUAGUUUUUCGCUUCAUCAUAUGUUACAUAUUUUUGUCGGAAACAAUAUGGUUAAACUAAAUGGAUAAAAUUCUUGCAGUUGUUCGAAGUAACCUGCCAUUUAUAACGACCUUCAAGUUCAAUGCAAAAUGUCUAUCAAGUCUUCUGUCCUGGUGAUGGGCCCCUCAUCCAAGAGAAUCAGAUCAUCCCUUUUCCUUGAUUUUGUUGUCCAUCUAACGCAAAAAUUAGACAUUGUCGAGUUUCUGAGGCAAGUUCAUGGAUAUACAAAAAAUUUUAACUCGCAGACAUUGUUGAUUUGCUCUUCUUGUGCCUCUUUCUAAUGAUGAUUUUGUGCACAUUGCUUGUUAGUAUUGAAGAAUUUGAAGAAAAAUAUGAAGGAAUUUUUUUAUUUUAUUCUGUGAUACGUUCCUUUACAAUGAAUGAAAGCAUAAAUAAAUAGCCUACGGAUAUGAGACAAUUCCGGAAUGGAAUUUCCCUUACAUGGAAAGUGAAUAAACUCUUACAUGGGAAUUAAAUAAACUACUCUUACAUGGAAAGUAAAUAAACUACUCUUACAUGGAAAGUGAAUAAACUACUCUUACAUGGAAAGUGAAUAAAGUACCUUGCUAGAAUUACUCCUAAAUCAAUUAUAAUAAAGGCAGUACAUUACACUAAUUAGGGAAGUAAACAGAGGAUGCUGGCUUGAUUUCCAACACUCCCCCUCAAGCCGCGUUGUAGAUGUUGAUCAUUCCAAGUUUUUCUGUCAGAUCUUCGAAGUUAACUCGAGCAAGAGCUUUUGUGAGAAUGUCAGCCGUUUGACAGUUUGUCGGAGUGUAGCUGACUUUGAAAACUCCUUCUUCAAUCUUUUCCUUGAUAAAGUGUCGAUCUAUCUCCACGUGCUUAGUUCGAUCAUGAUGAACCGGAUUCUUAGCGAUACUGAUGGCAGCUUGAUUGUCGCAGUAUAACACCAUGGGAUGCUUCAAUGGAACCCGUAAUUCUUCUAACAGCCUNNNNNNNNNNNNNNNNNNNNNNNNNNNNNNNNNNNNNNNNNNNNNNNNNNNNNNNNNNNNNNNNNNNNNNNNNNNNNNNNNNNNNNNNNNNNNNNNNNNNAAAGAAGAGACCCUUUCCCGGUGUCAUCUUGAGGUAUCUCAAUAUUCUGAUCACAGCAGUCAUGUGUUUUUCGGUUGGAUUAUUCAUGAAUUGACUUACCACACUAACGGAGAAGCCGAUGUCUGGCCUUGUAUGAGAAAGAUAGAUGAGUUUCCCCACAAGACGUUGAUAUCUUCCUUUAUCAACUGGCGCACUUCCAUCACUUUCUUCCAGUUUGACAGUUGUAUCCAUAGGUGUUUCUGCCAGCUUGCAUCCUAGCAUUCCUGUUUCAUUCAAUAAGUCCAGAACGUAUUUGCGUUGUGAGACUGCUAUACCUUUCUUUGACCUAGCAAUCUCCAUUCCGAGAAAGUACUUGAGGUUUCCAAGAUCCUUGAUCUCAAAUUCCUUUGUCAGUAAUUUUUUAAGUAAGUCAAUUUUCUCUUCAUGAUCACCUGUCAAAAUUAUGUCGUCCACAUAUACAAUGAUAAUUGCUAGUUUCCCUUCUGGGAAGUGUUUCACAAAUAAUGUGUGAUCGGAUUGACAUUGAACGAAUCUGUACCCUUUCACUACCUUAGUGAACCGUUCAAACCAGGCCCUGGGAGAUUGUUUGAGACCAUACAAGGAUUUUCGGAGUCUGCAAACCUUGUUGAAAUUUGAUGGCGUCUCAAGUCCAGUAGGAAUGUCCAUGUAAACUUCUUCCUCUAAGUCACCAUUGAGGAAUGCAUUCUUCACAUCAAGUUGGUGAAGCGACCAAUCGAGAUUAGCUGCCAAGGAUAAAAGUACACGAACAGUAUUGAGCUUGGCAACUGGAGCAAAAGUUUCUUGAUAGUCAAUGCCAUAGGAUUGGGUGAAUCCUUUGGCGACCAACCGAGCCUUAUACCUGUCCACAUUACCAUCUGCCUUGUACUUUACUGUGAAAAUCCACUUACACCCAACUGGUUUCUUACAUCUUAGGGAGGUCAGUAAUUUCCCACGUACCAUUCUUUUCCAGUGCCCGAACUUCCUCAUCGACUGUCGCCUUCCACUUAGGAUACUUGAAAGCUUCUUGAAUAUUCUGAGGAACUUGUAUCUCUGUGAUGCUAGAAGUGAAUGCACGAAACGUAGGUGAUAGCUUAUCAUAAGAAAUAAAAUUUCCAAUGGGAUGCUGAGUGCAUGAUCUAACUCCUUUCCUCCAAGCUAUGGGCAUAUUAAGAAUAUCAUUUUCUAACUCGGAAUCAACAGUACCAUUAGGAGCGUUGUUACCUGGAAGUUUGCUUGGAUUAGGACCCGGUUCUGCCUCAUGGGUUUGUUGAGAAAGUGCUCUUUCCUCUAUUUCCUCUUGGAUGUGCUUCUUAUCCCACAAGUCAACAAUGGACUCGGGUUGAUUAAAUGACUCUGGAGGAAUGUGAUUUUCAGUGGUGAUGGGUGACUCACUGAAUGACUCAAGAUCCCAAAAUUGAUAUUCUUGAGUUGAAUUCUCCCCCUGAAUAUCGUUUUUGGGAUAGUAAGGCUGGGUUUCAAAAAAGGUGACAUCCAUUGAAUUGUAGAAUUUUCUUGUGACCGGAGAGUAACACUUAUACCCUUUUUGAUUUGAAGAAUACCCAAGAAAGAUGCACUUGAGUGACCUAGGAUCAAGUUUACUUCUAUGUUGUUGAUUGAUAUGAACAAAGACAGAGCACCCGAAAAUUUUGGGUGGGACGGUGGAGAUGAGACGAGUAGUCGGAAAGGAUUUUAGGAGUGUUUGACAAGGUGUUUGGAAUUUUAGUACCCUAGACGGCAUCCUAUUGAUGAAGUAGGCUGCCGUAAGGACAGCUUGCCCCCGAAUAAUUUUGGAACAUUCAUGGAGAACAUUAGUGAUCUAGCCACCUCUAACAAAUGCCUAUUUUUCCUUUCAGCGAUUCCGUUUUGUUGUGGGGUAUCAACACUUGAACUUAAGUGAACUAUCCCUUCUUGUGCUAGAAAUUCUCCUAGAAUGGAGUUGAAAUAAUCCCUAGCAUUAUCAAACUUUAGAAUUUGUAUUUUUGACUGGAAUUGGGUCUGAAUCAUAUUUUUAAAAUUUUUGAAAAUUUGACUCGUUUCAGAUUUUUCUUUCAUGAGGAAUACCCAAGUUAAUCUAGUGUGAUCAUCUAUGAAUGAGACAAACCACCUAGUACCAGUUACAUUUUUUAUUCUUGACGGACCCCAGAUAUCGCUAUGAAUCAUUGAGAAUGGACUAGACUCUUUAUAGGGUUGAAUGGGAAAAUGAGACCGGACUUGCUUUGAUAAUUGACAGAUUUCACACUCAAAGGAUUGUGGAUUUUUAUUAAAUAAUGAAGGAAAUAAAUGCUUGAGAUACAUAACAUUUGGAUGACCUAAGCGAUAGUGCCACAACCUAAUUGCACUAUCGUUAUUUUGACAUGAAACCGAAAAAGAAUUACUACCAACUGUCAUUUGAGGUUGUUCUUGUGGAUCGUGGCGCUCCUUAAGGAUGUAGAGUCCAGAGCAUUCCUCAGCAUUGCCAAUCGUCUUCCCCGAAUCCAAAUCCUGAAAUUCACAGUGAGUGGAGGAAAAAUUAGUAAUACACCUCUUUUCCUUAGUGAGUUUACUAAUUGACAAUAGAUUACAGUCCAAGUUAGGAACAAGGAGAACAGAGUUGAGAGUAAGAUCCCUUGAUAGCACAACUGAACCUGUUCCGGCAACCUUUGAUAGUGAACCAUCUGCUAUUCGGACUGUUAAAUUAUUUGGACAUGAGCUAUAUGUAUCAAAAAUUGUCGCAUCUCCCGUCAUAUGAUCAGAUGCUCCUGAGUCCACUAUCCAAGGUUUUUUACGUUUCUUACCAGCAGUGAAGGCACUCAAAAAAUUACCUUUGUGAGCCAAGGUUCCGGAACUAAUGACCUGGUUGGAAGAUGAGCCAGUUUGUGACUGUACUGACAAAAGAGGAGACAGUAGUUUCUGAAGCAUCUCCAUUUGCUCCUUAUUAAAAGGGCUAGCUUCAGGUUGUGGCGAUUGUUCAUCGGUAGCCACAUGAUUGCCUCGUCCUUCUUUCUCAAGUGGUUGACGUGGCUUCCAAUCUACUGGCUUUCCAUGAAUCUUCCAGCAAGUUUCUCUUGAGUGUCCCGGCUUUCUGCAAUGAUCACACCAAGGUCUACCUCCUUUAAUUUUUUGACGGUUUUCAAAAGGAGCGAAUUGAGUAUUAAGAGCCGAGCUUUCUGCCAUAUUCAGUUGUUGAUGGGAUCCCAUCAUGAGAUUUUUCCGACUUUCUUCGCGACGGACUUUAGAGAAUGCCUCUCUGAGGCUAGGUAAGGGUUUUACUCCCAUGAUUCUUCCAUUAAAGAUGAAGACGAUGAGACAGGAUUAAACCUGCUCUGAUACCAUGAAGAAUUUGAAGAAAAAUAUGAAGGAAUUUUUUUAUUUUAUUCUGUGAUACGUUCCUUUACAAUGAAUGAAAGCAUAAAUAAAUAGCCUACGGAUAUGAGACAAUUCCGGAAUGGAAUUUCCCUUACAUGGAAAGUGAAUAAACUCUUACAUGGGAAUUAAAUAAACUACUCUGGAAAGUAAAUAAACUACUCUUACAUGGAAAGUGAAUAAACUACUCUUACAUGGAAAGUGAAUAAAGUACCUUGCUAGAAUUACUCCUAAAUCAAUUAUAAUAAAGGCAGUACAUUACACUAAUUAGGGAAGUAAACAGAGGAUGCUGGCUUGAUUUCCAACAAGUAUAUCACAAGACUCAACAUUCAGGUGCUGAUUUUUCUUCAGAGGAUACAUGACUCCUGAAUACUCGAAGAGGGGUUGCUUAACUGAGGAACAGCAACACCAGUUGCUGGCCAAAGCAGGAGUUUGAUUGUCUUCUCCAUGGGGAUAUCUUUUGGCUUCCUGCACGUCCUUUCUGGACAGUCUUUUCCUCUAUAUCUUCAAGUUUCAUUAUCAAUGUCCUCUGUAAUUAGCAUGCUCAAAGGCAAAUCUGCGGUCCAAGCAACGAGCAUCAAGCAUGAUACAAUCAACCCAGAUAUGAGAUUCGAAGCCUUUGAGAAGCUCUCAAUGGACAGCAAGCUUCAUGUCUCAAUAUUCUUUCAGGCCAGUUAGGUCCAAGGCAGCAUAUCAGUUGAUGAGCCAAGGAUGGAUUCCUCGGUUGCCUUCAAUAGCAGAGAAGACUCGAGGAUUCUUCAUCAAGCAAGCUUCUUACCAGGUCUGGAACAUGGAAGGUUGAGUCUACCCUAAUCUAACCAACCCGAAUCCAACUCAAAAAAAUGCAAGCUUUGGUUGACUGAUAAUGAAAACAUGAGGUAUGCGAAUAUUAUGAAAAAUGAUGCUUGAAAACUAUUUUGAUUUGAAUAUGUGCAGAUUCUUGUGUGAAUGGAGUGGUUCGAGUCAACACAGAGACAAGGAUUCAAAUAUAGAAAAAUAAAAUUCUGGAUGACACUUACUAACGUUGGAUCCAUGUUCUUCUCUUCUCUCUCUGGUGUUAAUUGUUGAUCGUCUCUUCGAAUUUUUUUUAGUAUGAAAAAAAGGAUGUAAUUUCAAUGUGGAAAAAAUGAUGAAGGGAAAAAGAGAAGAAGUUGGUAGAUAAUUGUGAUAAAGUUAAAAAAUCUAUGCAUUUAAUUAAUUUUUAAAAUAUGUGAAAAUAAUUUAUCAACAAACUAUUCUUAAAAUUCUCAAAUUCAAUUUAAAUUAUCUUAUGUAAUAUAAUUAAAAUAUAAUUCAUAAAAGUUUUAUAUUUAAAAUUAUAAAUUUAACCCUUUUUAUUAAAAAAAAAAUAAUGAUGGAAUCAUAGAAAAUAAUUUACAAAAGUUUUGUACAUUUAAAAUAAUAAAUUCAAUUAUUCAUAUUAACUUUAAAUUUCAUAUUAAAAAAAGUUAAAAUAUGAAAAUAAAAGGAUAUGAUAUAAAUAUAAUGAUUAAAAUUAUUUCUUAGUAUUUUAUAUUUCUAAAAGUUACUAUAAUAAGUUAAAAGAAUUUAUUUGAAGUAAUCAUAAAUAGAAAACUAAAAAAUUUAGAUGUUUAAUUAACUUUAAAAAUGUUUGAAAAUAAUUUAUCAAUAAAUUAUUCUUAAAACUCUCAAAUUUAAUUUAAAUUAUUUUAUUUAAUACAAUUAAAAUAUAAUUCACAAAAAAAUUAUCUAUUUAAACUAAUAAAUUCAACUAUUUAUGUAAACUUAUAUAAAAAAAAUGUAAUGAUACAUUAAUUUUUAAUAUUUUAAGUUUAUAAAGUUAUCGUUUUAAAAAAAAAUAAAGAAAAAUCUUAUAUUAUUAUAAUAUAUUACUAUUUAUUAUCUAUUAAUAUAAUAUUAUAGGAUAAUAUAUUAUUAUAUUUUAUAAAUGUUUAUUUACAAAUAUUAUUUAUUGAUAAAUAUCAAAAUUUUAACUAAAUUAUUUAUAUAUCAUGGAAAUAACAAAUUUUUAUGGAUAAUUAAUUUAAAAAUGGAGAUCAAUUUUUAUCUAUUUAUUUUACCGAAUCAUCAAAAUAAUUUCGAUUUAUAUUCUUUAAAUAAAAUAGUGAUAAACUUAAAAGUUUAAAUGAUUUAACAAAAAUAUAUGACGUAUAAUAUAGAUAUAGAAAUUAAGUUAAUUAUUUAAUUAUAAAAUAUAAAUUAUUUAAAGAAAUAUAAAAAAUAAUAUUAUAUUAUUAUAAUAUAUUAUCUAUUAAUAUAAUUGUGAUGCAUUUUUCGUGUCGAGAUUCACGUUUUAUUUGAAAUUUUGAUUUUUUUUAUUAUUUUAAAUUGUUUUCUUUUUUUUUUAAUAGAAAAUUAGAUGAUGUUUAUUUUUUUACUUAAUUCUAAAUAGAACCUUAAUGCUUAAUAGUGUUAAAUAUUAAGUAUUGGUUUUUAUAGUAUUUUAUUUCUAUUAAGUAUUAAAAAGUAAAGAAAAAUCAAUACGUAAUUUUUUCUAUUUAGAAAAAAGCUAUAUAUUUUGAUUUCUUUUAUUUAAUAAAAAAUUUAUAAUAAGUUAUAAAAAAGUAAAAAAAAAAAAUCAUGAAAAUAAAUUGUUUUCACCAAAAAAUAAAAAAAACAAACACCAGGUUAUAAUGAUAAAUGAAAGACUAAAAGUAAAAUAAAUAUAAAUAACAAAUUCAUGACUUUUACCAAUUAUAGUGAAAAAAAAAUUAUUUACCCUUAAAAAUAUCUUUUCAAACAUUAAAUGAUAUUUUUGGAUUCGUUAGAGUUAUAGUAAUAAUUUUAAGUUAGAAUUUCUUUUUUUUUGAUUUAAAUUCUAAAUCACUAUAAAGAAAAUUCCUUAUUCAAUUUUAUCCAACAUAAUAAACUAAAUAAAUUUAUUUUAAAAUAUUAAAUUAUUGAUAUUUUAUGAAUUUAAUGUCUAGACUUAUGGUGAAUAACAAAAUAUGAAAGAUAUGAUUAUAAAAAAAGAAAUAUUAACGGAGAUUAAAUCACGAAAUCAACAUCACCAUCACUUUCAUAAAGUAACUAAAGCUACUUUAAAAUCUCAUUUUGUUACGUGUCUGAGUUUCCAUGCCAUAAAUUUCAUGGGAAUUCAUCCUUAAAUUCAUUUGAAUUUAUAAAAUAAUAAUUUAAUGAAAAAGGAAAGUAAUGCGCAGCCAUGAACGUACCUUCGUGUGGUUGAACAUUCAAAGCUUCUCCUCUUUAAAAACCUCCCUUAAACCCCUCUCUCCCACUCAUUCAAUUCAGUGUAAAGCGAACCAGUCAUUCAAGAGUUGCUACAGAGGGAAUCCAUGGAUUCUUCGUUUCUUCUCCUCUUGUUGUUUCUGAGUUUCUUCUGUUUUUCUGAGUUCACAUCCCAUGCUGCACGUAUUCCAGACUAUGAAGGUAUCACCACUGUAAUCUCACUUUUUCUUUCCGUUUCUGGGGAAGAUGAAACUUGGCUCUUGUGUAAAAUUUGUUGUUGUUAAAGAAAUCUGAAGAAAAAGAGAAGUAAAUUUGGUCUUUUCGAGGUAUCUGUGCUUUGUUUAAUACUUCACUGCUAUAAUUUUUUGGAAUCUUGUGGAUUUCUCAUGGUUUGGGAUCUGAGAAUUUUGAUAUCUCUGUUUGUCUCACAGUUGUUUAAAUUUUAUCAUGCUCUGGGAAUUCUUAUGGAAACAGAAAAGCAGGCAUGUCAGAUUAUGUUUUAUUUUAUUUUUUUAAAAUUUUCCUCUGCUUUCUCUGCUACCAAACGUUGGCGUAUAUCAUUCUGCUGGAAAAUUCUUUGUGCCACUGCGCCAUAGCGAAUUUUUUCAUCUAAAACAAUAGGGUAUCUUAAAAAUAUAUAAAGUUUUAAUUAAUUUAAUUAUAUUUGAUUUUCUUUAGUAUUUAUACACUAAAAACAAAUAUGAGAAAAUAAUUUUUAUUAGCAUUUUUUUUCUUAUUAGAAAAAAAUCAAUUUAUUUUAAUUAUCCCACUAUGAAGGUAGAUAUGGGAAGAAAAGAUUGUGAAUAGCUUUUGGAUCGAGUCCAGAGUUAUCCAUGCAUCAUUGGACAAAGAUUUAAAAUACAGAUAUUUAUUACCAUGGAGGCAAUUCCAUUUGAUUAAGGAAAAUACAGAUAUUUAUUUUAGUAUUUCGACUUUAUUUACAUUGAAUUAUUACCUAUAUUGUCAGGAAAUGGUAGAAAAAGAAGGACAAGGAACAGAAUGGAAUGAAUAGCUUUCAUUCAGUACCAUGUCCACUUGAAUUAUCGGACCAUAUUGAAGUCAUCUCCAAGUCAGUCUCAGGUGACAGGUCCACUUGCUGGACUUUGGGCGCACCUGGAUUAAUCUUUAGGCCCACCAAUUUGUCUUGAUUUCAUGGUUGUCUGGAAUAAGGAUAUCGGGUUGCGUGUAGAAAAUUCGAUGAGUUACGGAUUCUUGUUGAUUGGUGGUGAUAUCAACUGGUCUUCAAAGUCAAAGGCAGAAAAAGAACGUUGAUAUGGACAAGUCUUGACCAUAUGAAAUGCAUCUUUUGGACUAAAAAUACAUGUACCUUUGUCUUUUGAAAAUACUAAUGAAAAAUAGGCCGUAUUUUGUCAAUUGUUUUUUAAAAUAAUUUUUUUGUUCUUCAGGAAAAAAUGAAUAAGAAAAUGUCUUUUACAACCAGAAAAUAAAAAAUGGAAAAUAAAUUUAUGUUUUUAAAAACUAAAAAUAAGGUAUUUGUAGAAAAUAUCUUUUAGUAUUUUCACUUGUUUUCUAAUGAUGGUUUUAAAAACUAAUUAUAUAAAUAUAGAAAAUAAUUAAAAAUAAAGUGCUAUAGAUAAAAAUUAUUUUUAAAAUAUAAAAAUAUAUGUUAAAAAAAAUAGAGAAACUAUUUUUCAAAAUUAUUUUCGAAAACACUUCCCAACCAAAGCUUAGUUUUUGAAAAAUAUUCUAUGAUGAUUUGUUAAAACAAAAUUUUUCUUUACAACUUAAAAUAUUUUUAAUCUGUUUUCUAUGUUUUUAAAAAUAAUUCUGAAAAAUAGUUUUUCUCUUAUGUUUUGUAAAAUAAAAAUUUGUUUGGAAAUUUAAAAUAUUUUAAACCUAUUUUUUAUUUUUUAAAAUAACUUUUAUAUAUAGUGCUUCAUUUUAAUCACACUCCAUAGAGUUGUUAUUGAUUGUAGAGGAUUACACUUCAUAAAGUUGUUAUCAUUAGUCAUUCUUUUUCUAUACAUUUAUAAAUCCUUAUAACUGAUCAUUUUGUAUCUACUCUGUAACAGUGCAAACUCUUAAAACAAUAUCCACAAAGCUAAACUACAAAUAUUGGAACAUAGGCCAAGGCUCAUGCAGUGGAGGUUUCAACCGAGCCAUCGAUGAUAAUAGCUACAGCAAUGUCACAUGCAACUGCACCUUCAACAAAGGAACUGUUUGCCAUGUCACAAACAUGUAUGAUUUUCUUUUCUUGUUCUUCCCUGACAUAAUACAUAUAUAAAAAAUUCAAUCCAUUAGACUAAUGGAAAAGUAAUUGCAUGAGUAUAUGGAAUGGAAUGUUAGUUGCUUAAUGUUAAUAGGAAAGAACAUGACAUCUUUGGAUUACAGAGACAUUAUUUUUCCUUUCUAUCUCUUUGCAAGGCCAUUUGAUUUGUGUGCUUUGUUAAAUUCCCAUUGCAUUCAUGUAAUAAAACCUUUUUUUUCAUGCAGAAUGAAUUGCCCAAAGUCUAGUGAAUGAAAGCCUUGUCUUUGUUUUAUAUUGAUUUAGUUUCGAUCUCUUGAACCUGAUUUGCAAAUGCCUUGUUUCCAUAUCAAUUAUCAUAUGUUAGUGAGCAAUUAAUUAUGUCAUUAAGUCCACUUUCUAGUGGCUGAAUGAAAUGGCCCAAUGCAACUAGAGCUUUCUUGUGGAUUUUCACUUGUUCAUAAUGCCAAGUGCUAAAGGGUAAAUGUUGGUUCCCACACUAUUCGAUCAAAGCUUUAAAUGAUUGUUUACAUUGAUUACUAGGUUUCCUACCAUAACUUAGACCUUUUCCACUUUUGAAGAUAAAAUUGAACGUCUAAUUUUUAUUAUACAUAUUAUAAUAUAUGGUUAAAAGAACACUUUGCAGAUCGAUCUAUAAAAGAAUUGAUAUGGUUUGAUUCCUCAAUUGAAUCAAUAGUAUCUCUAGAGUCCAAUUCUUCCCAACACUAUGCGUGCAAAGAGAAAAAGUAAAGACUACCAUUAAAGCAGUCCAAACAAGACUUAGAGUGCGUUUGAAAGUGUUUUUAUUUGAAGUAUUUUUAAUUUAAGUGUUUUUGAAAGAAUCACAUAUCAAAUACUUCUCCAAAAGGUACUACUAGUGAUUUUUCAACUUUUUAAAAGUACUUACCGAAUUUUGCCAAACGCCUUAUUUUUCUUUACAAACGCCUUUUAUGCUAAAAGUGCUUUCUCAAAUAGUGGAAUCAAUAGCAAAAGUCAAAAAAGGAUUAUGACCAACUACAUUGAUGAACCAAUCCUAUAAAUCCACUUAUGAUAAAACAAGCCCUUAUAGGAUUUCUAGUAGAGUCAGAAAACAUUAAGCAGAAGCACAAUAUGCUUGGAUAUGAGAACUUUAGCCUCACUACCAAGUCUAAUUAUUUUGUUAUAUGUCAGUUGUACUUUUCCUUUUCUUAUUUUUUGCUUCCUUUUGUGAAUUACAGCCAGCUGAAGGGUCUUGAUUUGGAUGGAACUUUACCUGAUGAGUUUGGAAAUCUUUCUUAUCUGCAAGAACUGUAAGUGACAUGUUUCUCAACAUUGGGAAGUCAAUGGACCAAAUUUGCCUUGAUGUUUCAUUGGGUUUUUCAACUUAUCAAACAAAUUUCUUAACUCACCAAUACCUUAAUCCCUACUACAUGGGGUUGCAGUUUCACUAAACUAUAGAGGUUAGUUCACUUAUGAUGUGUUUGAAUAUCCCAUGAAAUUAAGUUAGACCAUUGUGUUUCAAAUAACAUUCAAAACAAGUCCAUUGCGUUUACUGUAGUAUUUACAUGAUUUUAUUGCCUUUUAAAAUAAAUAAUAAUAAUAACAAGUGCAGGCAAAGAUUAAAACAAAUGAUCUCAUUUCACUUUUGUUGUGGUGAUUACCAACUUUUGUGAUUUCUAGUAAUAGUAAUAGACUGGAUAAACUGUCAUGGGGCAGCCCAAUAUAGCAUGAAAAUUAUUUGAUCAUCAUCAUCGGAUUCGGUUUUUGAUAUUGUACAGUCAUCUCCAGUAUCUGACUUGAACCCAAAUGAGGGAUUCUUCUUUUAUCCGGUGACCAUGUAAAAUUAAGAUAUACUAAGGGAUUCUUUUUUACUAAAACAGUGAUCUCUCCCGAAACUAUAUCAAUGGAUCGAUCCCUACAAGUCUUGGUCAGCUUUUUCUUACCAUUCUGUAAGUUCUGAUUAAUUGCAUUUGCACUUGUGAGGUGAGGAUCUUGUUUUCCAGUAAUUUACUAAGUACUUCAUAGUUGGGAAAGUUUAACUUUUGGUACACUGCAGCGCUCUUCCUGGAAAUAGAAUCUCUGGGUCGAUUCCUCAUGAAAUCAGUAAUAUCAGUACACUUGAGGAGCUGUAAGUCAUGAAAUGGAGUUGAAUGUCUAUUAGAGAAAUUAAUUAUGCCCAACCUUGAUUAUAAAUCCAAAUUUUCUUUUCCAGGGUCUUGGAAGCUAAUCAGCUUGGAGAACAUCUCCCUCCAAGUCUUGGAAAGUUGAGUCAUUUAAGGAGACUGUAAGAAUGCUGUUCUCAUCCCAUUCCUUGUAUGCAUAUUAAUUAUUCAUUUCUUUUAUUUCAAAUAAUCACUAAGUCCUUAUAUUCUGGUUGUAGCCUGCUUAGCUGCCAAAAUGCCCAAAAUCAAUUUGAGGAAGCUAAUUUUUUGAGUCAAAGACUUUUAUAAUGCAUUUUGUGUGAUGAAAUGACUCAUGGAUAUGGUGAGUGUAUAUUGGUUGAGUUCAUUUUCAGUUGCACGAUUGCUUAUUUUUUAGUUCAUUUACUUCGAGUUAAUGAAAAUAAUGGGAAGAUGGAUUUUCAUAUAUCUGAAAGUGCAAUCUACCUUUUUUGUUCCUUUAUCUCCAGGGUGAAUCAUGAGAAAUAUUUAUAACCAAGAAGACAAAUAUAGGCGAACAUGGCUAUGAACUAGGCGGUUUUUAUGGACUGACAGAUGGAAAUUCAUAUAGGCUAUAUCUAUUUUUCUAACAUUAAGAAACCGAGUUUAGUAUUCAUUAAUUCAUCCUAUGAUGAAAUGGAGAUGUCGAGCAUGAUUUGUAAUGCUUCAUAGAGAAUAGAAGUAAAGAUGAUGAGGACUAAUCUGCUGGGUAUUUACACCUUGUGCUUUUAAUGCCAAAAGUUCAUGAUUUGGGAAGUUACUUUGUUUGGAGGGUGAUUAACAUUGUUGGGGAAUUAUUUUUUCUUAAUGUUUUCAACAAAAGACUUUGCAUUGACCCUCUAUUCUGGUUGUGUUGUCUAAUUACUAUUUCCAGGGAAUUCAUCUGUUUUUUUUCUUUUGGUUCUCCUACAGUGUUCUUUCUGCAAACAAUUUCGUUGGAACAAUACCAGAAAAUUUUCACAAUCUGAAGAACCUAACUGAUUUGUAAGUGGUAUAAUUAUAUGGACAUUUAUCCUUUUAUGCAAAUUUAGAAAUUUCUGAACUCCGUGUACCAUUUGCAGUAGGAUAGAUGGGAAUAAUUUAUCUGGGAAGAUACCAGAUUGGAUUGGGAAUUGGACCAAACUUCAGAAACUGUGAGUAUUAUACUUCAUUUCAUUUAUCUGCCAAUUUGUCCACUGAGAAAAAUUCCAUACAAGCUCAGUUAAAUUCUCUAGUUAUCUAUAAAGAUAUUAAACUGUUGCAGGUAUCUGCAAGGCACAUCAAUGGACGGGCCCAUUCCUUCUACUAUAUCCCAGUUGAAAAACUUAAUCGAGUUGUGAGCAUGUGUUCCACUAUCUGAUAGUUGCUUUAUUCAGUUCAUGAUGUUAUCCACGGUUAAAAUUGAAUUCAUAGAAAUAUAAGCAUGUAAUUUGUUUUGUUGUAUCUUAAUCGUCAGGUUAAUAUCUGAUUUGAGUGGACCGACUACAUCUUUCCCCAAUUUGAAGGAUAUGAAAAACUUAAAAAUAUUGUGAGUUGAAGAUAGAUAUACUUCAGGAAUCAUUGACAAGCUGCAGUCUCAAGUUAUCCACUUUAUGUUCCAUUGACUUAUCAAGAUGUUUUACUCAUUUGUGUUAUGCAGGGUGAUGAGAAAUUGCUCCAUUACAGGUGAAAUCCUAGAAGACAUUGGAUAUAUUGGGAGUUUAAAACUUUUGUAAGUUUUUUUGAAUGGACAUUCUUAGAGAUGUUCUUGAUUUUCUUCAUUGGUAUAUAUGUAUAUAAGAAGAAGAAAAAUAUAAUUCUCCUAUGGCAUACAAUCAGUAAAUUACAUGGUUAUAUCGACACAACUUUUCUGAUUCAUGUUGAAAUUUUUGCUUGCAGAGACCUGACCUUCAACAGACUGAAUCAUACAAUUCCAGUGAGCUUUAAGCAAGAAAAGAAGGAGAAAAUAAAACUCGAUUUCAUGUAAGUUAGAUACUUGUAAUAAAGUACAAGUCUAAAUAUCCAGAAAUCUACAUUUUAUUUGCUCCUUAACCAGUCAUUUUUAUCCAUUAAUAGCUUGUUUAAUUAUAACUGAGAUAUGGUGCUAUCUAUGUACACAGGUUUCUCACCAACAACUCACUGACUGGAGAAGUGCCCAGCUGGAUAAUAUCAGACGCUGAAAACAAAAUGUUGGUAUUUCUCAGUCUCCUGUUGUUCUGAUUUGGCUAUGAAAUCAUUCAUGUAAUGUGCAAUGUUACAUACACAAGUGGUCUCUUUUUAGCAGUGGUUCUUUGAAACCAAAUUAAUAUUUCAAUCUUUCAUUCAAUCAAGAAAUAAAACACCAACUCCAUUUCAAUCUCGGUUGCAGUGAUUUAUCUUACAACAAUUUUACAGGGCCGCACCUUGAUUCUUGCAAAAACCAAGUGUAAGCUUUCUUCCUUCCAUUAUUUGUACAUUUGGUUCUGUUUUUCCCUCAUCUUCUUGAAACAUUUUUUCACAACUCCACAGGAACUUGGUUUCCAGUUAUGCAUCUUCAGCAAGAAACAUGUAAGUUCUUCCAACCUUGUUUUACAUGUGCAUUCAGCAUUAGAAUUAUAAACAAGAGACUGAAUCAAAGUUCAACUUUGUAGGACCCCUUGGUGCUUACAGAAGGAUCUCCCUUGCUCUGGAAAAGCCAAAUGUAAGCUUUUGUAACCUAUUGUACUCUGUUAGUAUGAAGUGGCAAAUAAGUUGAAUCUCUGGCAUGAUUCCAAUUACAUUUAAUUGCAGACUAUUCCUUGUAUAUCAAUUGUGGAGGAGAGGAAACAACUUUUAAAGGGAAGACAUAUGAAAAAGACAACAAUGUUGAGGGUGCGUCACAGUUCUUUACUGAUGGUAUAGACAAAUGGGCUUAUAGCAGUACAGGGGCUUUCAUAGGUAACCAGGGUGGUAGUCACCUAGCCAAAAACACAUCUGCUUUGAACUCAGAGGAUGCAGAGAUGUACCAAACUGCUCGUCUUGCUCCCAUCUCACUCAAGUAUUAUGGGCUUUGCUUGCGAAAGGGCCCUUAUAAAGUGCGACUCCAAUUUGCUGAAAUCAUGUUUUUUAGUAACCAGACAUUUGGUAGCCUUGGGAGGCGCUUGUUCCACGUUUCAAUUCAAGUGAGUGAAAAUAUCAAUUUCUUUAUCUCUAUUCCAAAUAUGUAAAGAACUGACUGUACUUUUCUACAGGGGAAUGUAGUUUUGAAGGAUUUUAAUAUCAUGGAAGAAGCUAAAGGUGCUGGUAAGGGCAUUUAUAGGGAUUUUGAUGCCUCUGUUGAUGGUAGCACUCUGGAGAUCCACUUAUACUGGACAGGCAAAGGGACUAAUUCCAUUCCGGAUGAAGGUGUAUAUGGGCCUCUUAUAUCUGCUAUUGCAGUGACACCAAGUGAGCUUAUCUCAUAUUCCAGGUUUUACUACUUUUCUCGCCACUAGCUUGUCAUGGUGUUAUAUAUCUUACUGUUCUUGUAGAAUUCAAUCCCAACCCGGGGCUGUCUGUUGGAGAUAUCAUCGGCAUUGUGAUACCUUCAUGUGUGGUCCUCGUAUUGAUUUUGGUACUCCUACGAAUGAAAGGCUACUUAGGAGGAAAAGACCUUGAAGAUAGAGGUGAGAUUAAUCAUGCAGGAAAUUUGUGACUGUAAUGCCUUAUCUCUUUGAAAUUGUGACAAUACUUUGGAAAUAUUCGAUACUCUCUGUGCUUGUUUUUCACCAAUUUUAUUUCACUUGUUACAGAACUACGUGAGCUAGGGAUGCAAACUGGUUAUUUUAGUUUACGACAGAUCAAAGCUGCUACCAAUAACUUUGACUCUGCAAAUAAGAUUGGUGAAGGUGGAUUUGGGCCAGUCUACAAGGUAGUUACAGAUUUGGAUUUUCCUUUAACAACUGUAUGCUAAAGCAGUGAUUAAGAGGGAAAUGCAAUACUUUUCUGCAGAUAUCUCACAUCCUUACAUUAUCUGAGUUCUUGAUCCAAAAUUUUGUCCUGCUUGAUCUUAGGGUGUACUGUCAGAUGGUUCAGUAAUUGCUGUUAAGCAGCUCUCUUCUAAAUCAAAGCAAGGGAACCGAGAAUUUGUAAAUGAAAUAGGCAUGAUAUCUGCCUUACAACACCCAAAUCUUGUGAAGCUUUAUGGCUGUUGUAUUGAAGGGAACCAGUUGUUGCUCAUAUACGAAUAUUUGGAAAACAAUUGUCUUGCACGUGCACUUUUUGGUAAAUGCUUCACUAGAAUUUUGUAUUCCAUUUUAUUAUAUUUCAACAAUGAAUAUUAUGACUUAAGCCUUUCCCUCGACCACUUGUAGGUUCCGAAGAACAGCGGCUAAAUUUGGACUGGCCAACUAGGAAGAAGAUAUGCUUGGGGAUAGCAAGGGGAUUGGCAUAUCUUCAUGAGGAGUCAAGAUUGAAAAUUGUUCAUAGAGAUAUAAAGGCAACAAAUGUGCUGCUUGAUAAGAAUCUAAAUGCUAAGAUAUCUGACUUUGGCUUGGCUAAGCUGGAUGAAGACGAGAACACCCAUAUCAGCACACGGAUAGCUGGAACGAUGUGAGUGUUUUUGCUCAUUUCCUCCUUUUAUUAGCUUCCCUAUAUCAAAUUUGUAUAUGAUAUAAGACUAUGACUUUGGCACUGAAAAUGUGGAGAUUAAUUUCUUCUAUGCAUUUGAAUCCAUGUCAGAUAAAUAAAAAAAUUGAUACAAUGAGAUGGAAGUGACCUUGAUUGAUAGAAAACUUAAUCGACCACUAAAGUAUGGAAUUUCCAACUAGCAGUUCUUUUUGCCAUUUUAGGUUUAAGAAGCUCAUUCACUUCAUUGUUUAUUCUGUAAAGUCGAUUAUUGAAACAGUUCUAGAAAGGUCCAACUAUUAUUGAGAAUUUGUUGCUACAAAAUCUGAAGUAUCAGUGGCUUCCAGGCAUAAGUUGUCAUAUGAACCUCAAAAGGAAAUGGGGUGAUCCUCUUUUUGUGGUUUUAGAGAAGCAGAAUUUAGUAAGACUGUCGAGUUUCUGAAGUGGGUUUCAUGCAUAUCCAGAAAAUUUUUCCUCUCAAACAUGGUUGAUUGAUUCUUCUUGUCCUCUUUUUAACAAUAAUUUUGUGCAUAUAUUGAUUAUAUGUAUAGCACAAAACUCACCACUGAGUUUCUGAUUUUUCUUCAGAGGAUACAUGGCUCCUGAAUAUGCAAUGAGGGGUUACUUGACCGACAAAGCAGAUGUUUACAGCUUUGGAAUUGUUGCUUUAGAGAUUGUCAGCGGAAAAAGCAACACCAAUUACAGGCCAAAGGAAGAGUUUGUUUAUCUUCUUGAUUGGGUAAACAAUUGCUUCUUGCUCAUCCUUUCUGCUUUAUCUUUUCUGACCAUAUGUGCUUAUAAUGAAAAACGUGUUUCGGGUUUUACAUUGGAUUGCAGGCUUAUGUCCUGCACGAGCAGGGAAACCUUCUGGAGCUGGUGGAUCCAAGUCUUGGAUCAAACUAUUCAGAGGAGGAGGUGAUGAGGAUGCUGAACUUGGCCCUCUUAUCCACCAACCAGUCUCCCACUCUCAGGCCAUCCAUGUCCUCUGUGGUGAGUAUGCUUGAUGGCAAAAUUGCAGUCCAAGCACCAACGAUCAAGCAUGAUUCGAUGAACCCAGAUAUGCGAUUCAAAGCCUUUGAGAAGCUCUCACUGGACAGCCAGUCUCAUGUCUCAGCAUUCUCUGUAGACAGUCAGGACCAAGGCAGCAUAUCAGUUGAUGGGCCAUGGGUUGAUUCCUCAAUUUCCCUCCAUAGCAGAGAAGAAACAAGGGGAUUUCCUUCAUCGAGCGUGCUUCUUACAGGACACCAAGAUCUUUAGAGUAUACAUUUGGACUGAUCAAUAAAAAUGAGGUAUACUAAUAAUACUUCCAAGUUGUUCUUGCUUGAAGUUUUCUGAAAACUAUUUCGAUUUGAUUCUUGAGGAAGUAGAAACAGAAAUAAGUAUAUUUUGUUGUAUGGUAUAUUUUAUGAUUAGAAUUGUAUUUUAGAAUUUCUUUUUUGAUUAGAAGUAAGAUACAACUCCAAAGGUGUUGCAGGAAGCAAAUUCUAUUUAGUUAACAAUUUAAAAAUAUUAAAAGUAUUCCUAGUUUUUUCUUAAAGGGAUUUUUAAAACACAGUUUGAAAGUCAAUAUUUGAACUAAUCGAGAGUAAAUAUUUUUACACAAAAUAUUCAAACUUGCAUGGUUGAAUUUUAAUUUUUGUCUUGGUUAUAAAUUUUCUUGGAAAUUAUCUUAAAAUUCAAUUAUAUGCUUAACUUUUGUAAAGUAAUAAUUUAAUGGAGAAAAAUAAAAAAUAAAUAAAUAAGCACAAGCAUGUACUUACAAUUAAUUGCUGUGGCCCAGCUUCUCUUUGUCAUAAACCCCACUUCCUAACUCAUUCCACUCCCACUUCCCACCUCAUUCAACUCACUAUGGAGUGAACCAGCCAAUCAAGAAUUGCUGCAGAGAGAAUUCAUGGAAUCUUCGUCUCCUCUUCUCUUGUUGUUUCUGGGUAUCUUUUGCUUUUCUGAGUUCAUGUUCUGUGCUCAAUUGCCCACGGAAGAUGAAGGUACCAGAAGCUCUGUAAUUCACUUUUCUUUUCAUUUCUGCCGAAAUGUAACUUGGGUUUUGUGUAGAAUCUGGUUUUGUUAGGGAAAUUUGAGGAAACGAAGAGUAAAUUUGAUGUUGGAAUUUGGGUUUUCCAAACUCUUUGCUUUGAUUUGUUUUCUUUCACUGCUUCAAGUUUAUGGACUGUUAUUCUUUUAAUCUUGUCCACGUUCUGGAAAUUCUUGAAGCAACAGAAAAGGAGGGGUGUCAGAUUUUGUUUUCAUUUCCUCUUCAUUUCUUCUGUUUUCUCUACAACCAAACAGUGGGUUGCAUUAGUCACUUCUGUGCUUAGUUAUACUGACUUUAAUCCAUGAAUAUUGUUUACUUUCUCAUUUGGGUGUCUGAAUAUUCAUGCAUCAAAAUUGAUCUUCAGACACCCUUAGUUUGGUUUGAGUCUCAUUUUCUUGGAGUUUUCUGAUGUAGCUAUUAUUUCCUGUUAUAUAAUUACAAUAUUUGUAUAAAAUUAUGUGAAUAAGUGCUCCGAU